rnacentral:lncRNA from 1 species
UUUUUUUUUGUUGCUCCGAGAUCAACAGCGGCGCAGGGGAGGGAGAGGUGGAUGGAGUGGAGGAGGGUGGAGUGGAGGGUGAGGGAGGCAGGUGCGGGAACUGGGCCCCGGAUUCGCUCCCCGCCGUCUGAUCCGCGCCCCCGAAAUCGAGCGAGACCACGCGCGGACCGAGCCUGUCCCCGUGUAUUUAUACAUGGCGCUGCAGGGUGGAGCGGGCCCCACGCGAUCGGGGCCGUCCGUAUCGCCCGCCGGGGGACCGCCAGCCGGCACUGGAUUGGAGCAGUCCGGACUGCGGAGCGAGCGAUGCUUCUUCCUGCUUGCGUGGCGGCGUAGGCCACACACACCGCGGGCGGGUCGCCCGCCUGGCCGAGCCGAGGGUUCACGGGACGGGUUGCAUGCUUUGCAGCUGCGAGCUAUCCUGCGAGGUGGUGUCAUGGUGUGUGGUAGUGGUAGGGCAGCGGCGGUGAUGCAUGCGCCGUGUCGUCGCGGGCUCGUCCGGUGCACGGUUUCGAUGGCUCGGUUCGGUGCGCCACACGCCCACACUAGGCGCUAGGCCGCAUCAUCUUGGAGCAUCAUGAGGGUGCGCGCGGGGCGUUCUCGGCGUUCCAUCAUGCGAACGCCGUGUGGGGUGUGGAUUGGGGUGCCGUGCCGCCCGGAAAUGGUAAUGCAUGCUACGUAUGCUGUUACCUACUGUUCCCGUGCCCCUCCGAUUUCCAGCAUGCACUUAACGACGACUGAUGGAAUCGAUUGGUGGCCCGAUCAAAGAAAAAAGAGCUUCGCUAGCACAUCCGCUCCACAGCCAGACAGCCUCCGCUGAACUGGCCAGAGGAACAAACAGUUCGCGUGGAAGUAUUAGUAUUGGGUCGUCAGUCAUCCAUCAAUUGUUUCCAUGUACAGCGUACCCGGUGUCAAAGCAGAACAGUUGAUGAUGUGACAAGUAGUACAGUUGCCAUAAACGGAAAUUGGAGUUUAGAAUAAUCCAAUGGAAGACUCCACCGUGGGAAGGGCAUCUACAUGCACGCUUGGUUCCCAAUAAUGUCGAAUACACUCAAUAUUUAGAAUAUCUCCAUACUGCCUAUUUCUCUGUUUCAAACUCCACUCAACAAACAAUCUACGCAAUACUUUACAGGGUCUGCUGAAAAUUGCUUACCACAGUGUACCAUCAGACCGUGAUUUAUAGACAUUAAACAGUAAGCCAGACACUUAUUGUUUAUUCAUUCAGACUAAACGUUUACUUAACCAGAUAAACAACCAUAAAAACAUGAUAAACCAAUUAUAAAAAAAAAUUGUGUACCAUCAUAUAGCGUUUAAAUAAAUAGUGUAUGAACAGACUAAAUGACCGUUUAAGCGAAUAAUGUUCUCAACCUAGAAACUCGUCUAUUUAUGUUCACGUCUUUUUAGGUCAAACACUAAUGAUCUAUGGAUCCCGCUAGCGGGGAUCCAGACCUUAGAGAACCUCUCUACGAGACGGCGGAUAAGAUGCAAGACAAAUAACACUACAGAUAUUGGUAUCUUUUUAGGGCCAACUAGCAAUGAACCCUAAUGCCUUCACGUGAUGUGUAGGUCCUUGAGUUUGGCUCUGCGAGGUACCGAACGGUCCGCGAUAGGUCAUCGUACCGUCUGCGGUAGGGUGACGAACCAUCCGCAAUGCGCGCGGAUAGCUCCUGGGUGUACGGCUGGUGUUUGGGUUACCCGAAUUUUUUGGUUCAGGUAAUUAAUUUUUUGGGUUUUGAGAAGUCUUAUCGAAAAUUGCAUAAGAUAUUAUAGUACUCAGAAAAUUCGGGUACCCCACAAUUUAGGUUCGGUUAACGGGUACUCCCGAAUCACCCGUAUUAAAACACACAUGAACUAGCGGUAGCAACCGCAUGGAGACUCUCACACAGAGCCUGUACCCAGAUGCCAAAUAUGAUAUUCAACACAUGCUCUCCUGCAUUUUGGUAGAGCUUGGCGAACUAAAAGCACCUGGUACUACCAGCCUUUUCGGGAACAAUAGAUUACACAACAUGUCUUGUUCCCAAAAUAUGAACUCUAGCCUGAUGUAAUUUAUCGGCUCUUGUGAUCAAACAAUAUAACAAUUUAAUAGAACCAUAAUACAUAGAGGCCAUUUAGAAUUGUAUCCUCGUCGGCCAUGGCUACCUAUUUCUUAUAUUUAGCAAGAAACUGAUCAAUAGUAGGGUCGGCACUGCUGAGCCGACCAGACGUCUUGGACGCGUUUUGCUUCCCAGUACCUAUUUGGGGACGUUGUGGUCUAACAGUUUGAGGUUGCUGCCGCUCCUGGUUUAGGGUUUAUGAUUUAGAUUUGGGGCUAUAAUUUUGUAUUAAUGGGAUUUACAAAUUGUUAACCAAUGUAUACCAAAAUUUGAAUUAUACCUAUUGUCCGGACUGUAUUGUGUCCUACCAUUUUGUAUUACUGGUUCAAAUGGGGGCACAAAAACUCUGCCUUUGGCAAUACGGCAUAUGGUGCGGUCGAUCAAGUUCGAUCUGCAUAGCCCCUCGAGAGGCUUUGCGAAAAGAAGCGUUGGCAAUGGCAACGUUAGGCCCGAGCGCAGAAAAAAGCUAAAGGGCAAAAACUAAAGCGAUCGAGUUGCGGUGGCUGCAUGAUAGUUUCUUGAGAACACACACACACACAUAAAAGCAGGUCGCCAUGGCAUCGAGGGACGGGCAUCGGCACUUGCCCCUGCCGGCUGCUGGCGCUGCAUCCACGAAUGGCCGAGGGGACAGUCGGACACACACAGCAUGGACACGAUAGCAUGGUCAGUAGACAGUAGUAGCUAGACAGGGAAGCUCGGUUCAGAAAAUAGUAGGAGUGCACGCAGAUUAUCUGCUGCGUGCCACUGCCACGCCACGGCACCCUGAGGUCACAGACCAUGCAUGGGUAGCUAGGAGGCGUAGGCUGCUUGACCACCGCUAGCUAGCUGGCUGCUUCGACAAAGCAUAAAACAUCACUAGUACACGUACGCUCGGCCGGUGUCUGCCUGCCGCGAACGACACACCACUCUUGGUUAGCAUGGUCUCGCAAUGAUGCCUUUCCGUUCCACCACCACAUGUUUUGCCGGCACGGCGGUAAUCACCGGCGCAAACGGCAAUCAUUCGGCGACAGCUAGCCCGCCCGCGCUGUCUUUAAUCUGCUCGGUUAUUUUUAGAGUACUACUAGAUGAAGCGGAAAAAGGCAGCUGAUAGAUACAACCGAUCUAUGGCUGGGAUGCAAACGGCUACGUAUACUACACUACACUGCCGGAGGGACAGACAGGGAGUCGAUCCAGCGAAGAAUCUAUUCAAAAACACUUGGGGGGAGCUAGCUAGUUAUUAAUUAGCAGUAGUAGAGUAGCAGACGGUCGCUGCUGCUUCGCGAGUGCAUGCAGCGAUGUCCACAGGCUCCCAUCCCAGCAGACGUUACUAGUUCCCUGAUCCCAAGGCGCAUCGCAUCUCUCGCAAAGAAAGCAGAUUCCCGCUGCAACAGGGUCAGGGGGAGAGAGAGCAGGGAGCACAGGCCACAGGGGCAGCAAAGGUGUUGGCUUGGCUGUCGUCCGGCGGGCGGGCGCCAACUUUGUUGCAGGCGACGACGAGGGGGGCAACCACGGUCCGCAGGUACAGGAUGCCGUUUUGUUUAUAGCCGUGCGCGCUUCCUUGCGUGCACUGCACACGCAUCCCACGCGGGGCGGUCAAAGAGGCGCAUCGAGCGCGUUGCUUCUGUACGGGCCGCGCGCAGCCUUCUUGUGAACUGGGCUCUCGCUCGCGCUUGCACGGCCAGCCUUCCGGUCCCAGAACGAUCAUGACGACCGAACUGGCUUGGAGAAACGGAGCCGACUGCAGUUCAAAUCCCUCGGUACUGUCUGUACGCCUUCUGAAGUUCUGAUCGACAUUGGAUUUAUACCGACAACCAUCGUCGUCUUUUAGCCGGUGGAAAUUGGGAGGAAGGAAUGUUCGAGUGCGGCUGCUGAACCAACCAGACGGUUCCUAGUACAACGCAUGCUCCGUCUUUUGACGCAUGGAGAAGAGAUGUGGGUAGUAGUCACGUAGUACGAUCGCGAGCCGUUCUGUCUGUUGCCGGCCCCAAAGGCCUCCUCCUACUCGGCUGAGAUGAGCUGAGCUGAGCGAGCACAGGUCAGAAUCAGAUGACUGGGAUCCUAAUUCCGAAGGGCGUUGGAUACUGUGCCAGGAUGCCACUAGCACUACUACCAGCAGUAGAGUAGUAGCAGCUGCUUUCGUUGCCCAUCUCGCCAUGCACGGAAACGGCCAAGCACUCCAUUUUGGCCCCUCCGAUGCGCGCGCCCCGGGGAGCGGGGAACCCCUCCGCGCGCCUUUACGCCGGAUGGAGUACGCUGCUGCCCCCGGUGCCUGGCCGUUCCGACGUUUAGCCGAGCCCGCCGCGUGCUCGCUGGCGCUGGCCCCGUCGAAAACGACGGGACGCCGGCUCCGCCGCUGCGCUGCGCUCCCUGUGGCGCCGCCCGCAGGCCGCAGCGGACAGAUCGAGGUUUUCCAGGAGGAAUAAAAGCAGAGCGCAGGGCGCGCAGAUCUUUCACGAAAGGGGGGAGGGGCGAGGCGAGCGGGCACCGGGCACGAGAGCGGAUCAGGUCAUCAGGAUGGCUAGCCCGGCGCAAAGACGGCCGCGAACUAAAGGCGGUACGGCGCCGGAUGCGUAUGCGAUCGCGUCGGGUUGGGUUGGGUUGGGUCCGUGGGCAGCCUUUGGGGAAAGGCCACUCCAACUCGAAUAAGUACUCCAUGCUACUCCGUAUAGUUUCUGGCCGCUGUUGCUUGGCGAGCGCGCGGCUGCCUCACUGUCCCCACUCCUCAGCGUCCUGUAGCUGUAGGGGCUGCUUUGGGCCAAGAAAGGGACGGUGUGCUCUGUGCAGCUGAAAGCCUAGCCCAUCCCGGCCCACCGAAGCAGACAGCACACAGCAGAGGCCUAAUAAAAGACCCGCAUCAGUCACCGUUUUUUUCGGCUGCUCGCUGUUAGUACCAACCAACCAAGCAUGUCUCAGAAAGAAAACGUGCUGUGCCUUCUGUGGCGCAGUGCUCUCACAGUAGACAGUAGUAGUACACACUCUGCGUCAAUCGAUUGCGCGACGGACAUGGAAGUAUGGACGAGGUGAUGGUCGUGUGCACAGAACACGAACAAAUGGAGCGAACGAUCAUGCGAUCCGGGCGACGCGUCUCUUUCUCUUCGGUCGGCCGAUUAGACGGUUCGCUCUCGAUUGAUGAUCCCGCGCGCUUGACUCAGCCGUCACGUCGGCCGCGCCGUUUUUGAGGGUUCUGAGGAGCUUUGACACGAACGGGGCGCGGCGACCACGGGUGGUCGCGAGACGCGGCCGCGCCACGCGGCCGGCCCCCCCGUGAACGAAAGCAUCUGUGUGCGCAGGACACGCACGCACCUGCGCUCGCUCCUCUCGCUUUCGCUGAAAUCCACUGCGCCGCGCCAUCGGCAUUGCCGCCGCCGUCCCUCGGUGCCCACUGCCCACUGCUUUCUCUCGCUCCGAGCCGAUGACCAGCCCCAUCCAUGCCAUGCACGCGUGCUUCAAAGGGCAUCGGCGUCUACUCCAGCCAUCUUAUCAUCGCUCUGCAGUGCAGUGCAGUGCGUGGACCGCAGCCUGUCGCGAAUGCUUUCGAUCACAAAAACUCUGGAGGCGACAGAAAAAGUAGCUAGGAGGGAUUUAGAGGCGUGCUAUACUACUCAAAACGCACUGGGUGUGGGUGUUUUGUGCCUCGCUUUCAACUUUCGGAGCCGUUGAUCUGGCUCUGACCGAGAGGCAAGGCAAUAUACACUGGAGUGCUGGACAAAAUGGUUUGCGCGUAGAUCGGUCAUGAUGCAGCGCUGAUACGAUCAGACAGACGCUCCGAGCUCCGCAAAGACGUCCGUCCUCAGGUGCCGAGAGCAAACACCUGAAAACGAGAUGACGUCUGUCGCCUACUAGGUGUACCGCUGUGGCGCGACAGUUGCGUCACGCUCUUCACACCGAAAGAGUACAGGGAAAGUAUGGCAUGAGCAUGACACUGACUUGGUAGCAGGAAUCCACUACUCCUAUUCCGUCCUGGAAGUGGAACUGUGUACCUCCGUACCAGAAUAACCACGUCUUUGCUUUUUUGAUGAAUUAAAACUUUUAAAUUUUGAAUAUGUCUAUUGAAAAACAUCAACAACGGUUGUGUCUUCGAAUAUGUUUGUCAUGAAGAUAUAUAUAUAUAUAUAUAUUAAACAAGAUGUACAAUCAUUUUGAUACGGAGAGGAGGAUUAGAAGGUGCGCCGAAGGAUGAAGGAGUCGACCAAGCCGGCAGAGGGCAGCCUGCUGCAGCACUGGCGCGAGCGCGGACGACCAGGCCCUGGGGGAGACGAUUGGUUGUUGGUGCUAGGCAGCUACCUCUAGCAUUUGGCGUCGACCGUGAGGGAGUGAGGGUGAGGCCAUGAUGGUUAGUUGUCGUGGGGUGUCCAUGGUUUGAUCACGUCUAUGGCUGAUGAAUAUGCUUUGGUCACUUGCAUCUCGCCGAAGGCGAAGCCCGGGCACGUGCCUAGGCUGGCCGGGCGGUGCCUCCGCCACUGGCCCUGAGCGAUUCUGCAACAGAACUUCUCUUCUCUUCCUUACGCUUUGUGCCGUUUUUUGAGAAAGAGAGAGAGAGAGCGCUCUGCAUUCUGCAACUGACCGACUCUUCUACGCAGGAUUGAGAAACUAGGCCGCCGAACUAGAAGGUGCCAAACACAUCAAGUUCUCAUCGCAUCUAAUUUCUCAGCAGUUCGAUCUUAAGAUGACGGCUACCAAACACAUCAAGUUCUCAUCGCACAUGUCCACCAUCCGACCGUCGCUAUUGGAAUCCUCUAGAAAAAAAAUUCUCGACAAUGGGAGUAAAGAGAGGCAUUGUCCAUCAGCAGCAACGACCCCACUAGUGGUCGAUGCCCCAUUCGCUCCCCCUCCCAGCACAACCGCGCUCUGCUCGACGCUAAGGAAGGCACACAGUCGAAAUGGGGAAAAAGAAAGUCACAACGCUCUUCGUCACCGGCGACGCUGUUGGUGAUCACCACACCAUGCCCCUGCUCCUCAGCGCGUUUGAUAGCCCCAACUUCGUUUGCUCAAGCACCCGCUCCUCAAGCACGACAGCGGAAAGCUAGUGCAUGCCAGCCUCGGGGCGAGAUUAGAUGAGUUGGAGAGUAGGAGAAGUACACAAUAGAGUGGGACGUGGGAGCGAAGUUGGGAGGGCGGAAGCAGGACGACUUGGCGCACAUCGACCGCCUUGUCCUCACCACCAUGUGGGACUGUGGCCAGCCUAGCGUCGCCGCCAUCUGCCUCCUCGACGAGGUCAACAAGAUCGUCUUCAACCUAACUGUCUGAAAGCUCAUCAACAUCAGGCACGGACCCUAAACUGAGAGCGUCCACCGCGAGUACGUCAAUCUCAUUGAUAGCUCUUCUCCAUUCCCUUCCCCUUCACCUACCUCCUCCCUUUCACCGCCUACGGGUAGCACUCAAGGUGCCUUUCUUCUUCUCGCCAUUUGUCUGUCCCCCUAUUAUUUUUGUGUUAUGUGUGUUGGCGCCGAUCCGGGCGCCAAUCAUUGCGAUGAUAACCAGCGGCGGUGCUAUCUGCACAGGCACAGACGGUCCGUGGCCAGGGGCAGUACGGUCCGCGACCUGGCGUAGGGCUCGGGUUCCCGCCUGACGGGCCGGACGGUCCGCGCGUGCGCAGGGGCGACGGAGUUCGCCGACGGUGCCUGAAUCUCGCUCUCGGGAGGGACCCCAUCAGGGAGGAGAGAUCCUAGGUGCCAACCCUAGACACAUCUAAUCGAUGUAGAGCCAAAGAGAAGCGAAGGAUUUAGGGAUUGAGAGGUGUCGGCGUUUCGACCCCGGGGUGUCCCUGGACCGACGAGUAAAAUUGUCGCUGCGUGUCCCAGCACAGAUGGGUUGGCGCGAGAUGGAACACAAGGGGGGAAAACGCGGCUCGUGUUAUCCUGUGCCAGGGGGAUGCGCUCGUAGUAGGGGUUACAAGCGUUCGCGAGGGAGAGAGAGUGAGCAUGUUCGUCAGCCCGUCCUCCCGCGCGACCCUCCCGCAUGAGGGCCCUGGACCUUCCUUUUAUAGAUGCAAGGAGAGGGUCCAAGUGUACAACGGGGGUGUAGCUAUGCGCUAACGUGUCCGACAGAGAGGUGUCUGAGCCCUGUGUACAUACUAACGUGGCUGUCGGAGAGGUGCUAGAGCUCUGUGUACGCGGUAUCGUGGCCGUCGGAGGAGCGCUUGAGCCCUGUAGAAGCACAGCUGUCGGGGCUCCUAGGAUCUUGCUGACGUCUCCUUGCUUCCGUAGGGGGCUGAGAACCACCGUCGUCAUGGACGCACGCGGGGAGCCAUCAUUACUUGUUACCGGGGCGAGCCUGGAUGGGACGCUGGUCUUGUUCUCCCGUAGCCUGAGCUAGCUAGGGGUAGGGUAAUGAUGUAUCCCCCGUGGCGUGGUCGGUCCGAGCCCAAGGUCUGUCGCGGCCUCCGACGCUGCCUCCUGCCGCUUGAUCCGGGCGUGGCCGUCUGCCCACCGUACGGGCGGCUGUUGCGCCGUGUGCACCGGGGGACCGUCCAAGACGUCGCACGCCGCUAGGGCGGCGUUCGUGUUCUUGGAUUGUCUUGUCCUCACUCCGGCACGACGCCUCCGCGCGGAGGUCGGUGUCUGCCCGUCCGCGAGGACUUGAGUGGGGAUCUGUCGGUGUAGGUUGGGGCGGCCGCCAUUCGUUGGCGUUGCGCCGGCGCGCAGGUGGCCUCUGUCAUCGGUGCUGAGGUGGUGGUCGCCAGAGGAGGUUUCUCCGCCGACGAGACCGUGGGCGCCACCCGCGGACAGACCUCCGGCUCUUUGGCUUUGAUAGCCUGUCCUCGCCCCUCGAGCGGGGACGUGGGCGAGGGCCUUGUCACAGCAGCGUCUGCCCUGAGGUCAUCACUGCUGCUGUUUAGCCACCUGGAGUUUGUUGUCCCGCAGGCCCUCUGGUGUGGAGGUAGUUCAUACCCGCGGGAGUGGAACCGGAGUUCCGUUUGUAAUGGCACCCUGAGUACGGGUGUAUGUUCAUUGUGGCUGUCGGGGCCUGAACAUCUGGGUAUUUUGGCGUGAAGCCGUGUUUCUUCCUCAUUUCGAGCACCAGGACUCGCGUGUCGGCUAGCCGAACCGCUUAACCGAGUGUGAGUUGCCCUGCGCGGAAGGUGACGAGUGAGGUAUCCAUAUCCCGGAGGCGUAGGAGUCCCUCGGCUCGGUCGACCUUGCCACUCAAGGCCUCUCUUGCUCAGUUAUAGAACCUUCGGCCGCUCUGCGAUGAGCUAGAGUCGGAGGCAGCGGCGUCGGCGUGGACAGAGGCAGAGUUGACUCGAAAAGGGGCUUCGUCGGCCUAGGAGCGGGUGGCUUCCCAGGCCGAGGAGGUGCAGCAGUGGCGACUGGAGCCUGGCCGGGUCAUCCGUGAGCAGGACCAUCCUCGGAGUCACGCUGCCUAGGCCGUGAGCCGGGCUGAUGUCCUCGGGGGACAGCUGGUUGAUGCUACGGAGCGGCUGGUCGAGGUGUCUGCUCGGGCUGGGACCCUUGCGGAGACCCUGGCUACGAUGGCCCAAGCACGGUGCUGGCGUCCUCCUUCGAGGUGGAGAUCCUUCCGCCCGUGUCGCCGUCCGAGGCCGGGCCAGAUCCCGCCGAAAGUGGAAACGAUGCCGAGGGUGCUGCUGCUCCCUCUGUCGAUGUCUGAACUUGCAGGAACAGUUUGUCUGUAGUAUGUGUAUGCUUGUUGCGGCCGCCGAGGCCCAAACAUAUUAUUGUCGUAUUAUAAAGCUGCGUUUUCUUUCCUCUUGUUUCGAGUAUCAGGACUUGUUCGUCGGCAGCAGAAUCGCUUAUCCGAGCGAGAGUUACUUUUCGCGGAAGGUGAUGAGUGAGGUAUCCGUAUCCCGGAGGCGUAGGAGUCCCUCGGCUCGGUUGGCCUUGCCGCUUACGUGCACUCUCACUCGUUCGUAGGAUUCUAUUAUUGAUAUAGUCGAGAAGGCACGAAAAUCGUUCUAGCAGAAAAGUUUUCGAGCGUUAGGACUUGUUCGGCAGUAGAAUCGCUUAUCCGAGCGUGAGUUACUUAUCACGGAAGGUGAUGAGUGAGGUAUCCGUAUCCCGGAGGCGUAGGAGUCCCUUGACUCGGUCGGCCUUGCCGCUUACGUGUACUCUCGUCGUUUUCAGGAUGCCACUAUCGAAGCUGUCGAAAAGCGCGAAAGAUGUUCUGGCAGAAAGACUUUUUCCGAGGAAAAUUUGGACGCGGAGGGGGUUCCCCCUUCAAGCCCCCGAGGGAGGGUCGGGCUUUGCCGAGGCAAGGCUGACCCUUCCUUGACGGUUAGACUUUAUUUGUGUAUGUAUAGAAAACGAGGUAUAUGAACGACUUGAAAACAUCUUAAGGGUAAAAGCGACGUAGCUGUCGGAUGUUCCAAGCGUUGCUGUAGACCUCGCCUUGAUCGUUGGCCAGCUUGUAUGUUCCAGGCUUCAAAAUCUUGGCGAUGAUGAACAGCCCUUCCCAGGGAGGGGUAAGCUUGUUGCGCCCUCGGGCGUCCUGCCGCAGCCGAAGUACCAAGUCUCCCACCUGGAAGCCUCGGGGCCGAACCCCUCGGGCGUGAUAGCAUCGCAGAGACUGCUGAUACCGCGCCGAGUGUAGUAAGACCACGUCCCGAGCCUCUUCGAGCUGGUCCAGUGAGUCUUCUCGGCUGGUUUGGUUGCUUCGGUCGUCGUACACCUUUGUCCUCGGGGAAUCGUAUUCUAAGUCUAUGGGUAAGAUAGCCUCGGCCCCAUAGACUAGAAAGAACGGCGAGAAACCCGUGGCCCGGCUCGGCGUCGUCCUCAGACUCCAGACCACCGAGGGUAGCUCUUUCGUCCACCGCUUGCGGAACUUGUUGAGGUCGUUGUAGAUCCUCAGUUUCAGUCCCCGCAGAAUCAUACCAUUGGCACGCUCCACCUGCGCAUUUGUCAUGGGGUGAGCAACGGCGGCCUAGUCCACAUGGAUGUGGUGGUCCUUGCAGAAGUCCAGGAACUUCUUCCCAGUGAACUGCGUGCCAUUGUCGGUGAUGAUGGAGUUCGGGACCCCAAAGCGAUGGAUGAUGUUGGUGAAGCACGCCACUGCUUGCUCAGACCUGAUGUUGGUUAGGGGUCGGACCUCGAUCCACUUGGAGAAUUUGUCGAUGGUGACCAGCAGGUGCGAGAAUCCCCCGGGUGCCUUCUGCAAGGGACCGGCGAGGUCUAGACCCCACACAGCGAAUGGCCAGGUGAUGGGUAUUGUCUGCAGGGCCUGAGCGGGCAGGUGCGUUUGUCUUGCGUAGAAUUGACCCCCUUGGUAGGAGCGUACAAUCCUAGUGGUGUCGGCCACCGCGGUCGGCCAGUAGAAGCCUUGUCGGAAGGCGUUUCCCACGAGGGCUCGAGGUGCUGCGUGGUGAUCGCAAGCCCCCGAGUGUAUUUCUUGCAAUAGCUCCUGUCCUUCAGCGAUGAAUAUGCACCGUUGGAGAAUGCCCGAGGGGCUACGGUGGUAGAGCUCCUUUUCAUCCCCUAGUAAGACGAACGACUUGACGCGCCACACCAGUCGCCGAGCCUCGGCCUUGUCGAGGGGUAGCUCUCCUCGGUGGAGAUAUUGCAGGUACGAGGUCAGCCAGUUUCAAUUAGGCGUGACCCCAUUCCUCUCUUCCUCGAUGCGCAGUGCCUCACCCUCGACGGCCGAGGAUACCUUGGGCUCGGCCAAGGCCUCCUCGGGGUGGACCGAGGCCUCCUCGGGCUGGGCGUGUCGUCGGUCUUGACGGAGGGUUGAUGUAUGUCUCUGGAGAAGACGUCCGGGGGAACCGUUGUUCGCCCCGAGGCUAUUUUAGCCAGCUCAUCCACAGUCUCGUUGUACCGUCGAGCGAUGUGGUUGAGCUCGAGCCCGUAGAACUUGUCUUCCAAGCGCCGAACUUCGUCGCAGUAGCCCUCCAUCUUCCGGUCGCGGCAGUGGGAGUUCUUCAUGACUUGGUCAAUGACAAGCUGCGAGUCGCCACGAGCGUCGAGGCGCCGAACCCCUAUCUCGAUGGCGACGCACAACCCGUUAACCAGAGCCUCAUACUCGGCCAUGUUGUUUGACGCUGGGAAAUGGAGGCGCAACACGUAGCGGAGAUGUUUCCCGAGGGGUGAGAUGAAGAGCAGGCCAGCACCUGCUCCUGUUUUCAUCAGCGACCCAUCGAAGUACAUGGUCCAGAGUUCCGGUUGGAUUAGAGCUGUUGGCAAUUGGGUGUCGACCCAUUCAGCCACGAAGUUCGCCAAGACUUGGGACUUGAUGGCCUUCCGAGGAGCGAACGAGAUUGUUUCGCCCAUGAGCUCCACUGCCCACUUUGCUAUCCUACCCGAGGCCUCUCGGCACUGGAUGAUCUCCCCCAGGGGGAAGGAUGACACCACAGUCACCGGAUGAGACUCGAAGUAGUGUCGCAACUUUCGCCGCGUCAGAAUUACUGCGUACAGUAGCUUCUGAAUUUGCGGGUAGCGGAUCUUGGUCUCGGAUAGCACUUCACUGAUGAAGUAGACCGGCCUCUGGACGAGCAGUGCAUGCCCUUCUUCUCGUCUCUCGACUACGAUCGCGACGAUGACCACCUGAGUGGUUGCGGCUACAUAGAUCAAGAGGGCUUCUCCCGCAGCAAGAGGCACCAAGAUGGGCGCGUUUGUAAGGAGCACCUUUAAGUUUCCGAGGGCUUCCUCGGCCUCGGGGGUCCAAGUGAAGCGCUCGGUCUUCCUUAAGAGGCGGUACAAGGGUAGGCCUUUUUCGCCGAGGCGCGAGAUGAAGCGGCUCAGAGCCGCAAGGCAUCCAGUGACCCUUUGUACCCCUUUCAAAUCUUUGAUAGGCCCCAUGUUGGUGAUGGCCGCGAUUUUCUCCGGGUUGGCCUCGAUGCCCCGCUCGGAGACGAUGAACCCCAGGAGCAUGCCUCAGGGGACUCCGAAGACACACUUCUCGGGGUUGAGCUUCGCGUCGUUCGCUCUCAGACACUUGAAUGUCGUUUCAAGGUUAGAGAGGAGGUCGGAGGCUUUCCUCGUCUUGACUAUGAUGUCAUCGACGUAAGCCUCGACCGUUCGGCCGAUGUGCUCUCCGAACACGUGGUUCAUGCACCUUUGGUAUGUUGCACCUGCAUUCCUCAAGCCAAAUGGCAUAGUAGUAUAGCAGUACAUGCCAAAAGGUGUGAUGAAAGAAGUCGCGAGUUGGUCGGACUCUUUCAUCUUGAUUUGGUGAUAACCUGAGUAGGCGUCGAGGAAUGACAGGGUUUCGCACCCAGCAGUGGAGUCCACAAUUUGAUCGAUGCGAGGCAGAGGGUAGGGAACCUUCGGACAUGCUUUGUUUAGACCAGUGUAGUCUACACACAUCCUCCAAUUCCCACCUUUUUUUCACAAGCACAGGGUUGGCUAACCAUUCAGGAUGGAAUACCUCUUUGAAGAACCCUGCAGCCAUCAGCUUGUGGAUCGCCUCGCCUAUGGCUCUGCGCUUUUCUUCGUCGAAACGGCGCAGAGGCUGCUUCACAGGUCGGGCAUCGACUCGUAUAUCCAGUGAGUGCUCGGCGACAUCCCUCGGUAUGCCGGGCAUGCCCGAGGGACUCCACGCAAAAACUUCGGCGUUUGUGCGAAGAAAGUCGACGAGCACUGCUUCCUAUUUGGGGUCGAGCUCGGAGCCGAUCCGGACUUGCUUGCAGGCGUCGUUGCUGGGGUCGAGGGUGACGGUCUUAACUGCCUCGGCCGGCUUGAAGUUGCCGGCGUGGCGCUUCGCAUCAGGCACCUCCUUGGAGAGGCACUCCAGGUCGGCGAUGAGGGCCUCGGACUCGGCGAGGGCCUCAGCGUACUCCACACACUCCACGUCGCAUUCGUACGCAUGUUGGUACGUGGAUCCGACGGUGAUGACCCCAUUGGGGCCUGACAUCUUGAGCUUGAGGUAGGUGUAGUUGGGGACAACCAUGAACUUGGCGUAGCACGGUCUCCCCAGCACCGCGUGGUAGGUUCCUCGGAACCCGACCACCUCGAACAUGAGGGUUUCCCUGCGGAAGUUGGAGGGAGUUCCGAAGCAGACGGGCAGAUCGAGUUGUCCAAGGGGCUGGACGCGCUUCCCGGGGAUGAUCCCGUGAAAGGGCGCUGCACCGGCCCGGAUCAUGGACAGAUCGAUCUCCAAGAGCCCGAGGGUCUUGGCGUAGAUGAUGUUGAGGCUGCUGCCUCCGUUCAUGAGGACCUUGGUGAGCCUAGUGUUGCCGAUGACGAGGUCGACAACGAGCGGGUACUUUCCCGGGCUCGGCACGCAGUCGGGGUGGUCGCCUUGGUCGAAGAUGAUGGGCUUGUCGGACCAAUCUAGGUAGACUGGUGCUGCCACCUUUACCGAGCAGACCUCCCGGCGCUCCUGCUUGCGGUGCCAAGCCGAGGCGUUCGCCACUUGCCCACCAUAGAUCAUGAAACAGUCGUGGACCUCGGGGAACUCCUCUGCCUUGUCGCCCUCCUUCUUGUCAUUGUCUUGGCCUUUGCCACCUUCCGCCGGGGCCCCGACCUUAUAGAAGUAGCACCGAAGCAUGACACAUUCCUCAAGGGUGUGCUUGACGGGACCCUGGUGGUAGGGGCACGACUCCUUGAGCAUCUUGUCGAACAGGUUGGCCCCUCCGGGAGGCUUCCGAGGGUUCCUGUGUUCGGCAGCAGCGACAAGAUCUGCGUCGGCGGCGUCGCGUUUCGCUUGCGACUUCUUCUUGGCCUUCUUCUUCGUGACACGCUGGGCGGACGCCUCGGGAACGUCUUCCUGCUGGCGCCCCUGAGGCUGCUUGUCCUUCCGGAAGAUGGCUUCGACUGCCUCCUGACCAGAGGCGAACUUGGUGGCUAUGUCCAUCAACUCGCUCGCCUUGGCAGGAGUCUUGCGGCCCAGUUUGCUCACCAGGUCGCGGCAAGUGGUGCCGGCGAGGAACGCCCCGAUGACAUCCGAGUCGGUGAUGUUGGGCAGCUCGGUGCGCUGCUUCGAAAACCGCCGGAUGUACUCUCGCAGGGAUUCCCCUGGCUGCUGGCGGCAGCUUUGGAGAUCCCAGGAGUUCCCAGGGCGCACGUACAUGCCCUGGAAGUUUCUAGCGAAGGAUUUGACCAGAUCGUCCCAGUUGGAGAUCUGCGCAGGAGGCAGAUGCUCUAGCCAGGCUCGGGCGGCGUCAGAGAGGAACAAGGGGAGGUUGCGGAUGAUGAGGUUGUCAUCGUCCGUUCCACCCAACUGGCAGGCCAGCCGGUAGUCCGCAAGCCACAACUCCGACCUUGUUUCCCCUGAGUACUUAGUGAUGGUAGUCGGGGCCCAGAACCGGGUCGGGAACGGCGCCCGUCUUAUGGCCCGGUUGAAGGCUUGCAGACCUGGUGGUUCGGGCGAGGGGCUCCGAUCCUCCUCACUGUCGUAGCGUCCCCCACGCCUGGGGUGGUAGCCUCGGCGCACCUUCUCGUCGAGGUGGGCUCGACGGUCGCGGCGGUGGUGCUCGUUGCCGAGGCGACCCGGGGCUGCAGGCGUCGCGUCCCGCAUGCGCCCGGUGUGGACCGAAGCCUCCCGCAUGAAUCGGGAAGUUGCUGCACGAUGCUCUGGGGGGCACCCUUGCCUUCGGGAGGCAGAGCUUUCGGCCCGUCGGACUGUGGCAUCCUCUAGGAGAUUCUUGAGUUCUCCCUGGAUACGCCGCCCAUCAGUGGUGGAUGGCUCCGACAUCGCUCGGAGUAGUAUCGCCACUGCAGCCAGAUUCUGGCCGACCCCGCUGGAGGCCGGGGGCAGCCUUGCCCUGGCAUCGUCAACGAUACGGCGCUGGACGUCCCGGGCCUGAUGACGUGCUUCUCCGGCGAGUGCUCGGCCUACCCACUCCUGCUCGAUGUUUUGCAGGAGCUGCACAAGUUGCCCUGCUUCCUCGUCGAGCUUGGCCUGCAUCUCGCGGAUUUGCUCGAGCUGUGUGUCCUGACCCCCCGCAGGGACUAGGACCACAACUAGCUCCCACAGGAUGUCAAGGCGAGGCGCAUGCCUAGGGGAAUCGUCAUCCUCUGGCAUACCGAGGUGGUUGCCUUCGUCGUGACCCCCUAGAUCGACGUGGAAACAUUCGCGACUUGGGCCACAACCCUCAUCGUCAAGGCUGUGGCCAUCAUCGGAGAGGCAGUAGUCGCAUGCGGUCAUGAAGUCUCGCAUGGCACUGGGAUUACCGAGCCCGGAGAAAUCCCAACCAAAGUCGGGCUCGUCUUCUUCCUCGAAACCUGGGGGCCCGUAGGUUGAGACGGCCGUCACUCGGUCCCAGGUUGACCACAUAUGGUACCCUGGAAGGUUAGGAUACGCCUUAAUGAAAGCGCUCACCGAAGCGGGGUCGUUUGGUGGAUCGAAGCUGAAUCUAAAAGGCACAGGGUGGAAAACGGACGGUACCUCUCGAUCGAUGGACGGUGACGAGGUCGCGUCGGGGACGGACUGCACCGUUAUUUCAGGUACAAGGCUAACGCCCAGCAAGCCCUUUGCGAGAGUGCUGGCGUCAUCUGUCCGCCUGGGGUUGGCAUGUUGCGGGAAACGACACUCGUCGUUGUCUCAGGCGCGAGGACAACGCCCAACAUGUCCCCCGCUGGGGUGUCGGCGUCGUCGACUCGCUCGACAGCCGACGAGAUGCUGCCUCCUGCCUGGCCACGAUUGCCCCGUCUCCUCCUCUUGCGGUGAGGAGGGUGGCAGGACAAACCUGGAUGCUGCUCUUCCGCCACGGGGGGAAGACGUCGUCGAGUUCGCCAGCGUCGGGCGAGCUGACGGCCGUCAUUGUCGCUGUCGCGCUGCGGAGGGAGGAGUACCAUGUCGUAGCUGCCGUCGAGGGACAUGAACUCGAGGCUCCCGAAGCGGAGCAGCGUCCCGGGCUGAAGAGGUUGCUGGAGGCUACCCAUCUGGAAAUCAACGGGAAGUUGUUCGUCAACACGCAGCAGGCCCCUACUUGGCGCGCCAACUGUCGACGUUUCGACCCCGGGGGGGUCCCUGGACCGAUGAGUAAAAUUGUCGCUGCGUGUCCCAGCCCAGAUGGGUUGGCGCGAGAUGGAACACAAGGGGGGAAAACACGGCUCGUGUUAUCCUGCGCCAGGGGGAUGCGCUCGUAGUAGGGGUUACAAGCGUUCACGAGGGAGAGAGAGUGAGCCUGUUCGUUAGCCCGUCCUCCCGCGCGACCCUCCCGCAUGAGGGCCCUGGACCUUCCUUUUAUAGAUGCAAGGAGAGGGUCCAGGUGUACAACGGAGGUGUAGCUAUGCGCUAACGUGUCUGAUAGAGAGGCGUCUGAGCCCUGUGUACAUUCCAACGUGGCUGUUGGAGAGGUGCUAGAGCUCUGUGUACGCAGUAUCGUGGCUGUCGGAGGAGCGCUUGAGCCCUGUAGAAGCACAGCUGUCGGGGCUCCUGGGAUCUUGCUGACGUCUCCUUGCUUUCGUAGGGGGCUGAGAACCACCGUCGUCAUGGACGCACGCGGGGAGCUAUCAUUACUUGUUACCAGGGCGAGCCUGGAUGGGACGCUGGUCUUGUUCCCCCGUAGCCUGAGCUAGCUAGGGGUAGGGUAAUGAUAUAUCCCCCGUGGCAUGGUCGGUCCGAGCCCAAGGUUGGGCGAGGCGGAUACUCCUCCUGAGGCCGAGGCUGGGGUCGGGCGAGGACGCGAUUCCUCCCGAGGUCGAGGUUGAGGCCGAGCCCUGGGGUCGGGCGAGGCGGAGACCACCCUCCGAGGCCGAGGUUCAGGCCGAGCCCUGGGGUCGGGCGAGGCAGAGUCCUCCUUCCAAGGCCGAGGUUGAGGCCGAGCCCUAGGGUCGGGCGAGGCGGAGCUUCCUGUUGCGCCCGAGGCUGAACUUGGCUGUUGCCAGCCUCACUCUGGCGGGUGGCACAGUAGUCGGAGCGGGGCGAGCGGCGCUGUUUUCCUGUCAGGUCGGUCAGUGGGAGGGCGAAGUGACUGCGGUCACUUCGACCUUGCCGACUGAGGCACACGUGUUAGGAUAAGGCGUCAGGCGAUCCUCGCAUUGAAUGCGUCUGUGAUACGGUCGGUUGGUGAGGCGAUUUGGCCAAGGUUGCUUCACAACGAAGCCUGCCUGAGCUGGUCUUCGGGCGAGUCGAGGGUGCGCCCGUUGCUUGAGGAGGCCCUCGGGCGAGGCGUGAAUUCGCCUGGGACUACUGUUCCUGCCCGAGGCUGGGCUCGGGCGAGGCGAGAUCGCGUCCCUUGAGUAGACGAAGCCUUGACCUGAAUUGCGCCCAUCAGUCUCUGCAGCUUGUGCUGAUGGUGGUUACCAGCUGUGUUUAGGAGUGUUGGGGGUACCCCUAAUUACGGUACCCGACAAGAGGCUAAACUAGAACUAAACUAGAACUACUCCUAAUGCCUAAGGUAAAAACGAGAGAUAAAUUGAUUAUUGAUUCGAUUGCUGAUGUUUAAUCGGCCGUAUUCCUCUAUAUUUAUAGAGCAGGGGGCUAGACCCGUUACAAACUAAUCUCCGAGUUAAUUCCACGAAUCUAGCCAACAACUGUAGCAAGAAACUCAGAACCCUAACUGACUCUGCACGCGCGGCCGUCCGGCCUCGGGGCCGGACCGUCCGCAGGGACAUUUUGCCUUCCAACAUAUGCCCCCUGCCUUUUGGCUGAGCGAACCAAAAGCAACUAACUCGAUGUGAUCACAUCAAUUUUCUUAGGCAUUUUGCCACAUACUAGGAUGAUACUGCUUGAGAAAACACGCGUUUAACGACUUAGGAAAGUCUUUGCCUUGUAAUGUUUGCAGCAAGUAGGCAUUACCGGACAUCACCUGCGUGACUUUGUAAGGGCCUUCCCAGCUUGACGACCACUUCCCAAACUUCCGGUGUUUGCUCCUCAGAGGCAGGACAGUCUUCCAUACCAGGUCCCUUACCUGGAAUGAUUUAGCCUUGACCUUCUUGUUGUAAGCUUUGGCGACCAUGAUCUUGUUCUUUUCUAUUUCUCCUAAGGCCGUCACUCUCUUGUCGAUCACUUCAUCAAUAUUGUCCAUCACAGAAUUAUAAUAAUCACCGAUAGUCAGAUCAUUUUGCUUGGCGAACCUGACAACAUUUAAACUUAUCUCUACAGAUAACACUGCUUCCUGCCCAUAGACAAGCUCAAACGGAGAUACUUUAGUAGCACGAUGUUUAGAUAUUCUGUGAGCCCAUAAAGGUUCGGACAAAAUCCUAUGCCAAUGCUUAGGAUGAUCAGACAUCUUCUUUUUUAUCAGGCUAAUCAAUGUCCUAUUACUAGACUCGGCCUGUCCAUUGGCCUAAGCAUAAUACGAAGAUGAAUUGAGUAACUUAAUUCUAUAUAAUUCAGCAAACUCAUGUACCUCCUUUGACAUAAAAGAAGCCCCCUGGUCUGUAGUAAAAGUCCGGGGAAUGCCGAAUCUAUGAAUAAUAUGCUUAAUUAUGGACUCAAUUACCUCCCUGUGUGUCAUGUUCUUCAGAGCAACGACUUCAGUCCAUUUGGUAAAGUUGUCAGUGGCAACUAACACAAACCGAUGCCCUUUUGAUGAUGAAGGAUGAAUCUCUCCUAUAAAGUCCAAUCCCCAUCCUCUGAAAGGCUAAGGCUUAAUGAUAGGAUGUAAUUCGGCUGCAGGGACCAACUGUAAGUCGCCAAAUUUUUGACAUACUUAGCAUCCUUUGUAGUACUUGAAAUAAUCAGCUAUCAUGUUAGGCCAAUAGAAGUCAGACCUUCGUAAUAACCAUUUCAUCUUUAAAGCUGAUUGGUGGGUACCACAAAUCCCUUCAUGUACUUCAGCCAUGGCUAAUAUAGCAUCACCUAGGUCCAAGCAUGUAAGCAGGACAUCGUUGACUGUUCGGCGGUAGAGUUCAUUACUCAUUAAAACAUACUUGAAAGCUAUACACCGAAUGUUCUUAUCCAUCCUAACACUGGGAUUUCAUAGAUAAUUAAUUAUGUGUGUCCUCCAUUCGCUUGCAUCAGCUUCAUUACCAGCCGAAUCAAUCAGGAGAACUUUCCUGGUAACCCCGCGCGGUCCGGAGCCUUCACCCGGACUGUCCGCGACCUGGGGAAUUGGCCCUGUAUCGGUUCCCAGAUUUUCAGUGUUGUGAAAUUUUCCUCGCUUUAUCCGAUAACCUGAUGCAUCUUGUGCCAAAUUGUUAGCUCUAUGAUUCUCGACUCUAGAGAUGUGUCAAAUGCUAAAUUCAUCAAAAGAAAGAAUUAUGCCCCAACAUUUUUCAAGGUAUCUAUUUAGAGUACCAUCAAAACAUUGAUACUCUUCUAAUAACUGUUGGACAACCAGCUGACCUGAGAAUCACCAAAUGCCUUCACAUGUUUUACUCCCAUACAAUUUAAAAGUUCCAAGCCAAAUAAAAGGGCCUCAUAUUCGGCUUGAUUGUUAGUGUAAUAAGUUUUUAAUCGACUAGAGAAGUCGAAGGAGCCAUUACUUGGUGAAACAAGCACGAUGCCAAUUCCUUGUCCUUCAUUGCAAACCGAUCCAUCAAAACAUAAAGUCCAGGGAGUAACAAUGUGGUAUGAUAUGUCUAGUUUAUGAGUAUCAUCAAUCCGAUGUUCUACAAUAAAAUCUUCUACGACCUAGCCUUUCAUAGAUUUCAAUGGUUCAUAGGCCAAGUCAUAUUCUACGAGUGCAUAAGCCCAUUUACCAAUUCUACCACUAAUAAUCGGGUUUUGCAACAUGUAUUUGAUCACAUCGGUUUGACCAACAACGAUGCUAUGACUAGACAGUAAAUAACAUCUACACUUGGUGAUGCAUAAAACAGGCAUAAGCAUAAUUUCUCGAUAAAAGUGUACCUCGUUUCAGCAUCCACCAGCCUCCGACUUAGGUAGGUUACCACAUGCUCCUUUCCUUCGGUCUCUUGUGUCAGAAUAGUUCUAAUAACCUUAUCUUCAGCUGCAAUGUAUAAUCUGAACGGUACUCCUACCUGUGGUGCUUUUAACACGGGAGCCGAAGACAAAUACUUUCUGAUGAGAUCAAAUGCUUCCUGCUGUUCUGCCUCCAGGUGAAUUCGACAUCAUUUUAAGCCGAAGGAUACGAGUGAAGGCAUCAAUCUUCCCAGCUAGGUUAGAAAUAAAGCUCUGUAAAUAAUUUAUCUUGCCAAGGAACUUCUGCACUUCAAGCUUACAGGUCGGAGGUCCUACAUUAUAAAUGGAUUUAAUUCGGUCAGGGUCUAUCUCUAUACCGUGUUCGUGAAUGAUGAAUCCUAAUAACUUACAAGCCGACACUCCAAAAGCACAUUUACGUGGGUUCAUUUUCAGACCAUACUGAUGCAUUUUUUAUCAAAGGCUUUGCACAAAUUAGCUAUAUGAGAACUAAACUCAGCCGAUUUGACUACAAUAUCAUCAAUGUAGACUUCCACAGUGUUUCCCAAUAGCUCGUGAAAGAUCAAAUUCAUAGCCCUCUGAUAAGUAGCACCAGCAUUUUUCAAACCAAAUGUCAUGACAACCCACCCAAAUAAACCAAUGAAACCUGGACAUAUAAAGGCUGUUUUAGACGCAUCUUCUUUGGCCAUGAAAAUCUGAUUAUAUCUAACAUUACCGUUAAGAAAGCUAAUAAUUCUAUUUCCUGACGCAUUAUUGAUCAACGUGUCGGCUAUGGGCAUGCGAUAUUCAUCUUUAGGAGUUGCUCUAUUCAAAUUGCGGAAAUCAAUACAUACUCUGAGCUUACCUGAUUCUUUAUUUUCCAUCGGCACAAUAUUGGAGACCCACUCUGCGUAUCUACAAGGUCUAAUAAAAUUAGCUUCUAGUAGCCGGUGAAUUUCGUCAUUUAUUCAUGGUAGUAGGUCUGGACGAAAUGUUCUAGCUUUCUACUUGGAAGGUCUGAAACCAGACUUAAUAAGCAGCCGAUGCUCUACUAUCUCUCGGCUUAAUCCUGGCAUCUCAGUAUAAUUUCAAGAAAAGCAAUCGAAAUAUUCUUUCAAUAGACCGAUUGUUGGGGGCCUUCGUCUUUCGAAAGUCCUCAAAAACAUGAUUAACAUGUUUCCCAAGUAUAAUAUAUGUACAGGAACCUUCGGACUCAGAAUGAAGCUAUACACAAUAUGAAAAGCAUGGUCGGGACGAAGGUUGAACCAGUUCCGAAGCUAUGCGCAGGGAAGCUUCGGCUCAGCAACAGAAAACAGAACCAACUUAAAGAGGAAAAGGCUAUCUAGUCCUCGAUAAAUUGUCCUUAAGUCAAUAGUAAACAUAAAGGGCAUGAAUGUAAUUUUACACAGGCUGCGCCCUAUGCCUAUAAAUAGAUGAACAAUACCCCCGUACUGUUCACGCUGACUUGUAUUCACUCGCGUGUCACACUUGGACUUUUGCCUUCUGUCAAGCUGAAGGUACAAAUGUAAUUCAAUAUUGUUCAUGUUCGUUCAUGAUGAUAUAAUAAAGUUAUAUCAAUGAUGUCAUAUGAUUAUUCAUGUUAUUUCUCAUGUUUCAUACGCUUCUACUUCCAUUAAUAUACAUUAUUGUUGGGGACUUGUCCUUAAAUGCUAUGAAAUAAGAACAAGGCAACAUAGAAAUUGUUAAACGUUAAAGUCCUUCGUCCUCCGAAGCAUUAUUUCCCUUGGGAUAUAAUGAGUUUCGGAUGAAGGUUGUGAGGGACAUACCUUCAUUAGCACAACAAAUAAUGAAGAAGGAUUCUUAUAAAGUAUAAACACUUAAAUAUUAUUAUUAACUCAUUUCUAUUUUAUUAUUAUGGAAAAAUAGAAAUGAUAACAAAUUACAAAUGUACAUUCGGCUUGAAAGAAGGCAAAAGUACAAGCGUGACGCAAAAGCAAAUGCCAAGUCAGCGUGAACAGUACGGGAGUACUGUUCAUCUAUUUAUAGGCACGGGUCGCAGCCCAUGUAAAAUUACAUCCAAGCCCUUUGUAUUUGCUAAUAACUCUAUAGUAAUUCAUCGGGGUCUAGAUAGCCUUUUCCUCUUUAAGUCGGUUUCCUUUUUCCUGUCAUCAUGCCGAAGCUUCCUUCCGCUCAGCUUCGGCUCUGUUUCAUCCUUCGUUCCUCUUGUCCUAAGAGUCCAUGUCUGAAGAGUCCAUGUCCGAAGGUGCCUGCUCAUGUAUUAUACUCCAGAAACAUUGUUAAAUCAUGUUUUUGAGGACCUUCGGAAGCCAAAGGCCCCCAACAGUAGCCCCUCGCAAUAUUAAUUUGUUAGGAUGAUAAAUUUAGAUUGUGAUAUGGACGAAGGCCCUAAGCUGAAGGUCCGAAAAAACACCUUCCCUUUGCUAGAAUAGCAACAGUUAAUGACAAGCGAGACCCUCCCUCUUGCAAUGCCCUGGGCAUAUAAAUAUGAUACGACCGUGAGCUCAUUUGGCACGCUUUCUUGCCAUCUGUACUGCCUGCUUGAAAACAACUCUUUGCCUGCAAACGCUGGUGCUUUCUAGAUUUUUUAGCUUCGGCCCUAAGAACACGUUUUCAGGUUUUUCGAGGAGAUGUCUCAGGAAAAGAAAGCUGUUGCCAAAAUGAAACUGAGCCUUUCUGAGGAGAAGAAUCUGGGCUUCCUUGAAUCGAUAGCAAGAACAAAUACAUAGAAGAUUACUAGAGAAAUUUUAGAAGGCUUAUCUGAAGAUACCGGUGAGAGUGACAGUUAUGAUGUAGAAAGUGGGGGUGAAGACUCCGAAUAUCGACCGUGGCGACCAAGUCACGCAGUCUUCGGAAAAUCGAGUAUUAAACAAAGUAAUCUUGAUAACAUGAGGGGGAGAUAUUUUCGAGACAUGUCUACUGUGAGGGCAGAUGACGGAGAGAGGACUGUGCCUACUCUCGAAGAAAAUGAAGUCGUGAUCUUCCGAAGCUUUUUUUAAAGCUGGGCUUCGGUUCCCCUUAAACAGAUUUGUGGUUGAAGUUCUGAAGAUAUAUCAGGUUUACCUUCACCAACUUACUCCCGAAGCAAUCAUAAGAAUGGGAAUCUUUGUAUGGGCCGUGAAGAGCCAAGGUUUCGAGCCAAAUGCAAAAAGUUUCUGCAAUAUGCACGAGCUAUUAUAUGAGACGAAACCCUGGGGCAAAGAGCAAUAUCAUAACAAUUUUGGCUGUUAUAGCUUCGGUGCUCGAUCUGGGUCAAGCUAUCCCAUGCCAACCUUUCAAAAGAGAUGGCCCGGAGACUGGAUGAAGGAAUGAUUCUAUGUGAAAAACGAUUUGAAGGCACGAGAAGAUAUUAAAGAUAUCAUUAUGCGCCCUAUCUGGCAGCGUUUCGGCCUUCAAAAACCGAAGGUGGAUAUUGACGAGGCAGUCGAAGAAUGUCAGAGGGCCUUCGGCGUAGUUUGCUCUUUCAUCGGGACAAGGGAUUUGAUCCAGGAACACAUAGCCUUCAGAGUGUGGCCACUUGUAGAAAAGUGGGAAAUGCCAAAGGAGACUAUCACCAAAUCUGACGAAGGUGGGUUGGUUAGGCUGAAAUACACCUUCAAGUAUGAAGGUAAGUUUUUUGAACCAGACGAUGAUUGGUUGAAAUGUAUUGAAGCUACAAGUGAUGAACUGCUUGGGCCAUACUCGAAGGCAGAAGAUACUGCACUAUCUGCGGCCUUCGGAGGUCGGAAGAAGAAAAGUCUCAACUGAGUUUUUGAUGCUAUUGGGUUCGUGUACCCUGACUACCGCUACCCGUUACGAGGUCAGAAAAGGAAAGGUGUGGCACCUGUGAAGGAUGUUGCUUCGGCUGCUCCAAGCGAGUCCGCGCUGAAUAGGAAGAAGAUGAAGGUUCUUACUCACCGGUCGCGAUACAUUGAAACGGCUACAGUGCCUGAAUUUGGUGGUGAGACCUCUUCGGCUAACAAAGCCAAAGAAACUGCGCUAAUGCAGAAAACUGAAGGGCUGGCUACAACGCCGAAGGUACCAUUGGUCAAAUUGGGUGAGCCACAGGUCAAGAGAACAAAGUUAUCAGAAAUUACAAGUCCUUCGGCAAAAGUAUCCGUGCCGAAGGCACAAAAAGAUCUUGCAAUUACCCCUAAGAGGAAAAGAAUGGUCCACGUAUUGGAUGUACUGGAAGAAAUAAAAACUUCAAGCUCUACUUCAGGUAAAAUAGCCGAAGCUUCAAAAACGCAAGUUGACAUAAAACAAAUUGAAGCCGAAGCUGUAGAGAGUCAUGCUGAACCCGAAGCUGGGCCCUCAGAGCCCGCCAGAAAGAAAUCCCUGGAAAAAGAAAUGAAAAAGACACUUCAGAACAACUUUUGUCUGAGCAAACUGGUGCUCCCACACCCGAAGCUUAUUUCGAAGCUUCUGAUUAUAUUUUACGACAUGCUUCGGGGAAAAAGCUGACUGAAAAAGGAAAGCGAGAAGCUCAGUUCUACGCCCAAAAAUUGAAAUAUCCGAAGGGGGCGUUGAUUUUUAACGGCAGUGGAGAAGAAUACUUCUUGUAUUGUCUCCCAGACAGCAAGGAGAUCUCUGUCUGCCGGGAGAUGGCAAGAAGCUUCAGAUUCCCUACUCUAGAAGACAGACUAUCAGUGUUAUCAAAAGAUGAAUUGGCCGACAGCUUAGCGUACAACAGCUUAAAGGUGAGAAAAUAAGAUUUUUUGUACAACAGCUGAAAUUCGUUUGCUUAUUCCUAACACCACCACAUUCCUUUUGUAGGGCCUUAUUCUUAGCAAUGCCCUCAGGGCUCAAAAAAGUGCCGAAGACGAGGGAUGUACCAUGGCCUUGAAUAACCUUCGUUCCGAAGUAAUUGAGCUAAGAAACGAAGGACUUGAGAAAGAUAAAAUAUUAAACUCUUUACUUAAUAAAAUAAAAGAAGACGAAGCUACUUCUAAAGCCCAAGCUGAGGCCCAGAAGCGCGAAAUUGAUCUUCGGAAACAGCUGGCAGAAGAAAAAUUAAAAUGUGUAGUUGCCGAAGCUGACCGGGACGCCAGUGAAUACUGGAAAAAUCACUGAGAGAAAACAGUUGUGGAGCUUCGAUCUUCAAAAGAAAGAUGUUAUGAAAAAUCCAUGAAAUGCGUGGAGACAAUUAAGACUAGUUUCGCCAGCGUCGGCGCAUAUUCGAAUGAAGGCAACUUCAUACUGGGAGAUCCUGAAGGUCCAAUCGACUGGAUCAGCGGCGAGGCCAAAGCUUUUGAAGAAAUUUUGAGUGGCCGUGGGGACAUAUGCGCGUUCUCGGGUGCUAGGGGGAUUGCCGCUAUCUUGGAGAGAAGAGGCUGCGAACAUGUGAAAUCCUUGGCGCAAACCGAGGCCGCCUUAUCUGUUGAAGGUAUAAAAGACCCCUCGGUCGAAGCAAGCUUGGUUGGUGGAAAAUUUUUCACCGACAUUUGGGAAAAUGGCGGUCGCGAGAUGGCUCAAGAAAUUAUAAGGAAAAGUGAAAAAGUUAUUCACGAUGCUAGAGAAAUAGCAGAGGCCGCUGAGAAAAGUGUGGAUCUCGAGAGGCGAACAUGUAUUGAUUAAUAACUUUUGACUUUAUGUUGUAAUUUUAUGACUUCGAACUUAUUUACGCUUUGCAUCACUGCCGCACUAUCUCCUCCCCCAGAGCCCGUCGAGCCAUUGGCGAACCCCAAAGCAAAGGAGGAUGAUGAUAUUAUAAAAAUGUCCGAAGCUAUUAUGGAUAAAGUUGUUGAUCAACUAUUGAACGAAGCUGCAGAAGUAGUCUUGAAAGAAGAUUAGCUGUUAUUGUAAAGAUAUUUGGAAUGUAAUAUCUGCUGGACAAUGUGUGUAAUAUUUUAUAAUUUUGAGGUUAAUAUAUAAGCUGUUUAUAAUUCAAUUCUUUACGAUGCAUGAAACUUUACAUACAUACCGUUUUUGAGCCUUCGGCGAAAAAACACCUUCCCUUCUUUUCAUGCUUCGUAAGGAAUAUCCACAUUUGUGAAAAUAUUAUGCUUCGUAAGCAAUAGAUUUCCCCCGAUACUGAAGUUGGCGAAACUGCACUUCUUCAAACUUUAUUUUGUGCCUUGGCAUAAUUUCUUCGAAAACAAUUCCCGAAAGCUAUCAUUGUAUUCCCCUUCUUGUGCCAUUGAUGCAAUAUGAUGUAUGAUGUCAUGUUUGAGCGAAUGAUGUGAUGAUGCUAUGAUAUGCAAUGAUGGCAUUUGUUCCGAAGGUAAACACACAUCCUCACAGUAGAAUACAAUCUCUUUGCCGUUUAUUUUUCGGUAUAUCAGCGUUGACUUUUCGCUGUAAGCCUCCCUUAGGAGCUUCUUCGCCUUUUAUUUCGGCGGUAUCAGCGUUUAUUUUUCGCUGUAAGCCUCCCUUAGGAGCUUCUUCGCCUUUUAUUUCGGCGGUAUCAGCGUUUAUUUUUCGCUGUAAGCCUCCCUUAGGAGCUUCUUCGCCUUUUAUUUUGGCGGUAUCAGCGUUUAUUUUUUGCUGUAAGCUCUGCAUUCCCUUUGGAACGACUUUUGAGCAGAAAACUUACGCUGCGUUCCCUUAAGAACGACUUUUGUUGCUUCGACAAAAACUUGCAGUGUAUUCCUUCGUCAAGACCUUUAGAACUUCGUCGAUGUUUGAAGAAGGUAUAUUCAUUAUGAUAAUGACGAAGCAAUUACAAGAAAUUGAAAACAACAAAAGAACUAAGUUUUCAAUGAUUGCUCUUUAUUGAAAAAGGUAAAUGAUAACAAAUGUAAAAGCUGUUUCAGAGGUUGGAUAUAUCUUAGUAGAUGUGCUUCGAUUCUGGCAUAGUACUGUUGAUUGUGCGAGCUUCGGACUUCUCCCUAAAGUCUCGCUGCUGGUGAUUGUGCUGGCUCCCUUCUGGCUGCUGGCCUUGGGGAUAAGUGGGUUGCAUUGGUGGUGGAGGUGGGGGCUGUUGCCAAGAUGCCUGAGGUUGGCUUGCCGAAGCAACAGAAACUGCAGGAUGGUUACCCACAUACUAUUGAAUGUAUGGUGAGUGGUACGAAGCAGUAUGCAUAACCUGCUUUGGCUGGCUCUGUUGGGCUGCAGCUUCUGCUAUCUCUUUCUGUUUUUGGAUGGUGACAUGGCACAUCCUUGUAGUAUGGCCCUUGUCCUCACCGCAGAAUAGGCAAUAAAUCUUCCUCGGCUGAUCCCCAAACCUUCCUCCGAAGCCCCUGGCGCCUCUGCCCCUUGGAGCUGGCGGCCGAAGGUAGCUUUGUUGCUGCCCCGAAGCUUGCGAGGAACAUUGUGGCCUCCGUUGCUGGCUUCCUCUGUUGUCAUUCUGGGUGGAAUGGAUUGAUCUGACAUGCCUUGGAUGGAUCCUCCCUCCGAAGCCCCUGGUUAUCUCGGAGAAUCUGUAAGCCUCCUCCCUUCUUUGACGAAAGUCAUUAUCAGCGCGGAUAUAUUCAUCCAUCUUCUGAAGCAACUUCUCUAGGGUCUGAGGGGUCUUCCUAGCGAAGUAUUGGGCCACAGGUCCUGGCCGAAGUCCCUUGAUCAUGGCCUCAAUGACAAUUUCAUUGGGCACUGUUGGUGCUUGUGCCCUCAAACGCAAGAACCUUCGGACAUACGCCUGAAGGUACUCUUCGUGAUCUUGUGUGCACUGGAACAAAGCUUGAGCAGUAACCGGCUUCGUCUGAAACCCUUGGAAACUGGUAAUCAACAUGUCCUUCAGCUUCUGCCAUGAUGUGAUUGUUCCUGGCCGAAGAGAGGAGUACCAGGUUUGUGCAACAUUCUUGACUGCCAUGACGAAAGAUUUCGCCAUGACUGCAGUAUUGCCUCCAUAUGAAGAUAUGGUGGCUUUGUAGCUCAUCAGAAACUGCUUCGGAUCUAAGUGUCCGUCAUACAUGGGGAGCUGGGGUGGCUUGUAUGAUGGGGGCCAAGGUGUAGCCUGCAGUUCUGCUGACAGAGGAGAAGCAUCAUCAAAAGCAAAAUUUCCAUGAUGGAAAUCUUCAUACCAUUCAUCCUCGUUGUAGAAGCCCUCUCGAUGAAGCUCCCUAUGUUGGGGCCUUCGCUCUUGCUCAUCUUGAGCAAGAUGGCGUACUUCUUCUGUAGCUUCGUCGAUCUGCCUCUGAAGGUCGGCCAGUCGAGCCAUCUUCUCCUUCUUCUUUUGUACUUGUUGAUGAAGCAUCUCCAUGUUCCUGAUUUCUUGGUCCAACUCGUCCUCCUGGGGCGUUGGACUAGUGGCCUUUCUCUUCUGGCUUCGGGCCUCUCGAAGAGAAAGGGUCUCCUGGUUUGGAUCCAGCGGCUGCAGAGCGGCAGCCCCUGUCGCUGAAGAUUUCUUUGGUGGCAUGACGAAGGUCAAUGCCUGCCGAAGGUGGUCGAGAAGGGUUCAUCGGAGGUGGGCGCCAAUGUUGGGGACUUGUCCUUAAAUGCUAUGAAUUAAGAACAAGGCAACACAGAAAUUGUUAAACGUUAAAGUCCUUCGUCCUCCGAAGCAUUAUUUCCCUUGGGAUAUAAUGAGUUUCGGACGAAGGUUGUGAGGGACAUACCUUCAUUAUCACACCAAAUAAUGAAGAAGGAUUCUUAUAAAGUAUAAACACUUAAAUAUUAUUAUUAACUCAUUUCUAUUUUAUUAUUAUGGAAAAAUAGAAAUGAUAACAAAUUACAAAUGUACCUUCGGCUUGAAAGAAGGCAAAAGUACAAGCGUGACGCAAAAGCAAAUGCCAAGUCAGCGUGAACAGUACGGAAGUACUGUUCAUCCAUUUAUAGGCAUGGGUCAGAGCCCAUGUAAAAUUACAUCCAAGCCCUUUGUAGUUGCUAAUAACUCUAUAGUAAUUCAUCAGGGUCUAGAUAGCCUUUUCCUCUUUAAGUCGGUUUCCUUUUUCCUGUCAUCAUGCCGAAGCUUCCUUCCGCUCAGCUUCGGCUCUGUUUCAUCCUUCGUUCCUCUUGUCCUAAGAGUCCAUGUCCGAAGAGUCCAUGUCCGAAGGUGCCUGCUCAUGUAUUAUACUCUAGAAACAUUGUUAAAUCACAUUUUUAAGGACCUUCGGAAGCCGAAGGCCCCCAACAACUAUGAUGAUGAAGGUACGUCCUUCAUAACCUUCGUUUGAAGAUCAUUAUAUCCUAAGGGAGAUAAUGCUUCGAAGGACGAAUGACUUUAACCACUAAUGUUUUGUGUUGCCUUGUUCUUAACUCAUAGCAUUUGAGAAUAAGUCCCCAACAUUGGCGUCCACCUCCGGUGAACUCAUUCGACCACCUUCGGCAAGCUGUGACCUUCGUCAUGCUGCCGAAGAAAGCUUCAGGGCAACGGGCUGCACCGCAGCCACUAGAUGUCAACUAGGACACACUGCGCGAAGCUCGAACUCAAAAUAGGAAGGCUACAAGUCCAACACCUCAAGAGGAGGAGCUGGACCAGGAAAUAAGGGACCUCAAAGCUAUCCAUCAAUAAGUCAAAAGGAAGAGAGAGAAGGUGCUUCGUCUUUCCGAUCUACAGAAGAAGAUCGACGAGGCUGCUGAAGAAAUACGUCAUCUCACUCAAGAUGACCAGGAUUGAAGACCUCCACAAAGAGAGCUUCAUCAGGACAAUUCCUACAAUGAUGAUGAUUGGUAUGACGAUUUCCAUCAUGGAAAUUUUGCUUUUGAUGAUGCUUCUCCUCUGUCAGCAGAACUGCAGGCUACCCCAUGGACCCCAUCAUACAAGCCACCUCAGCUCUCCAUGUAUGAUGGACACUCAGAUCCGAAGCAGUUUCUGAUGAGCUACGAAGCAACCAUAUCUUCAUAUGGGGGCAAUACCGCAGUCAUAGCGAAGUCCUUCGUCAUGGCAGUCCAAAGUGUGGCCCAGACAUGGUACUCUUCUCUCUGGCCAGGGACAAUCACGUCAUGGCAGAAGCUUAAGGACAUGCUGGUCACCAGUUUUCAAGGGUUUCAGACGAAGCCAGUCACUGCUCAGACCUUGUUCUAGUGCACACAAGACCAUGAGGAGUACCUUCAGGCGUAUGUCCGAAGGUUCUUGCGUCUGAGAGCACAAGCGCCCACAGUGCCCAAUGAAAUCGUCAUUGAGGCCAUGAUCAAAGGUCUUCGGCCAGGGCCUACGGCUCAAUACUUUGCCAGAAAACCCCCUCAGACUCUGGAGAAGCUGCUUCAGAAAAUGUACGAGUACAUCCGGGUCGACAAUUAUUUUCGCCAAAGAAGGGAGGAAGCUUAUAGGUUUUCUGAGAUGACUAGGGGCUUCGGAGGACGAAUCCACCCUAGGCAUGUCAGAUCAAUCUACAACUCCAGUCAGUGUGAUGACAGAAGCGGCCAGCUUCAGAGGCCACAACACAGCUCACAGUCUUCAGGGCAGCAACAGAGCUCCUUCAGGCCACCAGCUCCAAGAGGCAGAGGCGGCAGGGGCUUUGGAGGAAAAUAUAGGGAUUAGCCCAGAAAAAUCUAUUACUUAUUCUGCGGUGAAGACAAGGGUCACACUACAAUAACGUGUCAGAUCACCAUUCAGAAGCAAAAAGAGAUUGCCGAUGCAGAAGCCCGACAGAAUCAGCCGAAGCAGGUCUUACAUACUGCUUCGUGCCACUCUCCCUACAUACCAAAAUAUGUGGGCAAUCAACCUACAGCUUCUGUUGCUUCGGCAAGCCAUUCACAAGCUUCCUAACCACAACUCCCACCGCCACCACCAUUGCAACCUACUUAUACCCGAAGCCAGCAGCCAGAAGGGCGCCAGCACCCCCAAUAGCAACGUGACUUCAGGGAGGAGUCCGAAGCUCGUACAGUCAACAACACUGUACCAGAAUCAAAGCACAUAUACUGAGCAAUAUCCUACUUCUGAAAUACUUUUACUUUUUACGCCAUUUUGCUUUCUGUAUGAGGAACAAGUAAUGAAAACUUAGUUUUAAUUUCUUGCAAUGAUUCUGCCUGCACCAGAAUUGCCGGGGACCAUAAUUAGGGGUACCCUCAAGACUCCUAAUUCUCAGUUGGUAACCCCAUCAGCAUAAAGCUGCUAAGGCCUGAUGGGUGCGAUUAAGUCAGGGAUCAGUCCAUUCGAGCGACUCGAUCACGCCUCGCCCGAGCCUAGCCUCGGACAAGGGCAGCCGACCCUAGAGGAUUUCCGUCUCGCCCGAGGCCCCUCUCCGACGGCGAACAUAUUUCCGGCUCGCCCGAGGCCCUGCCUUCGCUAAGAAGCAACCCUGACUAAAUCGCCGCACCGACCGACCAAAUCGCAGGAGCAUUUAACACAAAGGUGGCCUGGCACCUUUAUCCUGACGCGCGCCCCCCGGCAGAGCCGAAGUGACCGCCGUCACUUCGCCGCUCCACUGAUCGGCCUGACAGAAGGACAGCGCCACCUGCGCCACUCCGACUGCAGUGCCGCUUGACAGAGUGAGACUGACAGGCAGUCAGGCCCUGCCAAAGGCACCAUAGGAAGCUCCGCUUCGCCCGACCCAGGGCUCGGACUCGGGCUAAAUCCCGGAAGACGGCGAACUCCGCUCCGCUCGACCCAGGGCUCGGACUCGGGCUAAGUCCCGGAAGACGGCGAACUCCGCUUCGCCCGACCCAGGGCUCGGACUCGGGCUAAGUCCCGGAAGACGGCGAACUUCGCUCCGCCCGACCCAGGGCUCGGACUCGGGCUCAGCCCCAGAAGACGACGAACUCCGCUUCGCCCGACCCCAGGGCUCGGACUCCGCCCUGGCCUCUGCCGACGACCUCCGCCUCGCCCGACCCAGGGGCUCGGACUCGGCCUCGGCCACGGAAGACAGACUCGACCUCGGCUUCGGAGGAGCCUCCACAUCGCCCAACCUAGGGCGCAGGCCAGCCACGUCAACAGGAGGCGCCAUCAUCACCCUACCCCGAGCUGACUCGGGCCGUAGGGAACAAGACCGGCGUCCCAUCUGGCUAGCUCCGCCAGAUCGGCAAUGAUGGCGCCCCGCAUACUCUAUGACGACGGCGGCUCUCAGCCUCCUUACAGAAGCAAGAGGACGUCAGCAAGGACCCAACCGCUCCGACAGCUGUCCCUCCGCUAGGCUCCAUCGCUCCUCCGACGGCCACGACAUCACACCAGCUGGGUGCCAAAAUCUCUCCGGCUGCCACAACGGCAUGUACUUAGGGCGCUAGCUCUCCUCCGCUAGACACGUAGCACUCUGCUACACCCCCCAUUGUACACCUGGAUCCUCUCCUUACGCCUAUAAAAGGAAGGACCAGGGCCCUCUUAGAGAAGGUUGGCCGCGCGGGGACGAGGGCGAGACAGGCGCUCGCUUGGAGCCGCUCGCUCCCUCUCCCGCGUGGACGCUUGUAACCCCCUACUGCAAGCGCACCCGACCUGGGCGCGGGACGAACACGAAGGCCGCGGGAUUCCCACCUCUCUCACGCCGGUCUCCGGCCGCCUCGCUCUCCCCCUUCGCGCUCGCCCUCGCGCUCGACCCAUCUGGGCUGGGGCACGCGGCGACAUUCACUCGUCGGCCCAGGGACCCCCCGGUCUCGAAACGCCGACAGUUGGCGCGCCAGGUAGGGGCCUGCUGCGUGUUGACGAACAGCUUCCCGUCAAGCUCCAGAUGGGCAGUCUCCAGCAACCUCUCCAACCCGGGACGGUGCUCCGUUUCGGGAGUCUUGAGUUCAUGUCCCUCGGCGGCGGCUACGACAUGAUACUCCUUCCACCGCCGUGCGACAACGACAAUGGCGACCGACAGCCCGCCCGCCGGCGGCGGAAUCGACGACGUCUUCCCCGCGUGGCGGAAGAACAACCUUCGAGCUCGUCCCGCCUUCUUCCCCGCCGACGGAGGGGAAGGCAGGGCAACCAAGGCCAAGCAGGAGGCAGCGCCUCGUCGGCUGUCGAGCGAGGCGACAGCGCCGGCACCCCAACGGGGGGUGCACCGGGUAUCGACUUCGCGCUUGAGACGAAGACGAGCGCCGUCUCCCCGCGACACGCCAAUCCCGAGCAAGCGGACGACGCUAGCGUGCUCGCGAAAAGCUUGCUGGACGUCGCCCUCGUACCUGAGACGACGGUGCAGUCAGUCCCCGACGUGACUUUAUCGCCGCUCGUCGACCAAGAGGUACCGACCGAUUCCCAUCCCACGUCAUUUGGAUUCAGCCUCAACCCGCCUAGCGACCUCGCUUUGGCGGGCGCUCUCGUAGAGGCGAGUCCAAACCCUCUGGGGUUUCGCAUGCGGUCGCCUUGGGACCGGUUGACGGACGUCUCGACCUACGGGCCCUCUGGGUCCGAGGAAGACGACGAGCCCAGCAUCUGUUGGGAUUUCUCUGGACUUAGCAACCCCAGUGCCAUGCGGGACUUCAUGACCGCAUGCGACUACUGCCUCUCCGACUGUUCCGACGGUAGUCGCAGCCUCGGCGACGAGGACUGCGGCCCAAGCCGCGAAUGCUUCCACGUCGAUCUAGGGGGUCCCUCCGAAGGCAAUCAUCUCGGCAUGCCGGAGGACGGUGAUCUCCCUAGGCCGGUGCCCCGCGUUGACAUCCCACGGGAGCUAGCUGUGGUCCCCGUUCAGGCGAGGGGCCAUGACCCACAGCUCGAGCAAAUCCGCGGGGUGCAGGCCAGGCUCGACGAGGGAGCAGGAGCGCUUGAGCCGAUCCGCCGGGAUGUCGGGCAGGCAUGGGCGGGCCAACCCCUGGCCGGAGAAAUACGUCAUCUGCCCUAGGGCUUCCAGCACCGCGUCGCCGACGACGUCAGGGUCAGGCCGCCACCCGCAUCUAGUGGGGUCGGCCAGAACCUGGCCGCAGCAGCGAUGCUUCUCCGCGCGAUGCCGGAGCCAUCAACCACUGAGGGUCGGCGAAUCCAGGGGAGCUCAAGAAUCUCCUGGAAGGCGCUGCGGCCCGAUGGGCCGAGAGCUCUGCCUCCCGAAGGCAGGGGUACCCCUCGGAACCUCAUGCCGCGACUUCCCGAUUCAUGCGGGAAGCCUCGGUCUACACUGGGCGCACGCGCAACACCGCGCCUGCGGCUCCAGGCCGCCUCAGCAACGAGCGCCAUCACCGCGACCGUCGGGCCCACCUCGACGAGAGGGUGCGCCGAGGCCACCACCCCAGGCGUGGGGGACGCUACGACAGCGGGGAGGAUCGGAGUCCCUCGCCCGAGCCACCCGGUCCGCAGGCCUUCAGCCGGGCCAUCCGACGGGCACCGUUCCCGACCCGGUUCCGACCCCCGACUACUAUCACGAAGUACUCGGGGGAGACGAGACCGGAACUGUGGCUCGCGGACUACCGUCUGGCCUGCCAACUGGGUGGAACGGACGACGACAACCUCGUCAUCCGCAACCUCCCCCUGUUCCUCUCCGACACCGCUCGCGCCUGGUUGGAGCACCUGCCGGCAAUUUCCAGGGCAGAUCCAACUGGGACGACCUAGUCCAAGCUUUCGCCGGCAAUUUCCAGGGCACGUACGUGCGCCCCAGGAAUUCCUAGGACCUCCGAAGCUGCCGGCAGCAGCCGGGAGAGUCUCUCCGGAACUACAUCCGGCGAUUCUCGAAGCAGCGCACCGAGCUGCCCAGCAUCACCGACUCGGAUGUCAUCGGCACGUUCCUCGCCGGCACCACCUGCCGCGACCUGGUGAGCAAGUUGGGUCGUAAGACUCCCACCAGAGCGAGCGAGCUGAUGGACAUCGCCACCAAGUUCGCCUCUGGCCAGGAGGCGGUCGAGGCUAUCUUCCGAAAGGAGAAGCAGCCCCAGGGCCGCCCAUCGGAAGAUGCUCCCGAGGCGUCGACUCAGCGCAGCGCCAAGAAGAAAGGCAAGAAGAAGUCGCAAGCGAAACGCGACACCGCCGACGCGGACCUUGUCGCCGCCGCCGAGUACAAGAACCCUCGGAAGCCCCCCGGAGGUGCCAACCUUUUCGACAAGAUGCUCAAGGAGCCGUGCCCCUAUCACUAGGGGCCCGUCAAGCACACCCUUGAGGAGUGCGUUAUGCUUCGGCGCCACUUCCACAGGGCCGGGCCACCCGCGGAGGGUGGCAGGGCCCGCGACGAUGACAAGAAGGAAGAUCACCAAGCAGGAGAGUUCCCCGAGGUCCGCGACUGCUUCAUGAUCUACGGUGGGCAAGCGGCGAAUGCCUCGGCUCGGCACCGCAAGCAAGAGCGCCGGGAGGUCUGCUCGGUGAAGGUGGCGGCGCCAGUCUACCUAGACUGGUCCGACAAGCCCAUCACCUUCGACCAAGCCGACCACCCCGACCACGUGCCGAGCCCGGGGAAAUACCCGCUCGUCGUCGGCCCCGUCAUCGGCGACGUCAAGCUCACCAAGGUCCUUAUGGACGGAGGCAGCAGCCUCAACAUCAUCUACGCCGAGACCCUCAGGCUCCUGCUGUUGACCUGUCCUCCGUUCGAGCAGGCGCUGCGCCCUUCCAUGGGAUCAUUCCCGGGAAGCGCGUCCAGCCCCUCGGACAACUCGACCUUCCCGUCUGCUUCGGAACGCCCUCCAACUUCCGAAGGGAGACUCUGACGUUCGAGGUGGUCGGGUUCCGAGGAAACUACCACGCGGUGCUGGGAAGGCCAUGCUACGCGAAGUUCAUGGCCGUCCCCAACUACACCUACCUGAAGCUCAAGAUGCCGGGCCCCAACGGGGUCAUCACCGUCGGCCCCACGUACAAACACGCGUUCGAAUGCGACGUGGAGUGCGUGGAGUACGCCGAGGCCCUCGCCGAGUCCGAGGCCCUAAUCGCCGACUUGGAAAACCUCUCUAAGGAGGUGCCAGACGUGAAGCGUCAUGCCGGCAACUUCGAGCUAGUGGAGACGGUUAAGGCCGUCCCCCUCGACCCCAGCGGCGACACCUCCAAGCAGAUCCGGAUAGGCUCCGGGCUCGAUCCCAAAUAGGAAGCAGUGCUCGUCGACUUUCUCCGCGCGAACGUGACGUCUUCGCGUGGAGUCCUCGGACAUGCCCGGCAUACGGAGGGAUGUCGCCGAGCACUCACUGGACAUUCGAGCCGGAGCUCGACCCAUCAAGCAGCCUCUGCGCCGAUUCGACGAAGAGAAGCGCAGAGCCAUAGGCGAGGAGAUCCACAAGCUAAUAGCGGCAGGGUUCAUCAAAGAGGUAUUCGAUCCCGAAUGGCUUGCCAACCCUGUGCUUGUGAGAAAGAAAGGGGGGAAAUGGCGGAUGUGUGUAGACUACACUGGUCUCAACAAAGCAUGUCCGAAGGUUCCCUACCCUCUGCCUCGCAUCGAUCAAAUCGUGGAUUCCACUGCUGGGUGCGAAACCCUGUCUUUCCUCGAUGCCUACUCAGGGUAUCAUCAAAUCAGGAUGAAAGAGUCCGACCAGCUCGCGACUUCUUUCAUCACGCCCUUCGGCAUGUACUGCUAUGUCACCAUGCCGUUCGGCUUGAGGAAUGCGGGCGCGACGUACCAGCGGUGCAUGAACCAUGUGUUCGGCGAACACAUUGGCCGCACGGUCAAGGCCUACGUCGAUGACAUCGUAGUCAAGACGAGGAAAGCUUCCGACCUCCUUUCCGACCUUGAAGUGACAUUCCGAUGCCUCAAGGCGAAAGGCGUCAAGCUCAAUCCCGAGAAGUGUGUCUUCGGGGUGCCCCGAGGCAUGCUCUUGGGGUUCAUCGUCUCCGAGCGGGGCAUCGAAGCCAACCCGGAGAAGAUCGCAGCCAUCACCAGCAUGGGGCCCAACAAGGACUUGAAAGGCGUACAGAGGGUCAUGGGAUGUCUCGCGACUCUGAGCCGUUUCAUCUCACGCCUCGGCGAAAGAGGUCUACCUCUGUACCGCCUCUUAAGGAAGGCCGAGUGCUUCACUUGGACCCCCGAGGCCGAGGAAGCUCUCGGGAACUUGAAGGCGCUCCUCACAAAGGCGCCUAUCUUGGUGCCUCCAGCUGCCGGAGAAGCCCUCUUGGUCUACGUCGCCGCGACCACUCAAGUGGUUAGCGCCGCGAUUGUGGUCGAGAGGCAGGAAGAGGGGCAUGCGCUGCCCGUUUAGAGGCCAGUUUACUUCGUCAGCGAGGUACUGUCCGAAACCAAGGUUCGCUACCCACAAGUUCAGAAGCUGCUGUAUGCAGUGAUCCUGACACGGCGGAAGUUGCGACACUACUUCGAGUCUCAUCCGGUAACUGUGGUGUCAUCCUUCCCCCUGGGGGAGAUCAUCCGGUGCCGAGAGGCCUCGGGUAGGAUUGCAAAGUGGGCGGUGAAAAUCAUGGGUGAGAUAAUCUCGUUCGCCCCUCGGAAUGCCAUCAAGUCCCAGGUUUUGGCAGACUUCAUAGCCGAAUGGGUCGACACCUAGCUACCGACGGCUCCGAUCCAACCGGAGCUCUGGACCAUGUUUUUCGACAGGUCACUGAUGAAGACGGGAGCCGGCGCGGGCCUACUCUUCAUCUCGCCCCUCGGGAAACACCUACGCUAUGUGCUACGCCUCCAUUUCCCGACGUCCAACAAUGUGGCUGAGUAUGAGGCUCUGGUCAACGGGUUGCGGAUCGCCAUCGAGCUAGGGGUCCGGCGCCUCGACGCCCGCGGUGACUCGCAGCUCGUUAUCGACCAAGUCAUGAAGAACUCCCACUGCCGCGACCCGAAGAUGGAGGCCUACUGCGAUGAGGUUCGGCGCUUGGAAGACAAGUUCUACGGGCUCGAGCUGAACCAUAUCGCUCGGCGCUACAACGAGACGGCAGACGAGCUGACUAAAAUAGCCUCGGGGCGAACAACUGUUCCCCCGGACGUUUUCUCCCGGGAUCUGCACCAACCCUCCAUCAAGAUCGACGACACGCCCGAGCCUGAGGCGCCCUCGGCCCAGUCCGAGGUACCCUCGGCCCAGCCCGAGGUACCCUCGGCACAGCCCGAGGCACCCUCGGCACAGCCCGAGGCACUCUCAGCUUGGCCCGAGGCGCCCUCGGUUCAGCCCGAGGUACCCUCGGCCCCCGAGGGUGAGGCACUGCGCGUCGAGGAGGAGCGGAGUGGGGCCACGCCUGAUCGAAACCGGCAGACCCCGUACCUGCAAUAUCUCCACCAAGUAGAGCUACCCCUCGACCGAGCCGAGGCUCGGCGGGUGGCGCGGCGCACCAAGUCGUUCAUCUUGCUGGGCGAUGAGAAGGAGCUCUACCACCGCAGCCCCUCAGGCAUCCUCCAGCGAUGCAUCUCCGUCACCGAAGGUCAGGAACUCCUGCGAGAGAUACACUUGGGGGCUUGCGGCCAUCACGCAGCGCCUCGAGCCCUUGUCGGGAAUGCUUUCCGACAAGGCUUCUACUGGCCGACAGCGGUGGCUGACGCCAAUUGUCCGCACCUGCGAAGGGUGUCAAUUCUAUGCGAAGCAGACCCACCUGCCCGCUCAGGCUCUGCAGACGAUACCCAUCACUUGGCCCUUUGCUGUGUGGGGUCUGGACCUCGUCGGCCCCUUGCAGAAGGCACCCGGGGGCUACACGCACCUGCUGGUCGCCAUCGACAAAUUCUCCAAGCGGAUCGAGGUCCGACCUCUGAACAGCAUCAGGUCCGAGCAGGCGGUGGCGUUCUUCACCAACAUCAUCCAUCGCUUCGGGGUCCCAAACUCCAUCAUCACCGACAACGGCACCCAGUUCACCGGCAGAAAGUUCUUGAACUUCUGCGAGGAUCACCACAUCCGGGUGGACUGGGCCGCCGUGGCUCAUCCCAUGUCAAAUGGGCAAGUAGAGCGUGCCAACGGCAUAAUUCUACUAGGGCUCAAGGCUCGGAUCUACAACGACCUCAACAAGUUCGGCAAGCGAUGGAUGAAGGAACUCCCCUCGGUGGUCUGGAGCCUGAGGACAACGCCGAGCCGAGCCACGGGUUUCACGCCGUUCUUCCUAGUCUACGGGGCCGAGGCCAUCUUGCCCACAGACCUGGAAUACGGCUCCCCGAGGACGAGGGCCUACAGCGAUCAAAGCAACCAAGCUAGCCGAGAAGAAUCUAAAGCCUAUGCUUUGAUACCAACUGUAACACCCCAAAGUCCACAAACACCCCGGAAUGCUACUGAACUACACAUCUGACAUCCAUAUAUAAAAUUUCGGCAGCAUCUCCUUUGAAAGAUUGCAUAAACGAGGGGCAACAGUGUAUAAACAUAUAUCAUGACAAAAAACAUACUAAGCAUUAUUAAUAUGCUAGCAAAUGAAAGUUAAACAUAACAACAUGAACUGAAUUAACCAGUGCACACGACUAGAAAAAACAAACAUCAUUUGACAUCGAGUUUCUAAUUAAAUCAUGGCUGCAACUGGGCAGCGUUAUUAUAAUAGUGAAGGUGGACGUGCUGCUACUUCCCUCAUUCCCAACAUGAAUCAAAUACCUGCAUUGAGUAAUGCAAGAGUGAGAUGAUACAUCUCAGCAAGCAAAUUAUUUUGACGAGAUAUUUAAACCACAAAUUGAAUUAAACAACAUUUUAAAGGAAUCCCAAUUGAGAUCAGAAAUACUUGUAGAUAUAGAACUCAAUAGUCCCAAUAUAACCAAUACCAUCUCAUUUCCUCGAACAACCACAAUAGGUUGUAUAACCCUUCCCUGCGUCAACAAUACCUGCAGAUAUCACUUCAAUGUAUGCAUAGGAAUGCAAUGUGUAGGUCAUCUGCCCUCAUACCUCUGAGAGUAUAAAACCACAUCAUCUGCUAAUAUCACUUCAAUGAAUGCAUAUAAAUGCAAUGCAUAUGUCCUCUGCCUUCAUACCUCUAAGGGUAUGAAGCCGCAUCGUACCCCUCCUCGGGCAACGUACGAUGCUAAGUUGUAUCGGUACGGUCGGACCAUAGGUUACGACCAAACUUCAGAUGCAAAUGAAUAAUGUAAUGCAUAUGGCAUGCUGCAUUUAUCAAUAUACUUCACUUCCUUCAGAUACAAAACAAACCUCAAAUAAUACUUCAUCUGCCUUCAGAUACAAUACAAACCUCAAAUAAUACUUUAUCUGCCUUCAGGGUGUAAAUUAAUCUCAUGGGUCAUACUCGAACCAUAAUCAUCAUCAAUAUAUGAUUGAGCAUCAGUAUAAUACAAGCAAGUAAAGCAUCACCAUAGUGUUCAAUUAUGAAAGAAUUCCAUAAUUCUGAAUAUUAGAGCGUAGGCGAUAAAAAAACAACAAGUCAAAACGGUAGCAACCACUGCUACAUUCACUUGCCUUCAUCGAAGAAGAAAGAUGUACUAGGCAUGAUCCGGAGUGUAGCCACCUGCUAGCGGGCAUAAAAAUUAGUACAAAUAUUUCACAAACAUUUGCUAACAAUCAACAAAUCGCUCGUACACUUGAAACCAAAUCCCGGUGGAAAGACUCCCACCCUGAACCACAUGCCAAACAGCAGCAGCGCUGUUUGUUAAUUUUGUAUCUUUAAAAUUAUAACAGUGGUGAUAUUAAACAAAUACUCUAUGAGUGUCUACACAAAAUAUUCUAUAACUUCGGUAUUCAAUGGAUAAUUAAAUUCUGCCAUCUAUAAGUUCUAAAACAUCUGAUAAGAUAAAUGUCUGAAUCUGUUUCAGACAGCAGCAUAGUUAACUUCAAAAUUCAAUAUCUACCAAACUACUCAACCAAAAAUUAUGAAAUUCUGCUGGCAGUAAGAACUUUUAUCCCUCUACAAAUGUCUCCAUAGUUGGAACAGCCAAUUUGGCUAUUUACUAUAUGAAACCUACCAGUGAACAGACCCGCUCAUUUUUGUCAGGCAAACAGGAACAGCCACAGUAAAACAAACAUAACUGGACUUUCAUAAAUCAUAUGAAUGCGCUCUUUAACAAUCUGGAAAGCUUAUGAAAUUGUCUACAACUUCUUUUACAAUCCUAAAGUUUAAUUCUAUUGAUAAAAUUGCCUAAAGCUUAAGAGAACAGAUUCUGUACAGAAUUAUGAGACUGAAAAACUGCUAUAAUCAAACUACAAUAACUUUCUGAUCUGAUAUCCGAUUGAGGUGUUCUUCGCGGCCACGGAAAGAUCUACAAAUUAUCUACGACUCAUAGAUAGACUUUUUAUUUUUUUGAGGCCACUAAGACCACGGAAAACUGGCAUGAACAGAAACUAUUGAAUCUGCCAUUCUGCAGAAACUAAUUUCGAGAUUAAAAUCUAAUCUCCCAUCCAAUCUAACCAAAAAAACUAAUUGCAGGGCCUAAAACUCAUCCAAAACAAGGGAAAGCAUUCAUCAAGUGGAUAAAAGAGAGAGGAAAGGAAAUCCAACCAAUUCUUGGAGAGGAACGACGAUGAUGGGCGACGGUAUGCCCUCAUCUCCCCUCUCUUCUCUUCUUUUUUCUUCCUCUCUUCUCUUGGGGCAAGGCACAAAAGGGUGACGGCUGCUAGGGGUGGGAGGACGUGGCUUCUAGGGUUAGGGAGGUAUAAAUAGAAGAAAACUUCCACAAUCCUAAUAUCCAAUGGCUCAGAUCAACCGGCACUCAAAAAGACUCAUCCGGACUCCAAACAAGGCAAACUAGUGAUUGAUCGGAAUCAUCUUGAUGAGAUCAAUACAUCUACGACCUCCGAUCAUCCAUAGGACAUACCAUAUUUGGAUUAUAAAAAUGGUUUAUUUUUUUAGGGUGUUACAGAAACACGUGACACAACCCUUAAACUGAAUUAAGAAUAAAACGUCUCGUCGUGCGACGGAGUGCGUCACGAGACACUUGAAUUAAUUAUGAAAAUAACGUCAAGCGUCGUGCGACGAAGCGCACGACGGCAUAAAUCAUCCAAACUGAAUUUAAAACGAAACGUCGCGCGACUGGACGCGCGACGCCACACAUUAAUUAAUCUGAAAUUAAAAUGGAUCAUCGCGCGACGAAGCGCACGACGCAGCACAUGAAUAAAGGCGAAUUUAAAAUGAAUCGUCGCGCGGCGAAGCGCACGACGCAGUACAUCGACUAAACCAAAUUUAAAAUUGAAUAAACCAAAAGUUAAACAUCGUGCAACUACGGUCACAUGUGCAGGAAUGCGCUGCACGCGCCGGGGGCACGCGAGCCACGCGAGGGAGGGGGGGGGAGAGCAUGGCCGCCGGGGACACGGGUCCGGGCGAGGGUGCGGGGCUGCAGGACGGGGCCGCCGGGUAGUACUGGGCAUAAAACCCGAACCCGAAGCCCAUUACCCAAAAUACCCGGACCCGUACCCGUUUAGCCCGAGACCAGUUACCCGAACAACUCCAACAUGUAACAAAACUGAAUACUUGAAGUAAGUUUGGGCCUAAUCGGAUAUUCAUCCGCGGUACCCGAAGUACCCAUUCUACCUGAAAUAAGGUAGCACGCUAGCCCAAGCCCAACAGCAGCACAACACAGCCCACGGGCCAUGCCAAGUUGAUAUCCCUGAUGGCCUGAUGUCGCAACUCGCAACCCUAGCUCCCAGCCUCCCACGCGCUUCAAGUCUUCCUAGUUCCUAGGCGACCGGCGGCGUCCUCCUAGAGUCCCAGACGGCCAGAGCCAGUCCAUGCCUCCCAGCUCCCAGGCCAAUCCUAUUAGCCCCAGGCACCGCGCAGCUACUUUAGGAAGCGGAGCUCAAGGUCCCAGGCGGCAGGAAGCGGAGCUACUUUAGUUACCGCGGCACCAGCUAGCAUUAGCUAGCCGGCAGCAAUGGAUAGCUGUCGCGCACCAGCAGCCGUGAGCCAGCCAGUCCAGCAGUCUUCCACACCUCGUUCAACAGUGCACACGUGGUAGAGAAGUAACCUCUUUAUUCCAAAAGAAAUGCAUUUGAUUACAAGUCAAUUAAUCUCAAAUUUAACUAAAUAUAUGCCAGAUCCUGUGUCUGCUGUUAUGCGUGUGAAGGAAUGACUACUUUGUCUUUGUCUUCUUGUGUGCGUUGCAGUAGUUAUACUGCCAUGUGAAUGUGGAAAAACCCGAAGCUGCAUCCCUCUGAUACUAUCGAACAGUGAAUACAUGGCAUUUUGUCUUGAUUUUGUAAUAAUAGCUGAUAAGUCUUGGUUUAUGACUUUUUUGUUGUCCACCUGUCAUGUACUUUUGUGUAUAAUUUAUAAUAGCGGGUACCCGAAUUUUACCCAAACCCAAACCCAAACCCAAACCCGAAUUUGCGGGUACCCGAAAUUGCGGGUACCCGAGAUUUCGGGUACGAGUACGGUUUUUACUAUUGAAAAACUGAAAUAUAAAAAUCCCAAAAAGCCCGACCCGAAAUUUCGAGUAAACCCGAACGCCCAGUCCUACCGCCGGGGCGCGGGCGCAUAGGGCCGCCGAGCGCGAGGCCACCAGGUGCGCGCGCGGGGGGAAGAAGGAAGGGGAGGGAGAGAGAGAGAGAGAGAGAGAGAGAGAGAGAGAGAGAGAGAGAGGAUCUCACCUCGGGGUCCAAAUUCGGCAAUCACCGUCUCCAAAGCCUAGGGCACAACGGGGAAGAGAGAGGUGGAGGGGAGGAAGUUGCUGUGCGGGAAAAAUUGAAUAAGGGGAAGGGAGAGAAGAGAGGGGGCACAUGGGGAGGGGCAGGGCGCCAGGGGCACGCGGGCCAGGGCCGGGCCGGACUGGGUUGGGCCGCACCACGGGACAAAAACCCACGACACGCACAACCACAUAUCGGAAUCCAAUCGCGAAACGAAAUCCGAAACGAGACCAAGAAAACACGCGAUUAAACACGACAUCAUACAAAAGAAAUAUGAUUCAGCAUGAUGCAACACUCAUGUCAACUUAGGUUUUUUUCACACGCAAUACGGACACCACUCGCUAUACUGCUUUGAAAUUGGGAAGAAGGAGCGAAACAAAAGAGAAAAGAGAGUAACGCCUGAAUUUGGUGAGUACAAAAGAAGAAAAAAUUCUACCCCCAAAUUCAGGGCGUUACAAUUGUUAAUUGACAUUUAUUAACGGUAAAUCAAAAAUACUACUUAGCUUUCACUAACUUACUAUUUUAAUUGUGGAUGAUUAAAUAAAUAACUAAUUAACUUACAUGAGUGAUUAUAAGCGAACGAUUUUAUCUCGCGCGCGGAUAACGGGCGAACGGCGCGUGGCAAGGCGUGCGACACACGCGAACGGCACGCGACAAGACAUGCGAACGCCGCACGACAAUGCGUACGAACAGCACGUGCGACACUCGUGAACGACAUGUGACGACGCGCGUGAAACAACACUGCGCCACGCGCACAGCACGCGGGCUGACACGAUAUGCAGAAACUAAUAAAUAAAUAAAUAAUAUAAUUAAACUAACUAAUUAUUUAAUAAGAACAGUUCAAUUAACAUUAAUCAUGUUGGUGACUAAUUAUAAAUGCGUAAAUCGAAUUCCUAAAUAGAUUUGAAAAUUGAAACGUCGUUCGAGUAGCCAUCGGUCAAACAGACGUUUAAAUAAAUUAAAUAAAAUGUGCAACAGUGGGCGAAAUGCUUUUAACAUGAAGAUAAUUUUAUACGAAUCUAACGCAACUUGAAUGGAUCGAAUCGGGUUUUAAACGCAAAAGUUAUCACUGUUUUAAACUAGAAUGUAAUUCCUGCGUACUAAAUUACAAAACUGUCAUCUUCUUCCUCACCUCAUCUUCUUACUCCCAUCCAUGGAAGAGAGAGGAGGAGGGGAAGGAGGCUGCAAGGGGGGAGAGUCGGGCCGGGCCGCCGCGGGGCGCGGCGCGCGCGCGUCGGCUGCCGCUAGGGAAGGGAGAGGGGCCGCGCCGGGGCGAAACACAGGGGGAGAGGGCGCCGCCACCGGGGAAGGUGAGGGGAAGGAGAGGGAGGCUUGCACGGACGGGAAAACAAAGAAACCUUAGGUGCAACAAUAGAGGUUUUUCACCGGGGAAAAACACCCUCAUCGGAGCCGAGGAGAAAUCUGUCGAUUGACAGAGAUUCAGAGGUCCGAUCGACGAACCGGACGCAGGGCCGGCCCUGGGGGGUGGCAGCCGGUGCCACCGCACCGGGCCCCAUGAAGCUGGUGGGCCCCCACCCCAUAAACAAUAUUCCACAGGCCACAACGACAAUUGCAGAUUUGCAGCCUGCUACGCCAGAGGCCCAGAGUCCAGACGCUAAUCCAAUUGCCUACGCCUAUUCCUCUGCCCGCCGCCUGCAUGCGCCUGUUCGCCUGCCCUGAUCGCGCUGCCUGUUACCGCUGUCUCUGCGGCUCUGCCUGGCGAGUGGCGACUGGCGUUCGCUCGCCGCUCCGCUCGCCGCUCGGCCACGGCCGACUCCAGCUCCGGCGACCGGCGCUCCUCGCUCCUGCCUGGCGCGCCUCCCACAGUCCCGUCCCGCGACCGCGUUCGGUUUCCUCCUGGCGCUGGCAAAUUUAAGGUAACUGAUUGUUGAUUUGUUGGCUUAAUCUAAUUGACAAAUUUAAGGUAACUAAUUAAUAAUAAUAACUGCGCUAUUUAGAUAUGUAUAAUCAUUCUUAUGUUACCCUUCAAUUUAUGAUAUAUAUAUAUAUAUAUAUAUAUAUAUAUAUAUAUUAUUUUCAGUGUUUUGUGUAAUCAUGUCUAAAUAGCGUGAUAUCAUGUGACAUGUGACAAGUAAGUGUUAUGGCUCUAAUUUAUAUUUAUCAUCUUAUAAACUUUAAGGCAUGGCAUAGAAGUUUUUUCCAUUGAAUGUUCAAUAAUUUAUGUUUAUAAUUAUAUAUAUAGUGUAUAUACAUGGUGGAUGGGGCUUCCAUAUUGGAUUUCGCCCUAGGCCCCCAAAAAGUCAGGAACGGCCCUGACCGGACGCGCCCCGACGAAGCCCUCGACGAGACGAACGUAUUGUACCCUCGGAUUCCGCACACGAUGCGUGGAUUGAGAGUAAUUGCUCGACGGAGUUGGAACCGCUUCCGAACUUCGGCGAGCAAUUCCGGGAGUUGGGAGUUGAAUUUGGGAAAACCGUUUCGUGCUCUAGAACGGGUUCGACGAGGAGAAGUCGGGCAUGUAUAUAUAUCUAGGGUUCGAACGAGAUGGAAAUUCGGUUGAAAUUCAGAUUUUACCAUUUAUAAAAUUCGGAAAAGCCUAGAAAUUCAUAUUUUGUGCUCAAAAUAUUAUAGAUGCUUCCAAAAAUUACAGAAAAAUUCCUAGAAAUGUUUUGGCACCUAAUGAACUCAAAAAACAUACUUAGAGUUUCUAAAAACAUUUUAAGUACCUCAAAAAAAUAGAUUUUGCUUUCCGGAAAAUAGAAAAAUAUUCCAAAAAUAGCAAAAUCUACUGAGAGCUUCUAUAGGAUAAACUAACAUGAUUCAAACACAUUUUGCACUUAGAAACAUCGUGCAACGACAUGAAUGCAACAACCAAGGCGCCUCUAGGGUUCAUUCCACUAGGCUUACGCCAAUAUAAGACGAAAUAAUUCUCCAUUUUUAGAAAAAAGAGAAGGAAAGCUAAGAAAUAAGAGAGUGUUACAAUAUAAGACGAAAUAAUUCUCCAUUUUUGGUGGAUAUUAGGAAAUAAAUUCUAUACCCCUAAAUUCAGGGUGUUACAAAUCUAAUCACCUUAACAGAAUCUCGCCCUCGAGAUUCAAGGAGCGGCUAGCAAGAAAAUGAGAUUGGUUCAUUGGUUUUUCAUAGCUUCUUCUGACUCAACUUUGACUCUGGCAACUUUAACUUGCGGACUGGUUGCUUUGACCUUCAGAUGCUUGAGACCAAUUGAUGCAAUUCUUGAUAAUCUCUUGGACCUGUGGGUUAGGACCCACACACGCUUCCGCUGCACCACUUUGAUCUUAUUGGUUGAUGUUGAUUGCAUUGUCUUCAUUGGGGUUAGCGGCUAACCCCCUUAACAGGAGCAUUGAUAUGCACUUGGUGAAGAUGUUGCCGACUUUGAUCUUGACUGAUUAAGAGAGGUUGUAGGAUGCCAACCAGACAGGUGCAAGAGGGAUGGGUAUAGAUAGAAAAGGUGAGCAUAGAUGGAUUAAAGAGAUAAAAGGGAGAGCACCCAGCUACCUAACUCUAUGUCACUCGGCUAGUAAACUGAUGUCAUUGCGGACCAAGGGCCACAACACAUCAACACUCAUCACAAAGAAGCAAAUCAGUCAUCACAUAAAGACAAACAACACAAGCAUACAACAACAAACAUCUCGUUGCUAUAUGUUCCUUUUAAUUAAAUGGUGGCCUUUCUAGAAAAGGGAAUAACUACUCUCUGAGGUUGUCGAAGGAAAAGGAGAAGAACAAGACGUGUAGGAUAGGGGCAUGUGCACAAUAAAGGAUAGAGCUAAAGCAAACAUUGUAAGCGACCAGGAAAAGGAUACGGCCAAGAGCAUAAUGGGAAGAACACUACUCUCAAGUUGAGAUAGAAAAGGGGAGAUUCCAAAAAGCAGACUUGAGAUAAGCAUACAAGAAAGAUCUAGUGAUUACGAAGGUAAUAGUGAUAUCAAAUGAAAGCUAAGACUUGCAAUGCGAUAGAGGAAAAAGGAAACGACCAUGAGCAGAAUGGGUAAGACAACACUCUUGAACUUAAAUAGGAGGGGAAGCUUUAAAAUAUGGGUACAUGAUAAGCAUCAAAGUAAAGAUCCAGGGAUGACAAGGGUUAAGGUGAUAACGGACAAACACACAACAAAGGAUGUAUUUUAGACAAAACUUGCAAGGUGUCAAAGAAGGGAGAGCACUCAAUGAUGAAAUAGAUGAGGCAUUAUCCCCGAACAGGGAUGGAAAAGAGGAGGCUUCAAAGGGUAGGUUCAAGAUAAGCAUGAAGGUAAGGGUAUAGAUAUUGCAAGGGUUAAAGGUGAUAAUAGACAAGAACGUUAGUGAGGAGGUAAAUGGACAUAAGAACAAAGGAUAUAAGUACCAUAGAGGAUGGAGUUAAGACAGGACCUACAAGUGGAAAAAGAGAGGGUACGUCCAAGGGCGAGAUAGGUAAAUUGCCACUCUCAAAUUGAGGUGGAAGAGAGGAGAUUUUUAAAGAGUAGGAAUAGAGAUAAAUGUCAAGGUAAGAUCGAUAGAUGACAAGGGAAUGAUGAUAGCAAAUAAAAACACAUCAAAGGAUAGAAUUGGGACAGAACCUAUAAUGCGACAAUGAGUGAAAAGAAAUCAAGGGAGAGAUAGGUAACUCACAACUCCCAAACUGGGUUGAAAGAAAGGGGAGGCUUUUAAAGGAUAAGUUCAAGGUAAGCAUUUAGGUAGAAGAUAUCAAUAUCGCAAGGGUCAAAGGCGGUAACAUACAAGGGUAUAAGAGAAAGGAUGAAGGCAUAGAAGAGCCAGUGGUACAAGUAUAACAAAGAAUGGAUUUACGUCAAGGCUUGCACGCAGUAAAGGAGAGGAUAUUUCCAAGAGUGAGAUAAGUAAAACACCGCUCUCAAACUGGGAUAGGAUAUUGGAGAUUUUAGAGAACGGACAUAGUGUAAUUACCAAGGUAAGAUCGAGAGAUAAGGUAAAGGUAAUACCCAACCGGAGCACAACAAAGGAUAGAGUUAAGAACUCGCAAACGACAAGGAAGAGGAUACAACCAAGGUAAAAUUGGUAAAAUUCAACUAUAAAAUUGAGAUGGAAGAGAGGGUUUUAAAGGAUAGGUAUAAUAUAAGUAUCAAGGUAAGAUAUAGAGGUGAUAAGGGUAAAGGUGAUAAUGAUGAAAAGCAUAAUCCAUGGACAAAGUUAAGGCAAGACUCACAAAGUGACGAAGCAUAGAAAACAAUCAAGGAUAAGGUAAGUGAGGUUCAGACAGAAGAGUUGAAGUAAAAAAAUCAUUACCGAAGGAAGUUACAAGGAAACAACAAGAUUACCACGAAUGUGCAAAAUAAAAUGACCGCUCAUGGAUCAUUAAGAAACAAGGGUGGUCAAGGACAUGUUAACUGAAAUGUCUUAACAGACAUUGGGGUAUGAAGAUAAGCAUACAUGAAAAUAUAAGGGUAUGCAAGACUCCAAGGAUACAAACAUACUAAGACCAAGGGAAUAGAAAUUGCCGAUAGAUAAUGACUUAACAACGGAAUAGAAAGGGAUCUCAAAAGACAGGAAGGUCAUGAAAAUAUAAAUUGGAAUGUUUAAAUAGGCAAUAGUGUUUUCAGAGUUAAGUAUUUGAAAUAAGGGAUAAGGGUAUGGAAGAAUCCAAAAGAUGUAGUGUGUCAAUACCAAUGGAACAUAUAUUGUCAAAGGUUGGAAAUUUAACGAUAGAAAAGAAAAGAAUCCUGAAAGACAAGAAAGUUAUGGUUAGGGGGCACCUACAAAGAUGUCACGAGCACAAGAGUAAGAUCAGAUCUAAUAGAAUGAAUAAGUAAAGCAUAGAAAGUACUAGAAUAAAAUACAUUUUGCAUGGUGAUAUAUAUACAAAGCAUAACGUAGAAUUAGUCCAAGUGACUAAUAUUUUGAAACAACAUCAAGGAUGAGGUGAAGUAAUAGUCAAUAAGUCCUUAAAACGACCAAUGCUACUCUAGGAUAGCGGUCCUACAGUUAGCAAGGCUUUGAUACCACUUAUGUCACAUCGAGUUUUGAAGGUAAACCGAAUGUGAACCAUGUACGUGCCAAGAUCAGAAAUUCACAUACACAACGAUUACAUAAAUGACUCAUCAUAGCACAAUGCUUCGAGUAACAAUAAAUAGUAAGUAAUAAUAUUAAAGACUAGAGUCAUUUACAUAAUAUGAAUCAAAGUACACAAAAUAGAAACGUAGCCAAUGUAAACAAACCCGCCAAAGGCAGCUGACUGGGGGAGGUCUCUAGCCUAAUCCUCAAACUCGUCGAAGUCUUGGAACUCCUGGAGAUUUGCCUCGACGCCUUCUUCUCCCUCUUUACCUGAGCAUAGAUUGCACCAACGAUAACCUGGUGUUUUGUGAAAGCAAGUGUGAGUACACAUCAACGUACUCAACAAAUGUCCCGUUUGGUUGAGGUAGACUAGCUUUAUGUGGAGUUAAGAUCAAAGCAGUUGCUUUUAGUUGGUCAGGUAUUUAUUAUUAGUGGAAGCCAAGUUUUAUCAAUGACCAACUCGUGAAUCAUUUCCUCAUCGAGGAACAUCAUUAUCAUCAUUGAACCAAAUCCAUCAAUAGAACUAUUGUAUCUCAAACCAUAUGUAUCUCUAAUAAAAGAGGAUCCCAAGGCCGCUCUUAACCGUGAGCACGACUGAUAUAUCUGUUUCUUUCCCCUGUAGAGGUUGCACACUUUACCCACGAGCUGUGAUUCCCUUUCUGCCCGGAGAGCGAUACUCCCCAUUGACCACACUACCUAGGUGGCCUGGCAGGUAUCACUACGUAGCCUUUACAAAGAUUCCCCUGGUGUGUAGUUGCUCGUUAGGUUUCGCUAGUCGUACAAACACAGUACUCCUCUCUAAACUGGAUGACUAACAAAACCGAAUCAAAUGAACCUCGGCACCCACCCUUAGCAGAGUAAGCACUAUGCCCCGGCCCCCAUUGACGGCCCUUCGGCAAAGCCAACUACACCCCCAAGUUCUUCUAAUUAAUCAUCUAAGGGCAUCCCAUUCGACCCUCAUGGUUGUACUGUUAUCCCGGGUGGUCUCUCAACGAACAGGUCCUUACGGAGAGGUACUUAGGAAACAACCUGAGUCCCCUAAAGUAUCACAAGUUCAUCAUCAUAACCAAGAUAACAUCAUCGUAUCAUAAAUGUUCUCGUCAUGUUCGUUGAUUAAAGUAGAGCAAUAGCAUGAAGGUAAUCAUAAUAACCCAAAAGUUAAUCAAGGACAAGGUAAAUACAAAGCUAGUCAAUCCUUAGGUUUCAAUUAAGUAAUGCGAGACAGUGAAUUAUAACUAAGUAGGACAUAAUGGGUCAGAUGACACUUGCCUUCACCAAAUAGAUGCUUAGGAUCUUCAACUUUGUAGAACUCAAAGAACCAAAUCACUUGGUCACCAACGCUUGACUAUCGAUUCCUCGAAGCUCAAAAACGGAUCGUGAAGCGAAGACGAACAUGCACAAGCAAACAAACAUAUAUAUGCAUAAAACAUUACACCAUACCAAGAAAAACAUAAUAAAAACAUGCAAUACGAAAUAGAGCGCGCUACUACGGUUACAUGAGGAAAAGAAACGUCGAACUCGAAGUUAUGGUCGAGAAGAUAUCACAUUUACACUAAACAAGUAUUAGUUAGAACGUUUGGUUCAACAUGGUUAGAUUAAUUGACAUUUAUUAAUGGUAAAUCAAAACUACUACUUAUCUUUCAGUGGCUUACUAUUUUAAUUGUGGAUGAUUAAAUAAAUAACUAAUUAACUAACAUGAGUGAUUAUAAGUGAACGGUUUUAUCUCGCGUGCGGAUAACGCGCGAACGGCGCGCGGCAAGGCGCGCGACACACGCGAACGACGCACGACAACGUGUGAGAAUGGCGCACGACAACACGUGCGAACAACACGCGCGACACUCGCGAACGACUCGAGACGAAGCACGCAAAACAGCAUUGCGGCACGCGCACGGUACGCGCUCAGCACGCGGGCUGACACGAUACGCGAAAACUAAUAAAUAAAUAACAUAAUUAAACUAACAAUUAUUUAAUAAGAAGAGUUCAGUUAACAUUAAUCAUAUUGGUGACUAAUUAUAAAUGCACAUAUCGAAUUUCUAAAUUAGAUUUUAAAAUUAAAACGUCGUUCUAGUAGCCAUCGGUCAAAAACGUUUAAAUAAAUUAAAUAAAAUAUGCAACAAUGGAGGAAAAUUCUUUUAUCUUGAAGACAAUUUUUAUACGAAUCUAACGCAACUUGAUGGAUCGAGUCGUGUUUAAAACGCAAAAGUUAUCACUGUUUAAACUAGAUUGUAAUUCAUGUAUACUAAAUUACAAAACUAACAUCUUCUUCCUCACCUCAACUUCUUCCUCCCAUCCCUGGAAGAGAGAGGAGGAGGGAGAAGGGGGCUGUGCAGUGGGAGAGCCGAGCCUGGUCGUCGUGGGCACGGCCACGCGCGGCACCGCGCGUCGGUCGAACCGGUCGGGCCGACCGCCACUAGGGAAGGGAGAGGGGCCGCGCCGGGGGGAACAUAGGGGGAGGGAGCACCGCCACCGAGUAAGGUGAGGGGAGGGACAGGGAGGCCCUGCAUGGACGGGAAAACGAAGAAACUAAGAAACCUUAGGUGCAAUAAGGGAGGUUUCUCACCGAGGAAAAAGACCCUCACUGGAGCCGAGGAGAAAUCCAUCGAUUGACUGAGAUUCAGAGGUCCGAUUGACAAACCGGACAUGCCCCAACAAAGCCCUCGAUGAGACGAACGCAGCGGUACCCUCGGAUUUCGCAGACGAUGCCCGGAUUGGGAGUAAUUGCUCACCGGACUUGGAACCGCUUCCAAACUUCGACGAGCAAUUCCGGGAGCUGGGAGUUGAAUUUGGGGAAACCGUUUCUGCUCUAGUCGGGCUCGACGAGGAGAAGUCGGGCAUGUAUAUAUACAGGGUUCGAACGAGAUGGAAAUUUGGUUCAAAUUCAGAUUUUACCAUUUAUAAAAUUCAGAAAAGCCUAGAAAUCCAUAUUUUGUGCUCAAAAUAUUAUAGAUGCUUCCAGAAAUUUCAGAAAAAAUCCUAGAAAUGUUUUGGCACCUAAUGAACUAAAAAACAUGCUUAGAGUUUCUAAACAUUUUAAGUACCUCAAAUAAAUAGAUUUUGGUUUCCAGAAAAUAUAAAAAUAUUCCCAAAAAUAUGAAAAAUCUACUGAUAGCUUCUAUAGGAUAAACUAACAUGUUUCAUACGUAUUUUGCACCUCGAAACACCGUGGAACGACAUGAAUGCAACAACCAAGGCCCCUCUAGGGCUCAUUCUACUAGGCUUACACCAAUAUAAGAUAAAAUAUUUCUCCAUUUUUAGGAAAAAUAGAAGAAAAACAAAGAAAUGAGAGAGUAACACCUGAAUUUGGUGGAUAUUAGGAAAGAAAUUUUAUAUGCCCAAAUUCAGGGUGUUACAUUUAAGCUUCACCCACAUACAGCUAGUCCACUUUAGUCAAACGUGACAUUUGCUGAGUACGCUAAUGUGUACUCACCCUUGCUUAAAACACCAAACACCAGGUUGUCCCCAUUGAACCCCGACUUAGGAGGAGAUGAAGGCAACAUGUAGGACUUUUAGGAGUUUCAUGACUUCGAUGAGUUCUAGAGUAGAUUAGCGGCAAAGCCCCAUUCAGCUGUCUAUGAAGGCCUUAUCGUACUACAUUUCGUUUAGCACUUUGAUUAUGGUUUAAGUUAAUAAGUUUGGGGAUGUUUCGGACAUCACGAUGUAAUAAAGUACUACUUCUUUCCACCAUUAUUUGAGCACUGUGUGAUGAUGUCCAAUUAUGUAAUUAUUGUGUACGCGAACUUCUGAUCCUGGCAUGUACAUGGUUCACAUUUGGUUGGCCUUCCAAAACCGGGUGUUACAAGUAAAUUUGGGGAUUACAUUGUAUUAGAGAUUUAAGGAUACUAUGUGUGGAAUAGAGAACAUGGCAUCAUUUGUGCUAUUACUUAUAUCCUCGGAUGUAAUCAAUCGUCUAGGUCCAUUCCACGAUUCAACUAUUCCAAUGGCUGCCUUGAGCUAACUAGUUCGAUGGUUUACGAGGAUAAGCCACAUAAUAUGACCCCUUCAGUAACAAAAUGCGUGAACACUAUUUGUAGAUGUCAUAAAAACUUAAUGCAUAAACGACGACAUCUUAAUUAAUGUUGGAAAUUGUACAAGUAAUGCAUGCAAACUGUGAAGACAUAAGUUUUAUCCCACGAGUAGAAAGCUCAUGUUUUGUAGCACGAAUGAACACCUUAGCUUCGACCUUCAAAGAAUGACCAACGUACGUUAACGUCGUUAAGGAUGUCCCUACAUCUAAAAUCAGCAUGUACUAUCAUAUAUUUAAUUUAAAUUAGUCAUCGAAAAUAUGUAUUAUAUUAAAAUGUAGCCAUGCAUGAUAAAGUUAGGAUUACGUAGGAGAUACAUGGACAACACAACAUUCAUGGAUCCUUUUUUAAAAAAUGAAGGCCUAUCAAAUAUUUUAUUAGGCACUUAUUAUAUAACUGGUCAAUCCCUUUCUUAACUCUUCUCUUUUAAACAACAUCGAAGUUUGACUCUAGCUAUAUAUGGAGAUGGAGAAGAUGGAGAAGGAGGAUGACACCAUUAUUAUUGGCGCCAUCAUCACUGUCGUAAUAGGGUAGUGGUAGCAAAUAGAUAUCACGGUCCGAUGCAUGCAUGUGUAAUGCAUUACUUGGGAUCCAACCCAAUCCAGUAUAGCUAGUAGAAGACGACUUAAAGUAUUGUUAGCACUAAAGGUAAUUAUUUGGCGGUGUAGGCGGUGUUGGCCUUCUAGUUGGCAGGGAUGACAUCGUCGUAGAUGGUAUUGGUGCCUCCCUCGGCAAUGAGGCGAACGGUGAGGGGUCCCUUAAGCAGUUUGUCGCUGUCCUUCCUCCAGAUGGCGCCCCAGGAGUGCUUCAGGGGCUCGCACGUGUCGGAGCCCUUCUCCUUGACGUCCACCACCACAAUGUCACCGUCGCCGUCGACGUACUUGACCAGCAACGCCAGGUAAUUGGGGUUGCACCCCUUUUCAAGGUGGAAGGUGAUCUUGGAGCCGUACUUGCACUUGACCCUUCGGAACUGCAUGUCGACGAUGCCCGCCUUGCACGGCUUCUCCUCCUCGUCCUUCUUGGCAAUGGCGCUGAACGCCGUGCCUGCCAAAUCGAAGUGGUACACCGCGAUAGGCUCAUAGUUCAUGUCCGUGAUGUGCACCACCAUGGGCUUGCUGGAGCACUCUGCAGGCUUAUUGCACUUGAUCUUGAAGCAGGGCCUACAACCCAGACCAUCCUUGAAGAUGGGGAUGUUGCCGCAUGCACCCAUGCUAUUGAAGGGGGGCUUGUUCACGUCCUUGUACCCAUAGCCGCCGCCGUUGUCGUCGAGACCGGCGCCCGUCGGCUUGCCAUACCAUGUCGCUUUAGCGUCCAGCCAGUCCUUGCCAUAGGUGGUCGUGAUGAUCUUACCAGGGGGACCUUGGGAGGACCGCACGAGGCGCCGCUCACCAAGAACACCAACGCCUUAGCCAUCGCCACAUGUGCCUACAUCGACGACCACAUGUUGCUCACAUUCACAGCCAUGUUUUGUCUUGGAUCAGUGAAUGGUACUAUGCUACGAUGAAUGAGCUGGUAUGCCUGAAUUUAUGGUUGUGCGUGCCAACGGUUGGACGAUCGAGCUUGCAACCGUGAAGCGUGCGCAUGCAUGCACCAACGAUGAGGUAGAUCUUGCAUGGUCGAGAGAGCUAUUCUCUUGACCGCCAGUUAUUAAUUGGUUUCGUAUAUUGGAGGUGACCAUGCAUGGUAGCUCAUCAUACAAAGUUGCUCGUAUCGUCGCGAUACUUAUGCCAUUGUGCUACUUUGGCUAAUGGUGAAGCGAGGACUCUCCUUCUUCUCGCUUUGAAAGGGAAAUAGCCUCAACAUUUCCUAUAAUCGAUUUUGGUGUUUGACGUCCAUCACAAACCAUAUGGACUAAUUAGUUGGCCUAGUGGACAUUUUUCCCACGUGCAUAAAGUUCACAUAAACAUACAAAGAAAAUGACUUGAGGGAAUUCUACAAAGUUUGGAGCAUACAAGUUCUUCUGCUACCAGUAGCGCACCAGACACUGUCCGGUGUGCAUCGGACACUGUCUGGUACCCUGGCUGAGCACCUCGCGAACUGGUCGCUCUCGGGUUUUCUCAGUGUUAGCCCGCUAAAAUUCAUCAAACUGUCCGGUGCACCACCAGACUAUCCGGUGAGACAACGGAGCAACGAUCAACUUCGCUGACUACAGGGCAGUCUGCAGCGCAGAAGUCAGAAGUCAGUCUGCAAAGUCAGAACACACCAGACUGUUCGGUCUGCCACCGGACUGUCCGGUGCCACGAGAAGACAGUAGACUUCAAUGGUCAAUAGCUCCAAACCCCAAUGGUCAACAGCUCCAAACCCCAACGGUCGGCUCACGUGGCACUCACCGGAUAGUAAACAAUGUAGUGUUCCGUGCACCACCGGACUGUCCGGUGUGCCCAUCUACAGCAACGGCUGGAAUAGUGAUUAGGGCUAUAAAUACCCCUGACCACCACCAUUCAAGCCACCCAAGCAUUGUAACUUCCUCAUUCAAUACUAGAGCAAAAGAAUACACUCCAAACACACAAUCAAAGCAUCAACCGCUCUCCAAGCUUCAAAAUCAAGUCAAGUGAUCAAAAGUGCUUAGUGACUUGAGAGAGGGUGAUUUGUGUUUGUUUUGUUGCUCUUGUUGCUUGGUUGCAUUCUUCUUCUCAUUCUAAACUUCUCAAGUGUUUUGUAAAGCAAGCGAGAGACACCUAAUUGUGUGGUGAUCCUUGCGGGGUCUUAGUGACACGUGUGAUUAAGAAGAUGCACUUAACCGGUCUAAGUGACCGAUUGAGAGAGGAAAAGGGUUGGAAUAGACCCAGCCUUUGUGGCCUCCUCAAUGGGGAGUAGGUUCCUUGGAACCGAACCUCUGGAAACAAAUCACCGUGUUCACUUGUGUUGAUCUUUAUCACUCGAUUUGUUUCUUCCCUCUCCUCUCUUCCUAAAAGUUCCCUUGCUCACAUUGAUUUGAGUUUGAUACCAAAGUUAUCCGCAUUGAUUGAGCAACUCAAAGCAAGGAGAACUAUCUCCCGCUCUUCGAAUUUAAUAUUAUUUAUCUCUAACCCUAACCCCGUGUGAAGUGCGUGUUCAAAGUUUAUAAUUUUCAAGUUUCGCCUAUUCACCCUCUCUAGGCGACUUUCAUGCUUCCUAUGGAAGAAUGUCAUUGUUGCCACAUAUUUUUAAGUCAUUAUAUUGGAGCAAAGUGGCGUAACCAUGUCAACCUCUAUUAUUCGUGGAAACGAUCCUUCAGGGAUUGUCGCAAGUUAAUUGGUAUAUCAAAUGUGCGAAUGUAGGAUUUAAACAUAGCGUAAUCUUCAAGACUCCACAUCUAAAUGAACAACUAGAAAGAUGACUUGUCUAGACAAUUAUAGGGAAUUGAACCAUAAACAUUCGAGGUACUCCAAUUAUACAAAAAAUGUAAUUAUGAGAUUCGUGUUGGACAAACGAGGUCAAAUUUAACCAAAUUUAUAUUCAGUAUUAUUAAUAUUUAUAUCAAAUAUAUUAUACUAGAACUUUUAAUACAUAGUAAAAUGAACUGCGAGCUUUCCAAAGAACCCCAACAUUCUUCUUUGCUAAAAAAGACUAUUUUGUAUGCGCAUGCAUAGGCAACUAAUUCUUCUAACUAGUUGUUAUAACAUUUUCUUUUAUAUAUACUAGUCAGUUGUCAGUAUGUUACUAUGGUUUUCAUAUUCACAAUAUUUAUAAUAUACAUUCUUUCUAGAACAUGAAUAAAUAUGUGUUUCAGUGGUUAGACGCUAAGCAUAGGAGGAAUGGUUCUAACCCUAGGUUCUACAUUUUUUGGAUUUUCUCAUGGGAGAACUUAACGCAUAAAGGGCGACAUCUUAAUUAAUGUUGGAAAUUGUACAAGUAAUGCAUGCAAACGGUGAAGACAGAAGUUUUAUCUCAUGAGUAGAAAGCUCAUGUUAUGUAGCACUAAUGAACACCUUAGCUUCGACCUUCAAAGAACGACCAACGCACGUUAAGGAUGGCCCUACAUCUAGAAUCAGCAUGUACUAUCAUAUAUUUCAAUUAGUCAUAAAAAAAUAUGUAUUCUAUUAAAAUGUAGCCAUGCAUGAUAAAGUUAGGAUUACGUAGGAGAUACAUGGACAACACAACAUUCAUGGAUCCUUUGAUAAAAAAUGAAGGCCUAUCAAAUAUUUCAUUAGGCACUUAUUAUAUAACUUGUCAAUCCAUUUCUUAACUUUUCUCUUUUAAACAACAGAGAAGUCUCACUCUAGCUAUAUAUGGAGAUGAAGAAGAUGGAGAAGGAGGAUGACACCAUCAUUGUUGGCGCCAGCAUCACUGUCGUAAUAGGGUAGUGGUAGCAAAUAGAUAUCACGGUCCAAUGCAUGCAUGUGUAAUGCAUUGCUUGGGAUCCAACCAAUUCUAGUAUAGCUAGCAUAGGCCGGCUUAAAGUAUUGUCAGCACUAAAGUUAAUUAUUUGGCGGUGUAGGCGGUGUUGGCCUUCCAGUUGGCAGGGAUGACAUCGUCGUAGACGGACUUGGUGCCUCCCUCGGUAGUGAGGCGGACGGUGAGGGGUCCCUUAAGCGGUUUGUCGCUGUCCUUCCUCCAGAUGGCGCCCCAGGAGUGCUUUAGGGGCUCGUACGUGUCAGAGCCCUUCUCCUUGACGUCCACUGCCACAAUGUCACCGUCGCCAUCGACGUACUUGACCAGCAGCGCCAGGUAGUUGGGGCCGCACCCCUUUUCAAGGUGGAAGGUGACCUUGGAGUCGUACUUGCACUUAACCCUUCGGAACUGCAUGUCGAUGAUGCCCGCCUUGCGCAGCUUCUCCUCCUCGCCCUUCUUGGCCAUGGCGCCGAACGCCGUGCCUGCUAAAUCGAAGUGGUACGCCGCGAUAGGCUCAUAGUUCAUGUCCGUGAUGUGCACCACCACGGGCUUGCCGGAGCACUCCACAGGCUUAUCGCACUUGAUCUCGAAGCAGGACCCACAACCCAGACCAUCCUUGAAGAUGGGGAUGUUGCCGCAUGCGCCCAUGCUAUUGAAGGGGGGCUUGUUCACGUCCUUGUACCCGCAGCCGCCACCGUUAUCGUCGGGACCGGCACCCGUCGGCUUGCCAUACCAUGUCGCUUUAGCGUCCAGCCAGUCCUUGCCAUAGGUGGCCGUGAUGUUCUUGCCUGGGGGGACUUUGGGAGGACCGCACCAUGCGCCGCUCACCAAGAACACCAACGCCACAACCAUCGCAACCUGUGCCCGCAUCGACGACCACAUGGUUCUCACAUUCACAGCCAUGUUUUGUCUUGGAUUAGUGAAUGGUACUAUGCUACGAUGAAUGAGCGGGUAGGCCUGAAUUUAUGGUUGUGUGUGCCAACGGUUGGACGAUCGAGCUUGCAACCGUGAAGCGCGCGCAUGCAUGCACCAACGAGGAGGUAGAGUUUGCAUGGUCGAGCGAGCUUUUCUCUUGGCCACCAGUUUACUAAUUGGUUCCGUAAGUCGAAGGUGACCAUGCAUGGUAGCUCUGCAUGCAAAGCUGCUCGUAUCAUCGCGAUACUUAUGCCAUGGUGCUACUUUGGCUAAUGGUGAAGCGAGGACUCUCCUUCUUCUCGCUUUGAAAGGGAAAUAACCUCAACAUUUCCUAUAAUCGAUUUUGGUGUUUGACGUCCAUCACAAAACCAUAUGGACUAAUUAGUUUGCCUAGUGGACAUUUUUCCCACGUGCAUAAAGUUCACAUAAACAUACAAAGAAAAGGAAUUGAGUGAAUUCUACAAAGUUUGGAGCAUACAAGUUCUUGUGCUACUAGUAGCGCACCGGACACUGUCCGGUGUGCAUCGGACACUGUCUGGUACCCUGGCUGAGCACCUCGCGAACUGGUCGCUCUCAGGUUUUCUCAGCGUUAGUCCGCUAAAAUUCAUCGAACUGUCCGAUGCACCACCAGACUAUCCGGUGAGACAACGGAGCAACGAUCAACUUCGCUGACUACAGGGCAGUCUGCAGCGCAGAAGUCAGAAGUCAGUCUGCAAAGUCAGAACACACCAGACUGUUCGGUGUGCCACCAGACUAUCCAGUGCCACAAGAAGAUAGUAGACUUCAACGGUCAAUAGCUCCAAACCCCAAUGGUCAACAGCUCCAAACCCCAACGGUCGACUCACGUGGCACUCACCGGAUAUUAAACAAUGCAGUGUUCCGUGCACCACCGGACUGUCCGGUGUGCCCAUCUACAGCAACGGCUGGAAUAGUGGUUAGGGCUAUAAAUACCCCCGACCACCACCAUUCAAGCCACCCAAGCAUUGCAACUUCCUCAUUCAAUACUAGAGCAAAAGAAUACACUCCAAACACACAAUCAAAGCAUCAACCCCUCUCCAAGCUUCAAAAUCAAGUCAAGUGAUCAAAAGUGCUUAGUGACUUGAGAGAGGGUGAUUUGUGUUUGUUUUGUUGCUCUUGUUGCUUGGUUGCAUUCUUCUUCUCAUUCUAAACUUCUCAAGUGUUUUGUAAAGCAAGCGAGAGACACCUAAUUGUGUGGUGAUCCUUGCGGGGUCUUAGUGACACGUGUGAUUAAGAAGAUGCACUUAACCGGUCUAAGUGACCGAUUGAGAGAGGAAAAGGGUUGGAAUAGACCCAGCCUUUUGGCCUCCUCAAUGGGGAGUAGGUUCCUUGGAACCGAACCUCUGGAAACAAAUCACCGUGUUCGCUUGUGUUGAUCUUUAUCACUCGAUUUGUUUCUUCCCUCUCCUCUCUUCCUAAUAGUUCCCUUGCUCACAUUGAUUUGAGUUUGAUACCAAAGUUAUCCGCAUUGAUUGAGCAACUCAAAGCAAGGAGAACUAUCUCCCGCUCUUCGAAUUUAAUAUUAUUUAUCUCUAACCCUAACCCCGUGUGAAGUGCGUGUUCAAAGUUUAUAAUUUUCAAGUUUCGCCUAUUCACCCUCUCUAGGCGACUUUCAUGCUUCCUAUGGAAGAAUGUCAUUGUUGCCACAUAUUUUUAAGUCAUUAUAUUGGAGCAAAGUGGCGUAACCAUGUCAACCUCUAUUAUUCGUGGAAACGAUCCUUCAGGGAUUGUCGCAAGUUAAUUGGUAUAUCAAAUGUGCGAAUGUAGGAUUUAAACAUAGCGUAAUCUUCAAGACUCCACAUCUAAAUGAACAACUAGAAAGAUGACUUGUCUAGACAAUUAUAGGGAAUUGAACCAUAAACAUUCGAGGUACUCCAAUUAUACAAAAAUGUAAUUAUGAGAUUCGUGUUGGACAAACGAGGUCAAAUUUAACCAAAUUUAUAUUCAGUAUUCUUAAUAUUUAUAUCAAAUAUAUUAUACUAGAACUUUUAAUACAUAGUAAAAUGAACUGCGAGCUUUCCAAAGAACCCCAACAUUCUUCUUUGCUAAAAAAGACUAUUUUGUAUGCGCAUGCAUAGGCAACUAAUUCUUCUAACUAGUUGUUAUAACAUUUUCUUUUAUAUAUACUAGUCAGUUGUCAGUAUGUUACUAUGGUUUUCAUAUUCACAAUAUUUAUAAUAUACAUUCUUUCUAGAACAUGAAUAAAUAUGUGUUUCAGUGGUUAGACGCUAAGCAUAGGAGGAAUGGUUCUAACCCUAGGUUCUACAUUUUUUGGAUUUUCUCAUGGGAGAACUUAACGCAUAAAGGGCGACAUCUUAAUUAAUGUUGGAAAUUGUACAAGUAAUGCAUGCAAACGGUGAAGACAGAAGUUUUAUCUCAUGAGUAGAAAGCUCAUGUUAUGUAGCACUAAUGAACACCUUAGCUUCGACCUUCAAAGAACGACCAACGCACGUUAAGGAUGGCCCUACAUCUAGAAUCAGCAUGUACUAUCAUAUAUUUCAAUUAGUCAUAAAAAAAUAUGUAUUCUAUUAAAAUGUAACCAUGCAUGAUAAAGUUAGGAUUACGUAGGAGAUACAUGGACAACACAACAUUCAUGGAUCCUUUGAUAAAAAAUGAAGGCCUAUCAAAUAUUUCAUUAGGCACUUAUUAUAUAACUUGUCAAUCCAUUUCUUAACUCUUCUCUUUUAAACAACAGCGAAGUCUCACUCUAGCUAUAUAUGGAGAUGAAGAAGAUGGAGAAGGAGGAUGACACCAUCAUUGUUGGCGCCAGCAUCACUGUCGUAAUAGGGUAGUGGUAGCAAAUAGAUAUCACGGUCCAAUGCAUGCAUGUGUAAUGCAUUGCUUGGGAUCCAACCAAUUCUAGUAUAGCUAGCAUAGGCCGGCUUAAAGUAUUGUCAGCACUAAAGUUAAUUAUUUGGCGGUGUAGGCGGUGUUGGCCUUCCAGUUGGCAGGGAUGACAUCGUCGUAGACGGACUUGGUGCCUCCCUCGGUAGUGAGGCGGACGGUGAGGGGUCCCUUAAGCGGUUUGUCGCUGUCCUUCCUCCAGAUGGCGCCCCAGGAGUGCUUCAGGGGCUCGUACGUGUCAGAGCCCUUCUCCUUGACGUCCACUGCCACAAUGUCACCGUCGCCAUCGACGUACUUGACCAGCAGCGCCAGGUAGUUGGGGCCGCACCCCUUUUCAAGGUGGAAGGUGACCUUGGAGUCGUACUUGCACUUAACCCUUCGGAACUGCAUGUCGAUGAUGCCCGCCUUGCGCAGCUUCUCCUCCUCGCCCUUCUUGGCCAUGGCGCCGAACGCCGUGCCUGCUAAAUCGAAGUGGUACGCCGCGAUAGGCUCAUAGUUCAUGUCCGUGAUGUGCACCACCACGGGCUUGCCGGAGCACUCCACAGGCUUAUCGCACUUGAUCUCGAAGCAGGACCCACAACCCAGACCAUCCUUGAAGAUGGGGAUGUUGCCGCAUGCGCCCAUGCUAUUGAAGGGGGGCUUGUUCACGUCCUUGUACCCGCAGCCGCCACCGUUAUCGUCGGGACCGGCACCCGUCGGCUUGCCAUACCAUGUCGCUUUAGCGUCCAGCCAGUCCUUGCCAUAGGUGGCCGUGAUGUUCUUGCCUGGGGGGACUUUGGGAGGACCGCACCAUGCGCCUCUCACCAAGAACACCAACGCCACAACCAUCGCAACCUGUGCCCGCAUCGACGACCACAUGGUUCUCACAUUCACAGCCAUGUUUUGUCUUGGAUUAGUGAAUGGUACUAUGCUACGAUGAAUGAGCGGGUAGGCCUGAAUUUAUGGUUGUGUGUGCCAACGGUUGGACGAUCGAGCUUGCAACCGUGAAGCGCGCGCAUGCAUGCACCAACGAGGAGGUAGAGUUUGCAUGGUCGAGCGAGCUUUUCUCUUGGCCACCAGUUUACUAAUUGGUUCCGUAAGUCGAAGGUGACCAUGCAUGGUAGCUCUGCAUGCAAAGCUGCUCGUAUCAUCGCGAUACUUAUGCCAUGGUGCUACUUUGGCUAAUGGUGAAGCGAGGACUCUCCUUCUUCUCGCUUUGAAAGGGAAAUAACCUCAACAUUUCCUAUAAUCGAUUUUGGUGUUUGACGUCCAUCACAAAACCAUAUGGACUAAUUAGUUUGCCUAGUGGACAUUUUUCCCACGUGCAUAAAGUUCACAUAAACAUACAAAGAAAAGGAAUUGAGUGAAUUCUACAAAGUUUGGAGCAUACAAGUUCUUGUGCUACUAGUAGCGCACCGGACACUGUCCGGUGUGCAUCGGACACUGUCUGGUACCCUGGCUGAGCACCUCGCGAACUGGUCGCUCUCAGGUUUUCUCAGCGUUAGUCCGCUAAAAUUCAUCGAACUGUCUGAUGCACCACCAGACUAUCCGGUGAGACAACGGAGCAACGAUCAACUUCGCUGACUACAGGGCAGUCUGCAGCGCAGAAGUCAGAAGUCAGUCUGCAAAGUCAGAACACACCAGACUGUUCGGUGUGCCACCAGACUAUCCAGUGCCACAAGAAGAUAGUAGACUUCAACGGUCAAUAGCUCCAAACCCCAAUGGUCAACAGCUCCAAACCCCAACGGUCGACUCACGUGGCACUCACCGGAUAUUAAACAAUGCAGUGUUCCGUGCACCACCGGACUGUCCGGUGUGCCCAUCUACAGCAACGGCUGGAAUAGUGGUUAGGGCUAUAAAUACCCCCGACCACCACCAUUCAAGCCACCCAAGCAUUGCAACUUCCUCAUUCAAUACUAGAGCAAAAGAAUACACUCCAAACACACAAUCAAAGCAUCAACCCCUCUCCAAGCUUCAAAAUCAAGUCAAGUGAUCAAAAGUGCUUAGUGACUUGAGAGAGGGUGAUUUGUGUUUGUUUUGUUGCUCUUGUUGCUUGGUUGCAUUCUUCUUCUCAUUCUAAACUUCUCAAGUGUUUUGUAAAGCAAGCGAGAGACACCUAAUUGUGUGGUGAUCCUUGCGGGGUCUUAGUGACACGUGUGAUUAAGAAGAUGCACUUAACCGGUCUAAGUGACCGAUUGAGAGAGGAAAAGGGUUGGAAUAGACCCAGCCUUUUGGCCUCCUCAAUGGGGAGUAGGUUCCUUGGAACCGAACCUCUGGAAACAAAUCACCGUGUUCGCUUGUGUUGAUCUUUAUCACUCGAUUUGUUUCUUCCCUCUCCUCUCUUCCUAAUAGUUCCCUUGCUCACAUUGAUUUGAGUUUGAUACCAAAGUUAUCCGCAUUGAUUGAGCAACUCAAAGCAAGGAGAACUAUCUCCCGCUCUUCGAAUUUAAUAUUAUUUAUCUCUAACCCUAACCCCGUGUGAAGUGCGUGUUCAAAGUUUAUAAUUUUCAAGUUUCGCCUAUUCACCCUCUCUAGGCGACUUUCAUGCUUCCUAUGGAAGAAUUCAUUGUUACCACAUAUUUUUAAGUCAUUAUAUUGGAGCAAAGUUGCGUAACCAUGUCAACCUCUAUUAUUCGUGGAAACGAUCCUUCAGGGAUUGUCGCAAGUUAAUUGGUAUAUCAAAUGUGCGAAUGUAGGAUUUAAACAUAGCGUAAUCUUCAAGACUCCACAUCUAAAUGAACAACUAGAAAGAUGACUUGUCUAGACAAUUAUAGGGAAUUGAACCAUAAACAUUCGAGGUACUCCAAUUAUACAAAAAAUGUAAUUAUGAGAUUCGUGUUGGACAAACGAGGUCAAAUUUAACCAAAUUUAUAUUCAGUAUUAUUAAUAUUUAUAUCAAAUAUAUUAUACUAGAACUUUUAAUACAUAGUGAAAUGAACUGCGAGCUUUCCAAAGAACCCCAACAUUCUUCUUUGCUAAAAAGACUAUUUUGUAUGCGCAUGCAUAGGCAACUAAUUCUUCUAACUAGUUGUUAUAACAUUUUCUUUUAUAUAUACUAGUCAGUUGUCAGUAUGUUACUAUGGUUUUCAUAUUCACAAUAUUAAUAAUAUACAUUUUUUCUAGAACAUGAAUAAAUAUGUGUUUCAGUGGUUAGACGCUAAGCAUAGGAGGAAUGGUUCUAACCCUAGGUUCUACAUUUUUUGGAUUUUCUCAUGGGAGAACUUAACGCAUAAAGGGCGACAUCUUAAUUAAUGUUGGAAAUUGUACAAGUAAUGCAUGCAAACGGUGAAGACAAAAGUUUUAUCUCAUGAGUAGAAAGCUCAUGUUAUGUAGCACAAAUGAACACCUUAGCGUCGACCUUCAAAGAACGACCAACACACGUUAAGGAUGGCCCUACAUCUAGAAUCAGCAUGUACUAUCAUAUAUUUCAAUUAGUCAUAAAAAAUAUGUAUUCUAUUAAAAUGUAGCCAUGCAUGAUAAAGUUAGGAUUACGUAGGAGAUACAUGGACAACACAACAUUCAUGGAUCCUUUUAUAAAAAAUGAAGGCCUAUCAAAUAUUUCAUUAGGCACUUAUUAUAUAACGUGUCAAUCCAUUUCUUAACUCUUCUCUUUUAAACAACAGCGAAGUCUCACUCUAGCUAUAUAUGGAGAUGAAGAAGAUGGAGAAGGAGGAUGACACCAUCAUUGUUGGCGCCAGCAUCACUGUCGUAAUAGGGUAGUGGUAGCAAAUAGAUAUCACGGUCCAAUGCAUGCAUGUGUAAUGCAUUGCUUGGGAUCCAACCCAAUCUAGUAUAGCUAGCAUAGGUCGGCUUAAAGUAUUGUCAGCACUAAAGUUAAUUAUUUGGCGGUGUAGGCGGUGUUGGCCUUCCAGUUGGCAGGGAUGACAUCGUCGUAGACGGACUUGGUGCCUCCCUCGGUAGUGAGGCGGACGGUGAGGGGUCCCUUAAGCGGUUUGUCGCUGUCCUUCCUCCAGAUGGCGCCCCAGGAGUGCUUCAGGGGCUCGUAUGUGUCGGAGCCCUUCUCCUUGACGUCCACUGCCACAAUGUCACCGUCGCCGUCGACGUACUUGACCAGCAGUGCCAGGUAGUUGGGGCCGCACCCCUUUUCAAGGUGGAAGGUGACCUUGGAGUCGUACUUGCACUUAACCCUUCGGAACUGCAUGUCGAUGAUGCCCGCCUUGCGUAGCUUCUCCUCCUCGCCCUUCUUGGCCAUGGCGCCGAACGCCGUGCCUGCUAAAUCGAAGUGGUACGCCGCGAUAGGCUCAUAGUUCAUGUCCGUGAUGUGCACCACCACGGGCUUGCCGGAGCACUCCACAGGCUUAUCGCACUUGAUCUCGAAGCAGGACCCACAACCCAGACCAUCCUUGAAGAUGGGGAUGUUGCCGCAUGCGCCCAUGCUAUUGAAGGGGGGCUUGUUCACGUCCUUGUACCCGCAGCCGCCACCGUUGUCGUCGGGACCGGCACCCGUCGGCUUGCCAUACCAUGUCGCUUUAGCGUCCAACCAGUCCUUGCCAUAGGUGGCCGUGAUGUUCUUGCCUGGGGGGACUUUGGGAGGACCGCACCAUGCGCCGCUCACCAAGAACACCAACGCCACAGCCAUCGCAACAUGUGCCCGCAUCGACGACCACAUGGUUCUCACAUUCACAGCCAUGUUUUGUCUUGGAUUAGUGAAUGGUACUAUGCUACGAUGAAUGAGAGGGUAGGCCUGAAUUUAUGGUUGUGUGUGCCAACGGUUGGACGAUCGAGCUUGCAACCGUGAAGCGCGCGCAUGCAUGCACCAACGAGGAGGUAGAGUUUGCAUGGUCGAGCGAGCUUUUCUCUUGGCCACCAGUUUACUAAUUGGUUCCGUAAGUCGAAGGCGACCAUGCAUGGUAGCUCUGCAUGCAAAGCUGCUCGUAUCGUCGCGAUACUUAUGCCAUGGUGCUACUUUGGCUAAUGGUGAAGCGAGGACUCUCCUUCUUCUCGCUUUGAAAGGGAAAUAACCUCAACAUUUCCUAUAAUCGAUUUUGGUGUUUGACGUCCAUCACAAAACCAUAUGGACUAAUUAGUUUGCCUAGUGGACAUUUUUCCCACGUGCAUAAAGUUCACAUAAACAUACAAAGAAAAGGACUUGAGUGAAUUCUACAAAGUUUGGAGCAUACAAGUUCUUGUGCUACCAGUAGCGCACCGGACACUGUCCGGUGUGCAUCGGACACUGUCUGGUACCCUGGCUGAGCACCUCGCGAACUGGUCGCUCUCGGGUUUUCUCAGCGUUAGUCCGCUAAAAUUCAUCGAACUGUCCGAUGCACCACCAGACUAUCCGGUGAGACAACGGAGCAACGAUCAACUUCGCUGACUACAGGGCAGUCUGCAGCGCAGAAGUCAGAAGUCAGUCUGCAAAGUCAGAACACACCAGACUGUUCGGUGUGCCACCAGACUAUCCAGUGCCACAAGAAGACAGUAAACUUCAACGGUCAAUAGCUCCAAACCCCAAUGGUCAACAGCUCCAAACCCCAACGGUCGACUCACGUGGCACUCACCGGAUAGUAAACAAUGCAGUGUUCCGUGCACCACCGGACUGUCCGGUGUGCCCAUCUACAGCAACGGCUGGAAUAGUGGUUAGGGCUAUAAAUACCCCCGACCACCACCAUUCAAGCCACCCAAGCAUUGCAACUUCCUCAUUCAAUACUAGAGCAAAAGAAUACACUCCAAACACACAAUCAAACCAUCAACCCCUCUCCAAGCUUCAAAAUCAAGUCAAGUGAUCAAAAGUGCUUAGUGACUUGAGAGAGGGUGAUUUGUGUUUGUUUUGUUGCUCUUGUUGCUUGGUUGCAUUCUUCUUCUCAUUCUAAACUUCUCAAGUGUUUUGUAAAGCAAGCGAGAGACACCUAAUUGUGUGGUGAUCCUUGCGGGGUCUUAGUGACACGUGUGAUUAAGAAGAUGCACUUAACCGGUCUAAGUGACCGAUUGAGAGAGGAAAAGGGUUGGAAUAGACCCAGCCUUUGUGGCCUCCUCAAUGGGGAGUAGGUUCCUUGGAACCGAACCUCGAGAAACAAAUCACCGUGUUCACUUGAGUUGAUCUUUAUCACUCGAUUUGUUUCUUCCCUCUCCUCUCUUCCUAAAAGUUCCCUUGCUCACAUUGAUUUGAGUUUGAUACCAAAGUUAUCCGCAUUGAUUGAGCAACUCAAAGCAAGGAGAACUAUCUCCCGCUCUUCGAAUUUAAUAUUAUUUAUCUCUAACCCUAACCCCGUGUGAAGUGCGUGUUCAAAGUUUAUAAUUUUCAAGUUUCGCCUAUUCACCCUCUCUAGGCGACUUUCAUGCUUCCUAUGGAAGAAUGUCAUUGUUGCCACAUAUUUUUAAGUCAUUAUAUUGGAGCAAAGUGGCGUAACCAUGUCAACCUCUAUUAUUCGUGGAAACGAUCCUUCAGGGAUUGUCGCAAGUUAAUUGGUAUAUCAAAUGUGCGAAUGUAGGAUUUAAACAUAGCGUAAUCUUCAAGACUCCACAUCUAAAUGAACAACUAGAAAGAUGACUUGUCUAGACAAUUAUAGGGAAUUGAACCAUAAACAUUCGAGGUACUCCAAUUAUACAAAAAUGUAAUUAUGAGAUUCGUGUUGGACAAACGAGGUCAAAUUUAACCAAAUUUAUAUUCAGUAUUCUUAAUAUUUAUAUCAAAUAUAUUAUACUAGAACUUUUAAUACAUAGUGAAAUGAACUGCGAGCUUUCCAAAGAACCCCAACAUUCUUCUUUGCUAAAAAAGACUAUUUUGUAUGCGCAUGCAUAGGCAACUAAUUCUUCUAACUAGUUGUUAUAACAUUUUCUUUUAUAUAUACUAGUCAGUUGUCAGUAUGUUACUAUGGUUUUCAUAUUCACAAUAUUAAUAAUAUACAUUCUUUCUAGAACAUGAAUAAAUAUGUGUUUCAGUGGUUAGACGCUAAGCAUAGGAGGAAUGGUUCUAACCCUAGGUUCUACAUUUUUUGGAUUUUCUCAUGGGAGAACUUAACGCAUAAAGGGCGACAUCUUAAUUAAUGUUGGAAAUUGUACAAGUAAUGCAUGCAAACGGUGAAGACAGAAGUUUUAUCUCAUGAGUAGAAAGCUCAUGUUAUGUAACACAAAUGAACACCUUAGCGUCGACCUUCAAAGAACGACCAACACACGUUAAGGAUGGCCCUACAUCUAGAAUCAGCAUGUACUAUCAUAUAUUUCAAUUAGUCAUAAAAAAUAUGUAUUCUAUUAAAAUGUAGCCAUGCAUGAUAAAGUUAGGAUUACGUAGGAGAUACAUGGACAACACAACAUUCAUGGAUCCUUUUAUAAAAAAUGAAGGCCUAUCAAAUAUUUCAUUAGGCACUUAUUAUAUAACGUGUCAAUCCAUUUCUUAACUCUGAUCUUUUAAACAACAGCGAAGUCUCACUCUAGCUAUAUAUGGAGAUGAAGAAGAUGGAGAAGGAGGAUGACACCAUCAUUGUUGGCGCCAGCAUCACUGUCAUAAUAGGGUAGUGGUAGCAAAUAGAUAUCACGGUCCAAUGCAUGCAUGUGUAAUGCAUUGCUUGGGAUCCAACCCAAUCUAGUAUAGCUAGCAUAGGUCAGCUUAAAGUAUUGUCAGCACUAAAGUUAAUUAUUUGGCGGUGUAGGCGGUGUUGGCCUUCCAGUUGGCAGGGAUGACAUCGUCGUAGACGGACUUGGUGCCUCCCUCGGUAGUGAGGCGGACGGUGAGGGGUCCCUUAAGCGGUUUGUCGCUGUCCUUCCUCCAGAUGGCGCCCCAGGAGUGCUUCAGGGGCUCGUACGUGUCGGAGCCCUUCUCCUUGACGUCCACUGCCACAAUGUCACCGUCGCCGUCGACGUACUUGACCAACAGUGCCAGGUAGUUGGGGCCGCACCCCUUUUCAAGGUGGAAGGUGACCUUGGAGUCGUACUUGCACUUAACCCUUCGGAACUGCAUGUCGAUGAUGCCCGCCUUGCGCAGCUUCUCCUCCUCGCCCUUCUUGGCCAUGGCGCCGAACGCCGUGCCUGCUAAAUCGAAGUGGUACGCCGCGAUAGGCUCAUAGUUCAUGUCCGUUAUGUGCACCACCACGGGCUUGCCGGAGCACUCCACAGGCUUAUCGCACUUGAUCUCGAAGCAGGACCCACAACCCAGACCAUCCUUGAAGAUGGGGAUGUUGCCGCAUGCGCCCAUGCUAUUGAAGGGGGGCUUGUUCACGUCCUUGUACCCGCAGCCGCCACCGUUGUCAUCGGGACCGGCACCCGUCGGCUUGCCAUACCAUGUCGCUUUAGCGUCCAGCCAGUCCUUGCCAUAGGUGGCCGUGAUGUUCUUGCCUGGGGGGACUUUGGGAGGACCGCACCAUGCGCCGCUCACCAAGAACACCAACGCCACAACCAUCGCAACCUGUGCCCGCAUCGACGACCACAUGGUUCUCACAUUCACAGCCAUGUUUUGUCUUGGAUUAGUGAAUGGUACUAUGCUACAAUGAAUGAGAGGGUAGGCCUGAAUUUAUGGUUGUGUGUGCCAACGGUUGGACGAUCGAGCUUGCAACCGUGAAGCGCGCGCAUGCAUGCACCAACGAGGAGGUAGAGUUUGCAUGGUCGAGCGAGCUUUUCUCUUGGCCACCAGUUUACUAAUUGGUUCCGUAAGUCGAAGGCGACCAUGCAUGGUAGCUCUGCAUGCAAAGCUGCUCGUAUCGUCGCGAUACUUAUGCCAUGGUGCUACUUUGGCUAAUGGUGAAGCGAGGACUCUCCUUCUUCUCGCUUUGAAAGGGAAAUAACCUCAACAUUUCCUAUAAUUGAUUUUGGUGUUUGACGUCCAUCACAAAACCAUAUGGACUAAUUAGUUUGCCUAGUGGACAUUUUUCCCACGUGCAUAAAGUUCACAUAAACAUACAAAGAAAAGGACUUGAGUGAAUUCUACAAAGUUUGGAGCAUACAAGUUCUUGUGCUACCAGUAGCGCACCGGACACUGUCCGGUGUGCAUCGGACACUGUCUGUUACCCUAGCUGAGCACCUCGCGAACUGGUCGCUCUCGGGUUUUCUCAGCGUUAGUCCGCUAAAAUUCAUCGAACUGUCCGAUGCACCACCAGACUAUCCGGUGAGACAACGGAGCAACGAUCAACUUCGCUGACUACAGGGCAGUCUGCAGCGCAGAAGUCAGAAGUCAGUCUGCAAAGUCAGAACACACCAGACUGUUCGGUGUGCCACCAGACUAUCCAGUGCCACAAGAAGACAGUAAACUUCAACGGUCAAUAGCUCCAAACCCCAAUGGUCAACAGCUCCAAACCCCAACGGUCGACUCACGUGGCACUCACCGGAUAGUAAACAAUGCAGUGUUCCGUGCACCACCGGACUGUCCGGUGUGCCCAUCUACAGCAACGACUGGAAUAGUGGUUAGGGCUAUAAAUACCCCCGACCACCACCAUUCAAGCCACCCAAGCAUUGCAACUUCCUCAUUCAAUACUAGAGCAAAAGAAUACACUCCAAACACACAAUCAAAGCAUCAACCCCUCUCCAAGCUUCAAAAUCAAGUCAAGUGAUCAAAAGUGCUUAGUGACUUGAGAGAGGGUGAUUUGUGUUUGUUUUGUUGCUCUUGUUGCUUGGUUGCAUUCUUCUUCUCAUUCUAAACUUCUCAAGUGUUUUGUAAAGCAAGCGAGAGACACCUAAUUGUGUGGUGAUCCUUGCGGGGUCUUAGUGACACGUGUGAUUAAGAAGAUGCACUUAACCGGUCUAAGUGACCGAUUGAGAGAGGAAAAGGGUUGGAAUAGACCCAGCCUUUGUGGCCUCCUCAAUGGGGAGUAGGUUUCUUGGAACCGAACCUCGAGAAACAAAUCACCGUGUUCACUUGUGUUGAUCUUUAUCACUCGAUUUGUUUCUUCCCUCUCCUCUCUUCCUAAAAGUUCCCUUGCUCACAUUGAUUUGCGUUUGAUACCAAAGUUAUCCGCAUUGAUUGAGCAACUCAAAGCAAGGAGAACUAUCUCCCGCUCUUCGAAUUUAAUAUUAUUUAUCUCUAACCCUAACCCCGUGUGAAGUGCGUGUUCAAAGUUUAUAAUUUUCAAGUUUCGCCUAUUCACCCUCUCUAGGCGAUUUUCAUGCUUCCUAUGGAAGAAUGUCAUUGUUGCCACAUAUUUUUAAGUCAUUAUAUUGGAGCAAAGUGGCGUAACCAUGUCAACCUCUAUUAUUCGUGGAAACGAUCCUUCAGGGAUUGUCGCAAGUUAAUUGGUAUAUCAAAUGUGCGAAUGUAGGAUUUAAACAUAGCGUAAUCUUCAAGACUCCACAUCUAAAUGAACAACUAGAAAGAUGACUUGUCUAGACAAUUAUAGGGAAUUGAACCAUAAACAUUCGAGGUACUCCAAUUAUACAAAAAAUGUAAUUAUGAGAUUCGUGUUGGACAAACUAGGUCAAAUUUAACCAAAUUUAUAUUCAGUAUUCUUAAUAUUUAUAUCAAAUAUAUUAUACUAGAACUUUUAAUACAUAGUGAAAUGAACUGCGAGCUUUCCAAAGAACCCCAACAUUCUUCUUUGCUAAAAAGACUAUUUUGUAUGCGCAUGCAUAGGCAACUAAUUCUUCUAACUAGUUGUUAUAACAUUUUCUUUUAUAUAUACUAGUCAGUUGUCAGUAUGUUACUAUGUGUCGGCGUUUUGAGACCGGGGGGUCCCUAAGCCGACGAGUGAAUGUCGCUGCGUGCCCCAGCCCAGAUGGGUCGAGCGCGUGGGCGAGCGCGAUGGGGGGAAGCGAGGUGGCCGGAGAUGGGCGUGAGAGAGGUGGAAAUCCCGCGGCCUUCGUGUUCGUCCCGCGCCCAGGUCGGGUGCGCUUGCAGUAGGGGGUUACAAGCGUCCACGCGGGUGAGGGAAGCGAGCGGCCCCAAGAGAGCGCCUGUCCCGUCCUCGUCCCCGCGCGGCCAACCCUCUCUAAGAGGGCCCUGGUCCUUCCUUUUAUAGGCGUAAGGAGAGGAGCCAGGUGUACAAUGGGGGUGUAGCAGAGUGCUACGUGUCUAGCGGGGGAGAGCUAGCGCCCUAAGUACAUGCCGAUGUGGCAGCCGGAGAGAUCUUGGCACCCAGCUGGUGUGAUGUCGUGGCCGUCGGAGGAGCGACGGAGCCUGGCGGAGGGACAACUGUCGGAGCGGUUGAGUCCUUGCUGACGUCCUCCUGCUUCCGUAAGAGAGCUGAGAGCCGCCGUCGUCAUAGAGCAUGCGGGGCGCCAUCAUUGCCUAUCUGGCGGAGCUAGCCAGAUGGGACGCCGGUCUUGUUCUCUGCGGCCCGAGUCAGCUCGGGGUAGGGUGAUGAUGGCGCUUCCUGUUGACGUGGCUGGCCUGCGCCCUAGGUUGGGCGACGUGGAGGCUCCUCCGAAGCCGAGGUCGAGUCUGUCUUCUGUGGCCGAGGCCGAGUCCGAGCCCCUGGGUCGGGCGAGGCGGAGGUUGUUCGGCAGAGGCCAGGGCGGAGUCCGAGCCCUGGGGUCGGGCGGAGCGGAGUUCGUCGUCUUCUGGGGCUGAGCCCGAGUCCGAGCCCUGGGGUCGGGCGGAGCGGAGUUCGUCGUCUUCUGGGGCUGAGCCCGAGUCCGAGCCCUGGGGUCGGGCGGAGCGGAGUUCGCUGUCUUCCGGGACUUAGCCCGAGUCUGAGCCCUGGGGUCGGGCGGAGCGGAGUUCGCCGUCUUCCGGGACUUAGCCCGAGUCCGAGCCCUGGGUCGGGCGGAGCGGAGUUCGCCGUCUUCCGGGACUUAGCCCGAGUCCGAGCCCUGGGUCGGGCGGAGCGGAGUUCACCGUCUUCCGGGACUUAGCCCGAGUCCGAGCCCUGGGGUCGGGCGGAGCUUCCUAUGGUGCCUUUGGCAGGGCCUGACUGCCCGUCAGUCUCACUCUGUCGAGUGGCACUGCAGUUGGAGUGGCGCAGGCGGCGCUGUCCUUCUGCCAGGCCGGUCAGUGGAGCGGCGAAGUGACGGCGGUCACUUCGGCUCUGCCGGGGGGCGUGUGUCAGGAUAAAGGUGUCAGGCCACCUUUGCGUUAAAUGCUCCUGCGAUUCGGUCGGUCGAUGCGGCGAUUUAGUCAGGGUUGCUUCUUAGCGAAGGAAGGGCCUCGGGCGAGCCGGAGAUGUGUCCGCCGUUGGAGGGGGGCCUCGGGCGAGACGGAAAUCCUCUGGGGUCGGCUGCCCUUGUCCGAGGCUAGGCUCGGGCGAGGCAUGAUCGAGUCGCUCGAAUGGACUGAUCCCUGACUUAAUCGCACCCAUCAGGCCUUUGCAGCUUUAUGCUGAUGGGGGUUACCAGCUGAGAAUUAGGCGUCUUGAGGGUACCCCUAAUUAUGGUCCCCGACAGUAGCCCCCGAGCCUCGAAGGGAGUGUUAGCACUCGCUUGGAGGCUUUCGUCGCACUUUUUUGCAAGGGGACCAGCCUUUCUCGGUUGCAUUUUGUUCCGGUGGGUGCGCGCGAGCGCACCCGCCGGGUGUAGCCCCCGAGGCCUCGGAGGAGUGGUUUCACUCCUCCGAGGUCUUAAUGCCUUGCGUAAUGCUUCGGCUGGUCUGGUUGUUCCCUCAUGCGAACUGGCCGUAGCCCGGGUGCACGGUCGGGACCCAAGUUCUCGGGCUGGUAUGUUGACGCUGUCAACGGUUCGGCCGGAGCCGGGUUUGCGAGAGCAGCCCCCGAGCCUCCGCACAGGGCGAGAGGACGAUCAGGGACAGACUCGGCUUUUUUACAUACGCCCCUGCAUCGCCUUUCCGCAAGGAGGAGGGGGGAAAGCGCCAUGUUACCCUCGAUGGGCGCCGAACAUGGUGUCUCCGGUGAGCUGCAAGCGGGUAAUCCGAGUGGACGUCCGUGCCCCGUUCGUUAGGGGUCGGCUAGGGGCCCAGAGGCACGCCCAAAAGUACCUACGGGUGAUCUGCCGGACCCGGUCCCCUGGCGACGGGGUCCGAUGGCUCGAUGCCUCCCUCUGAUGGGAUUCCGUUACAAGAUCGCUCCCGCUGGUCUCGGAAAUGUCCUAGGGUACCUUGGGAGCGCAGCCCGAGCCUUGAUUAUGUAUCGAACGUACCCCUGGUCAUCCCUCGCUCGGCGUCUGAGGCGACUAUGAACCCUUCGGGGGCCAGCCUUCGAACCCCUGAUCAGUAAUGGGUGCGGAGCCCGAGUAGCCUGAGGCGGCCGUGGAACUAACCCUUCGGGGGGCUGGCCUUCGAACCUCUGACCAGUAGUGGGUGUAGGGCCCACGCGAUCUGAGGCGGCUGUUGAACCCCUCGGGGGGCCAGCCUUCGAACCUCUGAUCAGUAGGGGGGCUCGGAGCCCGGUUCCUUCACGGGGAAGGAUCCUUUUCGGGGUAUCCCCCUUUCCCGGUCCCUGUUGCAAGAGAUAGAGAAAGAGGAAAAAAGGAAAAGGAUACGAAAUCGAACGAUGUGGCGUACCUUUUUUGGCGCGGUUAUUACGGCGAAGGCGAAGCGUUGCCCGCUUCUCCUGCCAGAAGCGCCGCCUGUCCCGCCGCGGAGUUAAUGCGACAGGGCGAGUGGUUGGCGGGGCGGUCGUCGCGCGUGCGCGAGCCGUUCGAGGAACGGAUCACGGGCGCGUUGUCUUCACGUCGUGAGAGGGGGUUCUCUUGCUGCCCCUGGAUGGGACGUGAGCUUGGCUGACGACGUGACCGCUGCUCCCGCCCGCCUGCCACCGUCAUUACUGCCGGCCCACUUUCGGCCACAUUGACCGUCGCGCCAGGCUGGCGCUGCUGGGUCGUGCGCUGGGUCGCCUCGAGUCGCGGUAUUGGUUCCGCAACCGAAGAGGCGCGGUGGUGGCGCAAGUGGCGGUGCAGUUGCUUGCAUGCAGCAUCCGGCGCGCCGGUUGCGUGACGCGUGGGCCUGGGCCUCCAGGCUGGGCGCGUUGGGAGUCGCAGAAGCGCGCCCACUUGGCGCGGUUGCAUGCCGCCUGCAUGGCUGCCCGCCUCUCUCGCCCGUUGGUCUGGGCAAAAGUGGAGGGUCACUUGUAACCGCUGGGCGGUUGAGUGCACCGCGCGCGGCGGUUUGGCUUCUUCUGCUCCGAGCCGGUUUGCAUGACAUGCGGGACCCAGCCCCCGCGCCGCAGGGGAGGGCCUUGGAGCGUGUUGGAGAAGACUCAGUCCGUGACGAUUGGGGGCGCAAGUAGGGAGAGUUGCCUUUAAAAGGAGGGCGACCCCUUUCGGAAGGCGAGCAUGUCUUCUCGCUUCCUUAUGCAUCGCGUCUCUCCACCUUCCAAGCCCCCGGAUGGGGGAUAACCGCCGUCUUUUCGCCUCAUCGUUGGAGGAACACAACUCCGUGGGAGUUGGUACCUUUCAGCCAUCGUUCGGCUUCAAGGAUUUUCAUCGGCCAGCCCGGCUAUACCCCCCCGCCGGCGGUCACCCAAGACGGUGACCACCAGUUCCUGGGUGGGGAGAAGCAAGCCGGGCUGCGAUCUUGGUCCCACCCUCAGCUUCAAGGAUGUUCAUCAUCCUCGCUGGGGUGGGGGCCGGGCUGAGCCGGCGCUCUACCUCCCGCGCGGGUUCGUGGGUCACCCUCUCCCGCGGCGUUCGAGGGAGAGGGCGCUCACUGGCCCUGCGGGUGGCCCGGACUUCGACAACGCGGGGCUGGUCGACGGCGGGCGUCGUCACCUCCAGCGUGUCGGGCUCGUCGGCUUGGCUCCCGGCGGCCCCUCCUGCCGGAGGGCGGCUCCCGCGCCGUGUGCACGGGAGGACCACCCAAGAUGCCGCGCGCUGCUAGGGCGGCGUUCGUGUUCUGGGGUGGCCCUGCCUUUGCACCGGGAUGGCACCUUCACGCAGAGGCCGAUGCCCCACUCGUCCGGGAGGAUUUGAGUGGGGAUCUGCCGGAGGGCUGAUGGCCCCUGCCAUCGGUGCCGAGGUGACGGCGGUUCGAGAAGUCCCCGUCGCCGACGGGAUCACCGCCACCAUCCGCGCUUCGGGCCUCCAGCUCUUUGUACUUGUCCUCGCCCCUCGAGCGUCGGCGUGGGCGAGGGCAAGAUUGCAGCAGCGCCCACCCUGAGGCCUGCGCUGCUGCAGUUCGACCACCCGGAGCGGGGGUCGUUGUCGUCGUAGUCAGAGCGGGCGGCAGCGAGCCGCUCGUCAGUCUUCUGUUGCUCCGCAGGCCCUCUCCCAUGGAGUGGGGUUGUUCGUACCUGCGGAGGGGGAACCGGAGUUCCGUUUGUAAUGGCACUUCGAAUGCCAGUGUUUUUGUUCAUUAUGGCUGUCGAGGCCUGAACAUGUAUGUAAUUUUGGCACGGAGCCGUGUUUUUUCCUCAUUCUCGAGCACUAAGACUCGCCUGUUGAUUAUCUGAACCGCUUCACCAAGCAUGAGUCGCCCCGUGUCAAGGUGACGAGUGAGGUAUCCGUAUCCCGGAGGCGUAGGAGUCCCUCGGCUCGGUCGGCCUUGCUGUCUGAGGCUCCUCUAGCUUAGUUAAAGGGACCCCUUGGCCGCUCUUCGACGAGCCGAGGCCAGGGGUAGCGAUAUCAGCGUGAACAGAGGCGGAGUUGGCUCGAAAAUGAAACCUGGUCGGCCGGAGCCUAGCCGGGUUGUCCGUUAGUGGGGCCGACGUCGGAGUUGAUCAGCCGAGGCCUCGGGUCGGGCUGGCGCCCUUGGAAGAUGGUCGGCCGAGGCCUCAGAGGUGACCGGCCGAGCCACCUGCUCGGGCCGGAUUCCCGGAGAAGACCCUGGCGGCGAUGGCCCGGGCGUGGUGAUGACGUCGUCCUUCGGAGUGGAGGUCUUCGGACCGCGUCGCCGUCCGAGGCUAGGUCGAACCUCGCCGAAGUUGUCGUCGAUGCCGAGGGUGCUGCUGCCCCCUUCCAGCGUCAAGACCCGAGCCUGCAGGAUCAGAUAGUCUUGUAGCGUGUGCCUUCUGCGGCCGCCGAGGCCAGAACACACACCCUUGCUGCGUUGUAAAGUUGCGUCUCUUUUCCUCUUGUUUCGAGUAUCUGGACUUUUUUGUCGGUAACAGGGAUGUUUGUGCGAGCGAGAGUUGCUUCUCGCGGAAGGUGAUGAGUGAGGUAUCCGUAUCCCGGAGGCGUGGGAGUCCCUCGGCUCGGUCGACCUUGCCGCUUACGCGUACUUUCACCCGUCCAUGAGGCCCUGUCACCGACUCAGUCGAGAAGGCUCGAAGGAUCGCUUCGGCAGAAGAGCUUCCGAAUGUGAAGACUUGUUCGGUCCGCGGAAUCACUUUAUCCGAAUGCGAGUUACUUAUCGCAGAAGGUGAUGAGUGAGGUAUCCGUAUCCCGGAGGCGUAGGAGUCCCUCGGCUCGGUCAGCCUUGGCUGCUUACGUGUACUCCGUCGUUUUCAGGAUCCACUUUUCGAAGUAGUCAGAAAGCAUGAAAGACAUUCUGGCGGAAGAGAUCUUUUUUCGAGGAAAAUUUCAACGCAGAGGGGGUUCCCCCCCUUUUAGCCCCCGAGGGAGGGUCGGGCUUUGCCGAGGCGAGGCCGACCCUUCCUGGAUGACUAAACUUUGCGUGGGUGCGAGGUAUAUGAACAAUUUGAAAAUAUCUUAAGGGUAGAAGCGACGUAGCUGUUGGAUGUUCCAAGCGUUGCUGUAGACCUCGCCUUGACUGUUGGCCAGCUUGUACGUUCCGGGCUUCAGAACUUUGGCGAUGACGAAUGGCCCCUCCCAGGGGGGCGUGAGCUUGUGCCUCCCUCGGUCGUCUUGCCGCAGCCGAAGCACCAGGUCGCCCACCUGGAGGUCUCGGGGCCGGACCCCUCGGGCGUGGUAGCGUCGCAGGGACUGCUGGUACCGCGCCGAGUGUAGUAAGGCCUUGUCCUGAGCCUCUUCCAGCUGGUCCAGCGAGUCUUCUCGACUAACUUGGUUGCUUUGAUCGCUGUAGGCCCUCGUCCUCGGGGAGCCGUAUUCCAGGUCAGUGGGCAAGACGGCCUCGGCCCCAUAGACCAGGAAGAACGGCGUGAAACCCGUGGCUCGGCUCGGCGUUGUCCUCAGGCUCCAGACCACCGAGGGGAGUUCCUUCAUCCAUCGCUUGCCGAACUUGUCGAGGUCGUUGUAAAUCCGAGGCUUGAGCCCUUGUAGAAUCAUGCCGUUGGCACGCUCUACUUGCCCGUUCAUCAUGGGAUGAGCCACGGCGGCCCAGUCCACCCGGAUGUGGUGAUCUUUGCAGAAGUCCAAGAACUUUCUGCCGGUGAACUGGGUACCGUUGUCGGUGAUGAUGGAGUUCGGGACCCCGAAGCGAUGGAUGAUGUUGGUGAAGAACGUCACCGCCUGCUCGGACCUGAUGCUGUUCAGAGGUCGGACCUCGACCCACUUGGAGAAUUUGUCGAUGGCGACCAGCAGGUGCGUGUAGCCCCGGGCGCCUUCUGCAAGGGGCCGACGAGGUCCAGACCCCACACAGCAAAGAGCCAGGUGAUGGGUAUCGUCUGUAGAGCCUGAGCGGGCAGAUGGGUCUGCUUCGUAUAGAAUUGACACCCUUCGCAGGUGCGGACAAUUCUAGUGGCGUCAGCCACCGCCGUUGGCCAGUAGAAGCCUUGCCGGAAAGCAUUCCCGACAAGGGCUCGAGGCGCUGCGUGAUGGCCGCAAGCCCCCGAGUGUAUCUCUUGCAGGAGUUCCUGACCUUCGGCGAUGGAGAUGCAUCGCUGGAGGAUGCCCGAGGGGCUGCGGUGGUAGAGCUCCUUCUCAUCGCCCAGCAAGACGAACGACUUGGCGCGUCGCGCUACUCGCCGAGCCUCGGCUCGGUCGAGGGGUAGCUCUCCUUGGCGGAGAUAUUGCAGGUACGGGGUCUGCCAAUUCCGAUCAGGCGUGGCCCCGCUCCGCUCCUCCUCGACGUGCAGUGCCUCGCCCUUGGAGGCCGAGGGUACCUCGGGCUGAACCGAGGGUGCCUCGGGCCGUGCCGAGGGUACCUCGGGCUGGACCGAGGGCGCCUCAGGCUCGGGCGAGUCGUCGAUCUUGACGGAGGGUUGAUGCAGAUCCCGGGAGAAGACGUCCGGGGGAACCGUCGUUCGCCCCGAGGCUAUUUUUGCCAGCUCGUCCGCCGUCUCGUUGUAACGCCGAGCGAUGUGGUUAAGCUCGAGCCCGUAGAACUUAUCUUCCAGGCGCCGAACCUCAUCGCAGUAGGCCUCCAUCUUCGGGUCGCGGCAGUGGGAGUUCUUCAUGACUUGGUCGAUGACAAGCCGCGAGUCGCCGCGGGUGUCGAGGCGCCUGACCCCUAGCUCGAUGGCGAUCCGCAACCCGUUGACCAGAGCCUCGUACUCAGCCACAUUGUUGGACGCCGGGAAAUGGAGGCGUAGCACAUAGCGUAGGUGUUUCCCGAGGGGCGAGAUGAAGAGUAGGCCCGCGCCGGCUCCCGUCUUCAUCAGCGAUCCGUUGAAAAACAUGGUCCAGAGCUCCGGUUGGAUCGGAGCCGUCGGUAGCUGGGUGUCGACCCAUUCGGCUACGAAGUCCGCCAAUACCUGGGACUUGAUGGCCUUCCGAGGGGCGAACGAGAUUGUCUCGCCCAUGAUUUCCACCGCCCACUUUGCAAUCCUGCCCGAGGCCUCUCGGCACUGGAUGAUCUCCCCCAGGGGGAAGGAUGACACCACAGUUACCGGAUGAGACUCGAAGUAGUGUCGCAACUUCCGCCUCGUCAGGAUCACUGCAUACAACAGCUUCUGGACUUGUGGGUAGCGGAUCUUGGUCUCGGACAGCACCUCGCUGACGAAGUAAACUGGCCUCUGAACGGGCAAUGCAUGCCCCUCUUCUUGCCUCUCGACCACAAUCACGGCGCUAACCACCUGAGUGGUCGCGGCGACGUAGACCAAGAGGGCUUCUCCGUCAGUUGGAGGCACCAAGAUAGGCGCCUUUGUGAGGAGCGCCUUCAGGUUCCCGAGAGCUUCCUCGGCCUCAGGGGUCCAAGCGAAGCACUCGCCUUCCUUAAGAGGCGGUACAGAGGCAGGCCUCUUUCGCCGAGGCGUGAGAUGAAGCGGCUCAGGGCCGCGAGACAUCCCAUGACCCUCUGUACGCCUUUUAAGUCCUUGAUGGGCCCCAUGCUGGUGAUGGCUGCGAUCUUCUCCGGGUUGGCUUCGAUGCCCCGCUCGGAGACGAUGAACCCCAAGAGCAUGCCCUGGGGCACCCCGAAGACACACUUCUCGGGAUUGAGCUUGACGCCUUUCGCUUUGAGACAUCGGAAUGUCACUUCAAGGUCGGAGAGGAGGUCGGAAGCCUUCCUCGUCUUGACUACGAUGUCAUCGACGUAGGCCUCGACCGUGCGACCGAUGUGUUCGCCGAACACAUGGUUCAUGCACCGCUGAUACGUCGCGCCCGCAUUCCUCAAACCGAACGGCAUGGUGACGUAGCAGUACAUGCCGAAGGGCGUGAUGAAAGAAGUCGCGAGCUGGUCGGACUCUUUCAUCCUGAUUUGGUGAUACCCUGAGUAGGCGUCGAGGAAAGACAGGGUUUCGCACCCAGCAGUGGAAUCCAUGAUUUGAUCGAUGCGAGGCAGAGGGUAGGGAACCUUCGGACAUGCUUUGUUGAGACCAGUGUAGUCUACACACAUCCGCCAUUUCCCCCCUUUCUUUCUCACAAGCACAGGGUUGGCAAGCCAUUCGGGAUGGAAUACCUCUUUGAUGAACCCUGUUUCCAUCAGCUUGUGGAUCUCCUCGCCUAUCACUCUGCGCUUCUCCUCGUCGAAUCGGCGCAGAGGCUGCUUGACGGGUCGGGCUCCGGCCCGAAUAUCCAGCGAGUGCUCGGCGACAUCCCUCGGUAUGCCGGGCAUGUCUGAGGGACUCCGUGCAAAGACGUCGGCGUUUGCGCGGAGAAAGUCGACGAGCACUGCUUCCUAUUUGGGGUCGAGCCCGGAACCGAUCCGGAUCUGCUUGGAGGUGUCGCCACUGGGGUCGAGAGGGACGGCCUUGACCGUCUCCACUGGCUCGAAGUUGCCAGCAUGGCGCUUCACGUCGGGUACCUCUUUUGAGAGGCUUUCCAGGUCGGCGAUGAGGGCCUCGGACUCGGCGAGGGCCUCGGCGUACUCCACGCACUCCACGUCGCAUUCGAACGCAUGUUUGUACGUGGGGCCGACGGUGAUGACCCCGUAGGGGCCCGGCAUCUUGAGCUUCAGGUAGGUGUAGUUGGGGACGGCCAUGAACUUCGCGUAGCUUGGCCUCCCCAGUACCGCGUGGUAGGUUCCUCGGAACCCGACCACCUCGAACGUCAGAGUCUCCCUUCGGAAGUUGGAGGGCGUUCCGAAGCAGACGGGGAGGUCGAGUCGUCCGAGGGGCUGGACGCGCUUCCCGGGAAUGAUCCCGUGGAAGGGCGCAGCGCCUGCUCGGAUGGAGGAUAGAUCGACGCGCAGGAGCCCGAGGGUCUCGGCGUAGAUGAUGUUGAGGCAGCUGCCCCCGUCCACAAGGACCUUGGUGAGCCUGACGUCGCCGACAAUGGGGUCGACGACGAGCGGGUAUUUCCCCGGGCUCGGCACGUGGUCGAGGUGGUCAGCUUGGUCGAAGGUGAUGGGCUUGUCGGACCAGUCUAGGUAGACUGGCGCCGCCACCUUCACCGAGUAGACCUCCCGGCGCUCUUGCUUGCGAUGCCGAGCCGAGGCAUUCGCCGCAUGCCCACCGUAGAUCAUGAAGCAGUCGCGGACCUCAGGGAAUUCUCCUGCUUGGUGAUCUUCCUUCUUGUCGUCGUCGCGGGCCCUGCCACCCUCCGCGGGUGGCCCGGCCCUGUGGAAGUGGCGCCGAAGCAUGACGCACUCCUCAAGGGUGUGCUUGACGGGCCCCUGAUGAUAGGGGCACGGCUCCUUGAGCAUCUUGUCGAAGAGGUUGGCACCUCCGGGGGGCUUCCGAGGGUUCUUGUACUCGGCGGCGGCGACAAGGUCCGCGUCGGCGGCGUCGCGUUUCGCUUGCGACUUCUUCUUGCCUUUCUUCUUGGCGCCGCGCGGAGUAGACGCCUCGGGAGCAUCUUCCGAUGGGUGGCCCUGGGGCUGCUUGUCCUUUCGGAAGAUAGCCUCGACCGCCUCGUGGCCAGAGGCGAACUUGGUGGCGAUGUCCAUCAGCUCGCUCGCCCUGGUGGGGGUCUUACGACCCAACUUACUCACCAGGUCGCGGCAGGUGGUGCCGGCAAGGAACGCGCCGAUGACAUCCGAGUCGGUGAUGUUGGGCAGCUCGGUGCGCUGCUUCGAGAAUCGCCGGAUGUAGUCCCGGAGAGACUCUCCCGGCUGAUGCCGGCAGCUUCGGAGGUCCCAGGAAUUCCCGGGGCGCACGUACGUGCCCUGGAAAAUGCCGGCGAAGGCUUGGACCAGGUCAUCCCAGUUGGAGAUCUGCCCCGGAGGCAGGUGCUCCAACCAGGCGCGAGCGGUGUCGGAGAGGAACAGGGGGAGGUUGCGGAUGAUGAGGUUGUCGUCGUCCGUUCCACCCAGUUGGCAGGCCAGGCGGUAGUCCGCGAGCCACAGUUCCGGUCUCGUUUCCCCCCGAGUACUUUGUGAUAGUAGUCGGGGGUCGGAACCGGGUCGGGAACGGCGCCCGUCGGAUGGCCCGGCUGAAGGCCUGCGGACCGGGUGGUUCGGGCGAGGGACUCCGAUCCUCCCCGCUGUCGUAGCGUCCCCCACGCCUGGGGUGGUAACCUCGGCGCACCCUCUCGUCGAGGUGGGCCCGACGGUCGUGAUGACGGUGCUCGUUGCCGAGGUUACCCGGGGCUGCAGGCGCGGUGUUGCGCGUGCGCCCGGUGUAGACCGAGGCUUCCCGCAUGAAUCGGGAAGUCGCGGCAUGAGGUCCCGAGGGGUAUCCCUGCCUUCGGGAGGCAGAGCUCUCGGCCCGUCGGACCGCAGCACCUUCCAGGAGAUUCUUGAGCUCUCCCUGGAUUCGCCGACCCUCGGUGGUUGAUGGCUCCGGCAUCGCGCGGAGAAGCAUCGCUGCUGCAGCCAGGUUCUGACCGACCCCACUGGAUGCAGGUGGCGGCCUCACCCUGACGUCGUUGGCGACGCGGUGCUGGAGACCCUGGGGCAGGUGACGUAUUUCUCCGGCCGGGGGUUGGCCCGCCCACGCCAGCCCGACGUCCCGGUGGAUCGGCUCAAGCGCUCCUGCUCCCUCGUCGAGCCUGGCCUGCGCCCCGCGGACUUGCUCGAGCUGUGGGUCGUGACCCCCCGCCGGAACGGGGACCACAGCUAGCUCCCGCGGGAUGUCAGCGCGAGGCACCGGCCUAGGGAGAUCACCGUCCUCCGGCAUGCCGAGAUGGUUGCCUUCGGAGGGAUCCCCUAGCUCGACGUGGAAACAUUCGCGGCUUGGGCCGCAGUCCUCGUCGUCGAGGCUGUGGCUACCGUCGGCGUCGGAACAGUCAGAGAGGCAGUAGUCACAUGCGGUCAUGAAGUCCCGCAUGGCACUUGGGUUGCCAAAUCCAGAGAAAUCCCAACAGAUGUUGGGGUCGUCAUCUUCCUCGGACCCAGAGGGCCCAUAGGUCGAGACGUCCGUCAGCCGGUCCCAAGGCGACCGCAUGCGAAACCCCAGAGGGUUUGAUCUCGCCUCUACAAGAGCGCCCGCCAAAGCAAGGUCGCUAGGCGGGUUGAGGCUGAGUCGAAAUGACGUAGGAUGGGAAUCGGUUGGUACCUUUUGGUCGACGAGCGACGACAUAGUCACGUCGGGGACUGAUCGCACCGCCGUCUCAGGUACGAGGGCGACGUCCUGCAAGCUCUCCGCGAGCGCACUGGCGUCGUCCGUUUGCUCGGGAUUGGCGUGUCGCGGGGAGAUGGUGCUCGCCUUCGUCUCAAACGCGAGGUCGACGCCCGGCGCGCCCCCCGUUGGAGCGCUGGGGACGUCGACUCGCUCGACAGCCAACGAGGCGCAGCCUCCCGCUUGGCCUUGGUUGCCCCGCCUCCUCCUCCGUCGGCGGGGGAGAGGACGGUGCGAGCUCGAAUGUUGUUCUUCCACUACGUGGGGAAGACGUCGUCGAUCCCGCCGCCGGCGGGCGGGCUGUCGGCCGCCAUUGUCGUUGUCGCGCGGCAGUGGAAGGAGUAUCAUGUCGUAGCUGCCGUCGAAGGACAUGAACUCAAGACUCCCAAAACGGAGCACCGUUCCGGGUUGGAGAGGUUGCUGGAGCCUGCCCAUCUGGAGCUUGACGAGAAGUUGUUCGUCAACACGCAGCAGGCCCCUACCUGGCACGCCAACUGUCGGCGUUUCGAGACCGAGGGGUCCCUAAGCCGACGAGUGAAUGUCACUGCGUGCCCCAGCCCAGAUGGGUUGAGCGCGUGGGCGAGCGCGAAGGGGGGAAGCGAGGUGGCCGGAGAUGGGCAUGAGAGAGGUGGAAAUCCCGCGGCCUUCGUGUUCGUCCCGCGCCCAGGUCGGGUGCGCUUGCAGUAGGGGGUUACAAGCGUCCACGCGGGUGAGGGAAGCGAGCGACCCCAAGAGAGCGCCUGUCCCGUCCUCGUCCCUGCGCGGCCAACCCUCUCUAAGAGGGCCCUGGUCCUUCCUUUUAUAGGCGUAAGGAGAGGAGCCAGGUGUACAAUGGGGGUGUAGCAGAGUGCUACGUGUCUAGCGGGGGAGAGCUAGCGCCCUAAGUACAUGCCGAUGUGGCAGCCAGAGAGAUCUUGGCACCCAGCUGGUGUGAUGUCAUGGCCGUCGGAGGAGCGACGGAGCCUGGCGGAGGGACAGCUGUCGAAGCGGUUGAGUCCUUGCUGACGUCCUCCUUCUUCCGUAAGAGAGCUGAGAGCCGCCGUCGUCACAGAGCAUGCGGGGCACCAUCAUUGCCUAUCUGGCGGAGCUAGCCAGAUGGGACGCCGGUCUUGUUCUCUGCGGCCCGAGUCAGCUCGGGGUAGGGUGAUGAUGGCGCUUCCUGUUGACGUGGCUGGCCUGCGCCCUAGGUUGGGCGACGUGGAGGCUCCUCCGAAGCCGAGGUCGAGUCUGUCUUCCGUGGCCGAGGCCGAGUCCGAGCCCCUGGGUCGGGCGAGGCGGAGGUCGUUCGACAGAGGCCAGGGCAGAGUCCGAGCCCUGGGGUCGGGCGAAGCGGAGUUCGUCGUCUUCUGGGGCUGAGCCCGAGUCCGAGCCCUGGGGUCGGGCGAAGCGGAGUUCGUCGUCUUCUGGGGCUGAGCCCGAGUCCGAGCCCUGGGGUCGGGCGGAGCGGAGUUCGCCGUCUUCCGGGACUUAGCCCGAGUCCGAGCCCUGGGGUCGGGCGGAGCGGAGUUCGCCGUCUUCCGGGACUUAGCCCGAGUCCGAGCCCUGGGGUCGGGCGGAGCGGAGUUCGCCGUCUUCCGGGACUUAGCCCGAGUCCGAGCCCUGGGUCGGGCGGAGCGGAGUUCGCCGUCUUCCGGGACUUAGCCCGAGUCCGAGCCCUGGGUCGGGCGGAGCGGAGUUCGCCGUCUUCCGGGACUUAGCCCGAGUCCGAGCCCUGGGGUCGGGCGGAGCUUCCUAUGGUGCCUUUGGCAGGGCCUGACUGCCCGUUAGUCUCACUCUGUCGAGUGGCACUGCAGUCGUAGUGGCGCAGGCGGCGCUGUCCUUCUGCCAGGCCGGUCAGUGGAGCGGCGAAGUGACGGCGGUCACUUCGGCUCUGCCGGGGGGCGUGUGUCAGGAUAAAGGUGUCAGGCCACCUUUGCGUUAAAUGCUCCUGCGAUUCGGUCGGUCGGUGCGGCGAUUUAGUCAGGGUUGCUUCUUAGCGAAGGCAGGGCCUCGGGCGAGCCGGAGAUGUGUCCGCCGUUGGAGGGGGGCCUCGGGCGAGACGGAAAUCCUUCGGGGUCGGCUGCCCUUGUCCGAGGCUAGGCUCGGGCGAGGCAUGAUCGAGUCGCUCGAAUGGACUGAUCCCUGACUUAAUCGCACCCAUCAGGCCUUUGCAGCUUUAUGCUGAUGGGAGUUACCAGCUGAGAAUUAGGCGUCUUGAGGGUACCCCUAAUUAUGGUCCCCGACACUAUGGUUUUCAUAUUCACAAUAUUUAUAAUAUACAUUCUUUCUAGAACAUGAAUAAAUAUGUGUUUCAGUGGUUAGACGCUAAGCAUAGGAGGAAUGGUUCUAACCCUAGGUUCUACAUUUUUUGGAUUUUUUCAUGGGAGAACUUAACGCAUAAAGGGCGACAUCUUAAUUAAUGUUGGAAAUUGUACAAGUAAUGCAUGCAAACGGUGAAGACAGAAGUUUUAUCUCAUGAGUAGAAAGCUCAUGUUAUGUAGCACAAAUGAACACCUUAGCGUCGACCUUCAAAGAACGACCAACACACGUUAAGGAUGGCCCUACAUCUAGAAUCAGCAUGUACUAUCAUAUAUUUCAAUUAGUCAUAAAAAAUAUGUAUUCUAUUAAAAUGUAGCCAUGCAUGAUAAAGUUAGGAUUACGUAGGAGAUACAUGGACAACACAACAUUCAUGGAUCCUUUUAUAAAAAAUGAAGGCCUAUCAAAUAUUUCAUUAGGCACUUAUUAUAUAACUUGUCAAUCCAUUUCUUAACUCUUCUCUUUUAAACAACAGCGAAGUCUCACUCUAGCUAUAUAUGGAGAUGAAGAAGAUGGAGAAGGAGGAUGACACCAUCAUUGUUGGCGCCAGCAUCACUGUCGUAAUAGGGUAGUGGUAGCAAAUAGAUAUCACGGUCCAAUGCAUGCAUGUGUAAUGCAUUGCUUGGGAUCCAACCCAAUCUAGUAUAGCUAGCAUAGGUCGGCUUAAAGUAUUGUCAGCACUAAAGUUAAUUAUUUGGCGGUGUAGGCGGUGUUGGCCUUCCAGUUGGCAGGGAUGACAUCGUCGUAGACGGACUUGGUGCCUCCCUCGGUAGUGAGGCGGACGGUGAGGGGUCCCUUAAGCGGUUUGUCGCUGUCCUUCCUCCAGAUGGCGCCCCAGGAGUGCUUCAGAGGCUCGUACGUGUCGGAGCCCUUCUCCUUGACGUCCACUGCCACAAUGUCACCGUCGCCGUCGACGUACUUGACCAGCAGUGCCAGGUAGUUGGGGCCGCACCCCUUUUCAAGGUGGAAGGUGACCUUGGAGUCGUACUUGCACUUAACCCUUCGGAACUGCAUGUCGAUGAUGCCCGCCUUGCGCAGCUUCUCCUCCUCGCCCUUCUUGGCCAUGGCGCCGAACGCCGUGCCUGCUAAAUCGAAGUGGUACGCCGCGAUAGGCUCAUAGUUCAUGUCCGUGAUGUGCACCACCACGGGCUUGCCGGAGCACUCCACAGGCUUAUCGCACUUGAUCUCGAAGCAGGACCCACAACCCAGACCAUCCUUGAAGAUGGGGAUGUUGCCGCAUGCGCCCAUGCUAUUGAAGGGGGGCUUGUUCACGUCCUUGUACCCGCAGCCACCACCGUUGUCGUCGGGACCGGCACCCGUCGGCUUGCCAUACCAUGUCGCUUUAGCGUCCAGCCAGUCCUUGCCAUAGGUGGCCGUGAUGUUCUUGCCUGGGGGGACUUUGGGAGGACCGCACCAUGCGCCGCUCACCAAGAACACCAACACCACAGCCAUCGCAACCUGUGCCCGCAUCGACGACCACAUGGUUCUCACAUUCACAUCCAUGUUUUGUCUUGGGUUAGUGAAUGGUACUAUGCUACGAUGAAUGAGCGGGUAGGCCUGAAUUUAUGGUUGUGUGUGCCAACGGUUGGACGAUCGAGCUUGCAACCGUGAAGCGCGCGCAUGCAUGCACCAACGAGGAGGUAGAGUUUGCAUGGUCGAGCGAGCUUUUCUCUUGGCCACCAGUUUACUAAUUGGUUCCAUAAGUCGAAGGUGACCAUGCAUGGUAGCUCUGCAUGCAAAGCUGCUCGUAUCGUCGCGAUACUUAUGCCAUGGUGCUACUUUGGCUAAUGGUGAAGCGAGGACUCUCCUUCUUCUCACUUUGAAAGGGAAAUAACCUCAACAUUUCCUAUAAUCGAUUUUGGUGUUUGACGUCUAUCACAAAACCAUAUGGACUAAUUAGUUUGCCUAGUGGACAUUUUUCCCACGUGCAUAAAGUUCACAUAAACAUACAAAGAAAAGGACUUGAGUGAAUUCUAUAAAGUUUGGAGCACACAAGUUCUUGUGUUGCCAGUAGCGCACCGGACACUAUCCGGUACCCUGGCUGAGCACCUCGCGAACUGGUCACUCUCGGGUUUUCUCAGCGUUAGUCCGCUAAAAUUCAUCGGACUGUCCGGUGCACCACCGGACUGUCCGGUGCGACAACAGAGAAACGAUCAACUUCGCGCAACGGUCAACUUCGCUGACUACAGGGCAGUCUGCAGCGCAGAAGUCAGAAGUCAGUCUGCAAAGUCAGAACACACCAGACUGUCCGGUGUGCCAUCGGACUGUCCGGUGCCACAAGAAGACAGAAGACUUCAACGGUCAAUGGCUCCAAACCCCAACGGUCAGCUGAUGUGGCACUCACCAGACAGUGAACAGUGCAGUGUCCGUUGCACCACCGGACUGUCCGGUGUGCCCAUCGACAACAACAGUUGGAAUAGUGGCUGGGGCUAUAAAUACCCCGACCACCACCAUUCAAGCCAUCCAAGCAUUGCAACUUCCUCAUUCAAUACUAGAGCAAAAGAAUGCACUCCAAAGACACAAUCAAAGCAUCAAAUCCUCUUCAAGCUUCAAAAUCAAGUCAAGUGAUCAAAAGUGCUUAGUGACUUGAGAGAGGGUGAUUUGUGUUUGUUUUGUUGCUCUUGUUCCUUGGUUGCAUUCUUCUUCUCAUUCUAAACUUCUCAAGUGUUUUGUAAAGCAAGCAGGAGACACCUAAUUGUGUGGUGAUCCUUGCGGGGUCUUAGUGACCCGCGUGAUAAAGAAGAUGCACAUAACCGGUCUAAGUGAAAGUGCAUUCAUCCCUUUUGUGAGUUUUGGUGAUUUGGAUAACAACACAUUUAAAGGUCUAACGAGUUUGCUAAGUGUUGAACAGGAAAUUCAGUAUGAUGAACAUACUUGAAUAGUGUAUAAUGAUCAGUGAACAAAGGUUCAACACAAGGUUAUAUAACCAAUGAGACAAUGCAAAUGGAUAUAAUAUGAUCUCUAUAUUGGUUUGAAUAUAUGGACAAGACCUGAGAAAUCACUACAUACAUAUGACCAGAAUAGAGGACAAAGUGAUUUAGAGGAUUGGUCAAGCCAAAGAGAAUAAGAUAUGAGGAAUCGUGAAUUGGCUUGACCAUAUUACUGUCAGUCCAUAUAUGCUUCUAUGAGAAUCAAACUAGAGCUUGAUUGAUCUUGACAAUUAUAUCUAGAAGACAUUCAAGCAAGGUUCACAAUAUGGAAGAAAUGAUUCUCUCAAUGGAUGCUCAAUUUGAUGUGACUCAAGAAUGGCUUGAUAGGGUGAAGAUAGCAAGGAAAGGGCUUCGAGGAACUAAGCGAAGGUGAAGGUCAAGCGACGGCUUGUAGACCGAGGUACCAUGGCUAAGGUGAAGAAGAGAGUACUUGCACUAAGUCGAUGAACUAAUCAACUAUGAAGAGUUAUAACAUGUUGAUGCAUCAGUAAGGUGACUUGAAGCCAUGAUUUGAACUCAUAUAAGGUGAUAUGGUACAAGUCACUGGGUUUGAUUUGAGUUUGCUUCAAAAGGUGAGACAAAGAUGUUUGUGAUCCUUAUGAAGCAAUGCCAUGGAGAAAUCACACAUGAGACACCAAUGACUCAAGGAGUUUACUUCAUUAUAUUUUAUUUAACUUGAGUAUAGGAAUCGUCGUACUAUAAAGGGGGAUCCAAAAAGAAGGUUGGUGUUUGCCAAAGCUCAAACCUCUCUAUUCAAAAGCUAUUUUUGAAAAGCAAAAAUCUCUUUAACGUUCUAUGGUUGACCGUGGUUAGGGUUGAGAAACCUAGAGUGUUCUUGCUGAAAAGGAGCUGAACUUCUUCAAAUGCAGCUGAGCUUUCCAGCUGAACUUGACUUCAGCUGAGUUGAGCUUCUUCAGCUGCAGCUGAGCUUUUCAGCUGAGCUGAACUUCAGCUGAGUUGAGCUUUCUCAACUUCAGCUGAACUCAACUUCAGCUGUGAACCUCUUUGACCAUACACCAGCUGAACUUGCCUCCGGGCAGUUGAGCUGGGGUUUUCUCUCCUAAACUCACUGGUCAAGACCAGUUGAACUGGUCUUGAGGGGCAGUUCAGCUGGUCUCUGACCCCUCUGACCUCUGACCAACAGUCUGCAAGUCAGACUGGCAAACAGGUCGCCAGAGGUGUCAGGGGCGGUUCAACCGCCCUGGGGGGCGGUUCAACCGGUCUGGUCAACCCUGACCAGUCUGCAGGUCAGUCUGCGCGUUAGUCUGCCAGUCAGACUGGCAGACAGGCUGCCAGGCCUGCCAGGGGAGGUUCAACCGCCCUAGGGGGAGGUUCAACCGGUCUCAGGCAGAAAAAUCUGCCCAACGGCUAGUUUUGAGCUCCACCUAUAUAUACUACCUCCUACCUCUCUCCCCAAAGCAGUGAGCACGAUUUGAACUCCAUUUCUAACCCAAGAAACACCUCCCUCUCUCUCACACAUCUCUUGCCUCUCCCAUUUCAAAUCUUUGGAGAGAAAUCUUUGAGUGAGCUUGAGAGCUGCGGUUUUGUGCUUCAUCUCUAAAUCUCUCUUGCUCUUCUUCUUCAUUCGAGCUUUGGUACUACAUCGAGUUCUUUGUGGAUUCAUUACUCUUGGAGCUUCUAGCUCCUAGACGACUAGGUGUCUCUUGUGAGUCUCCAAAUCUUGUGGAAGACCACAAGAAAGUUUGUAUUACCCGCUCAUUUGAGCAAAGAUUAUUGUGUGGGCUUGACCUUUGUGGUCGGCAAAGGGAGGAUUAGGGUUGAAAGAGACCCGGCUCUUUGUGGGCGCCUCAACGAGGAAGUAGGGCACCUUUUGUGGUGUGACCGAACCUCGGGAUAAAUCUUGUGUAUCUUGUGUUCUUGCUCAUUGUGUUUGUUCAUGUUCUUCGUUCUCUCACCAUUGCGUGGAAGAUUUGUUUAUAUCUUUUGGGUGUGUGGAUUUUGAGAAGUGCCCUUCUCAGAUCUACUACUUUGAACCCUGUGGAUCAUUUAGAACAUCUCAUUUCCAAAGUUAACUGGGUGAAUUUCGAGAUCAAUUCAGUUUUACCCAGUUUGCUUCUAGUUUUCGUUGAAAAAGUUUUAACUUGCCUAUUCACCCCCCCUCUAGGCAACUUUCAAUUGGUAUCGGAGCAUAAUCCUCGUUCUAACGCUUAACUGCGUGAGGAAAGAUCAUGUCGGGGGGACUAAGAAACGAAAGUGCUUCUAAGCUUGAAAAAGUUGAGGUUGCCUCGACUUCAUCUUUUGGUGCAGAUGUUGAUCCUAGGGCAAUAGACCUUGCCAUGAGAAUCGCCGAAAGGAUGUUCCUCAAAAUGAAGGAAGAUGAGGCGAAGAACAUUAUUGAAGAAGAAGAAAAUGAUCGAUGGAGACCAAACGACGAAUCCACCUCUUCACAAGGUUCGUCUUUCAAAUCCACUUCUCAUAUGUGCUUUAUUGCUAAUGGGAGUGACAGUGAAAGCGAAAGUGAGGAUGAGGAGGAGCAAGAAAGUGAUAGUGAAGAUGAGGAUGAUCUUCAACAAUUCUUCGCUCAGCUAAGCAAGAAACAUCGGAUGAGCUUGCUUAAACUCAUGAAAAGAGCGGAAGAACAAAAAGAAAUGCUUCAUAAGCAAGAAGACUUCCUCAUCAGAAAAAUUGAAGACUUAGAGAAGUUGACCAAAGAGCAUGAGAAGCUAAAGUGCUCUCAUGAUGAUUUGGUCCAAAGGUAUGAAGACAUUUCAAUUGAGCAAAUUAAAGUUGUUAAUCAUUCAUCAUAUAUUGCUCAAUUAGAAAGUAAAAAUGCUAUGCUCAAGAACACAAUAGAAAAGCUAAAUAUUGAAAAUCUAGCUUUGCAAGAAAAACAUGAUAUGCUUGUGUGCUCUCAUAAUAAAUUGAUGGAUUCACAUAUCAUGUUAGAAAUGGCUCAUGAGGUUGUGUUAACUAAUUUGAAAUCAUACCAACCUCACACAUGCACAUGUACUCAAGUAGAAACUAUAUUAUCAUGUGCUAACAAAUGUUGCUCUCAAGAAAGCCAAUCUUCCAUUGAGCUAGAAAUUUCAAGAAUUAGUGAUAUUUCUAUCACACAAGAAAAUAAAGAGCUCAAGGAAGAAAAUGAGAGGCUAAAAAGGAGCUUGACUCAAUUGAAGGGAAAAUGUCAUGCUCAACCUUCUCAAGAUAACUGUGAUAAUAUGGUGAAAAAGCAUGAGAAGGGGACAACUGUGGCAUGCACAAAACCCCUUCAAAAGAAUACCAAGCUUUCCAAGAAGGGCAUGAGCAAAAUCCAUGGUGAGAAAAUUAAUGCUCAUAUGAUUUGCUCUAACAAUGUACCUAUGUGCUUCAACAAAGAAAGAUCAAAGAGAAGCGAUAGGAGGUGCUAUGGAUGCAAGGAGAAGGGCCAUGAAAUUGAUUCAUGCCCCCACAUGAAGAAUCAAGACCUUGCACGAUCAAGAAAGAUGACCAUCAAAAAGGAUGAAAGCAAAAGGCAAAUGCAUUGCAAGGACAAGCAUCGCAUUUGCUACAAUUGCCGUGAAAAAGGUCAUCUAUUCAAGGUUUGUCCAAAGGGUAAAACUCCUAAGCCUAACUUGUCAAUACAUUCAAAUAUGCUUAGGAGACCCAAAUUUGACUCUUGUGCUAGAAAGGUGAUGAGUUCACCACAUUCUAGGACCAAGGCUAUUUGGGUGCCUAAGUCCUUAUUGGCUAACCUUGAUGGACCUAUCAUGAGAUGGGUACCAAAAUGUACUUAAUAAGUUUUGCAGGUACCCAGAGAUGAUAUGAAGCUUUGGGGUGCUUGAGCGGUUCAACUCAAUUCUUAUCUCAAGCUAUCAAUCUUACAUUGUCUAUCCUUUAAGAUUGACCCAAAGAUGAAUUGAGUUGUUAUAUCACUAACUUCAUAUUCAUCUCUAGCAAGAACUUGUGUUGUAGGGAAUAAGGAUUAACCUUUGUGGGAAUCAAGCAAAAGGCCUACAACCAAGUGAUAUCCAAAGGAUGGUAACAAUUAAUUCUUAAGUGCACAUUGCUUUUAAUUGGUAUAUUCCUUUGUGUCUUUUGUAGCCACAUAGGAAAAAUGAAGCACUUGAGAAUGAACUUAAAAGAUUUUACCUUGCUUUGGAAAGGAUCUAAUUAUAUGGUAGAUUGCAAGUUCAUAUUUUUAUAUUGUGACAAUCUACAUGCUUUAAAUUGAUUGUAUGUAUCUUGUGGCAUAUUUCAAGUUAAUCAUCAUAUUAUUGCCAUGACCUAGACAUAAAGAAUAUUAUCCCAUGUUCUUAAAUGAAUAGAGUGCUAAGUAAGAAAUUCAAAUUCUUAUAGCACUUACCAAAUGGGGAAUUCUCUAUAUGACUAGAGUUGUGAGACUAAUGUUUCUAUCUAAGUGUUUAUGUAGUCUCACAACAUGAGAAUGUGUUUCCCAAAUGGAGUGUGCCAUUCAACAUUCAAAGAAGAUCCAACCAAUACUAUGUGAUGUAUUCAUUCUUGUUUAAAUUGGUUUUGAGUCUUCUCCAUUAAUCACUCACCAUGCUAUGAAUUAAACUUGCCAUGUAAACUUAAUUAAAUAAUCAUGCUACUUUCAUCUUUUUUACAAUUGAUGUUAUGCAUGAUGCUUGUAAGGGUAAUUUAGUUCAUAUCAUGAGGUUUCCUUGUUUUAGUAACCUUCUUGUCAUUCAUAUACUAGAGGUUGCUAAAUAGGAAACUAUUGCUUGUGUUUCAAAUGCAAUCUCUAUUAAUAUAUUUCAUGGAAAUUCAUAAGUAGAGAUUGUGCACUUUCAAUUGGUAAAAAUCACAAGCAUUGAAGGUUAAUCUUCACCUAAAAGAAAGGUUAGGAAUGCUCAAGGCAAAGGUAUUGCUUCAAUUGGUAGUUGAUCAAUUGUAGUUCCUUUCAAGUGGCAUUCUUUCAAUUGGUAAUAAUCUAUUCUAUGGAAAGAAAUGCCAAUAUAAAGGUUAAAUUCCUUUUGGCUUAAAUUUGUAAAUUGGUGCAUAUUGUUAAUUCACUCCUCCAUGUGCAUUAACUUAAAAGGAAUUUAAUUUAUGCCUUUAUGCCUCAUAAAUGAUGAUUUGUUUGCCAUUCAUAUAUAUAUAUAUAUAUCAUUCAUUAAAUACUUCCUUGUACUACUAAUACCUCUUUUCAAAGUGUUUUAUCGACUAGUUUUAAAAGGAAAAGAGAUAACAAAGAAGGAAGUCUCCACAAAUGAUGAAAAGAAGAAUACUAAGGAGACACCACCACAGAUAGUAAGAUCUGUCAAAUUGGUAUAACAAAUGGUACAUUCUAUAUGGUGGUAAGUAUUCUUAGGCAUAAGUUAAUUCAUUGUAAAUUUGUCAUGCCUUGACCAUGAUAUGUAAUAUACUCCUCAUGAGACUCUUAACUGAAUUGAAAGUGCAUGUGGCAAGUCAUUCAAAUACUUGAUGCACAUAUCUAGUGGGAGAACAUUAUAUAUCUUGUGUCAUAGAGAAUAAGUUUCACUUGAGUAAGCUAUACUAAGACAAUCCAAAAUGAUAAAUUUGUAUCUCAUUCAUAUGAAUUGUAAUCUUUGUUUUCUAAAUAGCUACUCUUGAUGCAGUUUAAAAUUCCCUUAUCGUUAAUUCUAAAAGUGCAUAAGAAUCCUUUUUGUUGAUAUUCAUCACAUACAUAUGCACUAACAUGGAUAUAAUUUUUAAACUGUAAAAGGUACAAUUAGUGAUCCAUACUCUCUAAAUUUUGGAAACCCAUAUUUUGAUAUCUUAGAAAUCUACUUCAAUCGAUAUCAUAUGCUUCACAUUGAAUUGGAUCACUAAGUUGUAAAUUCAAUACAUAACUUGUCUUUAUGAUAUGAAUGCUUGUGCAACUAACCUUGAUAAGCUAGGUGCACCCAAAGUCAAGGUAGGUUCAUCAUCAAGAAGGCAACACAAUGAUGUAUUAAUAAAAGGAGAAAAGGCUCCUAUUCUUAACUCUAGUUUUUAUCUAUGUAAUUAAAUAUUGACUUGAAACCAUGUAAGAUGGUUGUCAAGUAUAUGUGGGUGCCUACACAAAGAGAAAGGCCACAAUAAGGAUUGUGUGGGUUCUCAAGGCUCAUCUCAAAGGACCCAAUUCAUAUUGGGUACCAAGAUAUGAAGCUUAAACUUGUUUUGCAGGAUCACUCCUUCAAUGAAUCAAGUUGGGUGCUUGAUAAUAAAUGAAUGAAUCAUAUUUGGAGAUAGUAGCAAGGGUGGUAACAACUGAAUCUCAAGUGCAUAUUAUUUUCAAAUUAUCUUUUUUGUGACUUGUGUAGCCACUAAGAAAAAAGAAGCACUUGAGGAUAUACAUCAGUUGUUGAUUAUGAAAUAAAGGUCUAAUUGGAAGUUGAAUGAAUAUUAUCAUAUGGUGAACAAUCCAAAAAUAUGUGACGUAUUCUCUAUCUAGUUAAUUUGGAUUUGAUUCUUCUUUAUUAGACACUCACCAUAAUAUGGAUUAAGUCAGCCUUUUAGACUUCAUUGAAUAACCAUGCAUAUUAUCCAUGUCAUUCAAAAUAUAUUGUGCAUGUGGUUCAAGGCAAAUUUAGUCCAUAUUAUGAGGUUUCUCUAUUUUAGCAACUCGCUUGCCUUCCUCAUAUAAAGGGUUGCUAAAUAAGAAAUUAGUGCUUGUGCUACUAAUGCCAUCUCUUGUGUUGAGUUUAUCCAUAGAAAAUCUAUGUUAAGACAUGGUGCUUGUUUUAAAUUGGAUAAAUCACAAGCUUAAAGGAUACUAUUCAACUAAUGUAAGAAGAAGUUGAUAAGAGGCCAAGGUAUGAAAACUUCCUCACCUUCAGUUGUUUUAGUAUUCUAUCCUCAGUGGGAUGUACCAUAGUAUAGGUUAAAUUCCUUGCAAUAUAAAAUGUUCAAUAGUGCAUAUAACUUUGACAUCAACUAUAUGUGUGCACUAACUUAAAGGAAUUUAGUCUAUCCUUUUUGGGUUUCAAGAAUGAUGAUUCAUUUUCCAUCCACAUAUAAGGAUUAUCAUUUACCCUCCCUUGUGUUUCUAAUGCUCUCUUUUCUAAGUGUUUCAACAAGGCCUUCCCAAGUUCUUUGAAGAUGAAUUCAAAAUCUACAAAUAUAAGAGUCUUGGUUCUUUCAAUCAUUGAGUUUCAAUAGGUCUCAUAUCAAGUAUGAUCGAAUCAAGAAAAGAUGAAAGAAGUUCAAGAUCACUUGGUUGGAUGAAAUCGUAAAGAGAAAAGAGAUCACAGUGAUUCAAGAAGGGAGUUAUUAUUUUUUUGUUUUUUUGUCAACCAAAUAAUGAAGAUGUAGUGACAUAUUUAUAUGAUAUCCUUCAUUAUGAGGUUUGAGAUUUAUAUCAGCAUGCUUUACCCUUCAGGAUUUCAAUUGAUAUACUUUCAGUUCUUAAACUUUCAAUUGGUUCAUUUUCAUCAUCUAUGAAGGCAUGUUAUGUUCAACCAAGAUAUAGUGCAAACAUCUUCUUCAACCUCGUAUUGUUGAUGUGCAUAAAUAUACUUUGUGUACUCUUGCAAGCACAAAUUGAGGGAGAGUUUAGCCUAUAUCUUGUGAGACUAAUGAUUUCUUUCAAGUUCAUGUUGUGUAGUCUCACACCCUGGAGAACAUCAAACGAGGAUGAAUGGUUCCAUAGAAAUGAAAAUGAGUUUCUCUUGAUCGUUUAAAGAGGAUAAGUUUCUCUUUGAAAUGUCAAGCCUAUCAAAAGCUAAGAUAGAAAUUCAUGAUUAUAAUGAAGACCAUGUGGCGUUGAACAAAGGUGUGUCACUCCAUGAACUAUUGUAUUACAUUUGUGUAUCUAGGCUCUCACAUGCCAGUGUGCAUGUAUAUGUAAUAUCUUAAGUCACACCAUAAGGUUGCACUUGUGGUGACGAUUAAAGAAUCUCUAGAUAUUUGAUUAAUACCUCUUGUGGUGAUAUCAUAAGUUAGUCUUAAGUCGUCUUAGUGAGGUAUGAGUCAAACAUUCUAACUUCUCAAGAAUCUUGGCUUAAAAUAUUGCAUAUCAUGUCUAUUAGUAUACCUUUUGAUUAUGAGUAAUUCCUUCAAUUGGUGCAAUUUCAUAUUUUCAUACUUUAUUUAUACCAAGGUUCAAAUUGUAGAACUUAAUCCCCUGGCCUCAUAAGUCCAAGUGCAUAAGCUAAACAAGUAUUCAUCACUUGUAUGCACACAUUUAGGGGGAGAAUGGUUUAUAAUUUGAAUCUUUGAGACUAACUUCAUUUUCAAGUCUAUUAUGUGUGUAGUCUCAAAUUAGAAAGGAACCUUCGGGCAAAGACAAUCGCUUCCACUGCAAAUUUUUGAUGGGUAUCAAAGAUUCUUUGCUCCAAUAAAUGUAACUUCUAUACAUUUCAUAAGAGAAUGAGUUUCUCUUGUAUAUGCUACUCCAACGUCAUCUAAAAUUGGUAAAUAUGUAUCACAUCUUUUUGGAUUACAAAUAUCUGAAGUAGCAUAGCUUAUAGAUUCUCCUGUCUAGAACUUAAUUGAUUAAAUAGUGCACAUGUUCCUUAUGUUGCAUGAUUAUGUUCAGUUGAUACUCCUUUUAUGCUAAUGGUACUUUAAAUUUCAAAUAAGUACUCUCAACAUAUAUCAAUUGAAUUCAUAUAUAUAUAUAUGUGCACUAAAACUUGAGGAGAACUUAGUGUAAUAUGCUAUUAGUGAUCUAUUUAUCUAUCAAAUUGUAUCAAUUGGUGUUUUUCAAUUGAUAUUUUUCAUACAUGAUCACUAGUUGCAUAAUCCAUACUUGUGCAAUUUUUAUGUUGCCUCUUGUUGUGAUAAGAAAAUGCUAGGUGACAUCUAGACUCCAGGUAUCAAGAUUUAUCUUUCAGUUAGUAUGACAAUCUUCAUUUGAUAUCUUGGACCUAUGCCACAAUUAUGCCAACAAGAGCUUGCAAAUGAAUUCUAAGUCCAACACAAGUUUGGAACACCCCCUUAAAAAGGUAAAACGCAAAGGUACAUCACUUAUGACACUUAUCCAUUACCUUUGUGCCAUAUAAGGACCCCUUUCAUGAUAGUGUGUUCAUAUCUCUCUUAAUCAUAAUUUCUAUCCUUUAUAUUCUUUUUAUCCUUUUUUGGGAUUUAUGACAAAGGGGGAGAAAUUGUGCAUUAAAGCUUACCUUUAGUCUUAUGUAACUAAGUGUUAGAAGACUUUUAAAAAGGGGAGAAAUAAUUAACAAAAAGGGAAGUCAUAAGAAAAACAUAAGAUGAAGAAAGUUGAUAAGUGCAUUCCAUGUCAUGAGCAUCACGUUUAUUUUAUGACACACUGCACCCUAUGAAUAGUAUGAUAUAAGUUGUCUAUACUUUGACCUAAAUAUGUGCUUUUGGCAUUUGAGUACAAAAGUGUUAUUUUUCUGAAAUGCACAUAUUUAGGGGGAGGAAACUAUAUCAUAGGAUUUAAAAUCUUAUUUAUCAAAUCUUAUGUAAGCUUUAAAUGUGUUGUCAUCAAUCACCAAAAAGGGGGAGAUUGAAAGUGCAUUCAUCCCUUUUGUGAGUUUUGGUGAUUUGGAUAACAACACAUUUAAAGGUCUAACGAGUUUGCUAAGUGUUGAACAGGAAAUUCAGUAUGAUGAACAUACUUGAAUAGUGUAUAAUGAUCAGUGAACAAAGGUUCAACGCAAGGUUAUAUAACCAAUGAGACAAUGCAAAUGGAUAUAAUAUGAUCUCUAUAUUGGUUUGAAUAUAUGGACAAGACCUGAGAAAUCACUACAUACAUAUGACCAGAAUAGAGGACAAAGUGAUUUAGAGGAUUGGUCAAGCCAAAGAGAAUAAGAUAUGAGGAAUCGUGAAUUGGCUUGACCAUAUUACUGUCAGUCCAUAUAUGCUUCUAUGAGAAUCAAACUAGAGCUUGAUUGAUCUUGACAAUUAUAUCUAGAAGACAUUCAAGCAAGGUUCACAAUAUGGAAGAAAUGAUUCUCUCAAUGGAUGCUCAAUUUGAUGUGACUCAAGAAUGGCUUGAUAGGGUGAAGAUAGCAAGGAAAUGGCUUCGAGGAACUAAGCGAAGGUGAAGGUCAAGCGACGGCUUGUAGACCGAGGUACCAUGGCUAAGGUGAAGAAGAGAGUACUUGCACUAAGUCGAUGAACUAAUCAACUAUGAAGAGUUAUAACAUGUUGAUGCAUCAGUAAGGUGACUUGAAGCCAUGAUUUGAACUCAUAUAAGGUGAUAUGGUACAAGUCACUGGGUUUGAUUUGAGUUUGCUUCAAAAGGUGAGACAAAGAUGUUUGUGAUCCUUAUGAAACAAUGCCAUGGAGAAAUCACACAUGAGACACCAAUGACUCGAGGAGUUUACUUCAUUAUAUUUUAUUUAACUUGAGUAUAGGAAUCGUCGUACUAUAAAGGGGGAUCCAAAAAGAAGGUUGGUGUUUGCCAAAGCUCAAACCUCUCUAUUCAAAAGCUAUUUUUGAAAAGCAAAAAUCUCUUUAACGUUCUAUGGUUGACCGUGGUUAGGGUUGAGAAACCUAGAGUGUUCUUGCUGAAAAGCAGCUGAACUUCUUCAACUGCAGCUGAGCUUUCCAGCUGAACUUGACUUCAGCUGAGUUGAGCUUCUUCAGCUGCAGCUGAGCUUUUCAGCUGAGCUGAACUUCAGCUGAGUUGAGCUUUCUCAACUUCAGCUGAACUCAACUUCAGCUGUGAACCUCUUUGACCAUACACCAGCUGAACUUGCCUCCGGGCAGUUGAGCUGGGGUUUUCUCUCCUAAACUCACUGGUCAAGACCAGUUGAACUGGUCUUGAGGGGCAGUUCAGCUGGUCUCUAACCCCUCUGACCUCUGACCAAUAGUCUGCAAGUCAGACUGGCAAACAGGUCGCCAGAGGUGUCAGGGGCGGUUCAACCGCCCUGGGGGGCGGUUCAACCGGUCUGGUCAACCCUGACCAGUCUGCAGGUCAGUCUGCGCGUUAGUCUGCCAGUCAGACUGGCAGACAGGCUGCCAGGCCUGCCAGGGGAGGUUCAACCGCCCUAGGGGGAGGUUCAACCGGUCUCAGGCAGAAAAAUCUGCCCAACGGCUAGUUUUGAGCUCCACCUAUAUAUACUACCUCCUACCUCUCUCCCCAAAGCAGUGAGCACGAUUUGAACUCCAUUUCUAACCCAAGAAACACCUCCCUCUCUCUCUCUCACACAUCUCUUGCCUCUCCCAUUUCAAAUCUUUGGAGAGAAAUCUUUGAGUGAGCUUGAGAGCUGCGGUUUUGUGCUUCAUCUCUAAAUCUCUCUUGCUCUUCUUCUUCAUUCGAGCUUUGGUACUACAUCGAGUUCUUUGUGGAUUCAUUACUCUUGGAGCUUCUAGCUCCUAGACGACUAGGUGUCUCUUGUGAGUCUCCAAAUCUUGUGGAAGACCACAAGAAACUUUGUAUUACCCGCUCGUUUGAGCAAAGAUUAUUGUGUGGGCUUGACCUUUAUGGUCGGCAAAGGGAGGAUUAGGGUUGAAAGAGACCCGGCUCUUUGUGGGCGCCUCAACGAGGAAGUAGGGCACCUUUUGUGGUGUGACCGAACCUCGGGAUAAAUCUUGUGUAUCUUGUGUUCUUGCUCAUUGCGUUUGUUCAUGUUCUUCGUUCUCUCACCAUUGCGUGGAAGAUUUGUUUAUAUCUUUUUGGUGUGUGGAUUUUGAGAAGUGCCCUUCUCAGAUCUACUACUUUGAACCCUGUGGAUCAUUUAGAACAUCUCAUUUCCAAAGUUAACUGGGUGAAUUUCGAGAUCAAUUCAGUUUUACCCAGUUUGCUUCUAGUUUUCGUUGAAAAAGUUUUAACUUGCCUAUUCACCCCCCCUCUAGGCAACUUUCAAUUGGUAUCGGAGCAUAAUCCUCGUUCUAACGCUUAACUGCGUGAGGAAAGAUCAUGUCGGGGGGACUAAGAAACGAAAGUGCUUCUAAGCUUGAAAAAGUUGAGGUUGCCUCGACUUCAUCUUUUGGUGCAGAUGUUGAUCCUAGGGCAAUAGACCUUGCCAUGAGAAUCGCCGAAAGGAUGUUCCUCAAAAUGAAGGAAGAUGAGGCGAAGAACAUUAUUGAAGAAGAAGAAAAUGAUCGAUGGAGACCAAACGACGAAUCCACCUCUUCACAAGGUUCGUCUUUCAAAUCCACUUCUCAUAUGUGCUUUAUUGCUAAUGGGAGUGACAGUGAAAGCGAAAGUGAGGAUGAGGAGGAGCAACUUUCACUAAGUGACCGAUUGAGAGAGGGAAAGGGUGGGAAUAGACCCAGCCUUUGUGGCCUCCUCAAUGGGGAGUAGGUUCCUUGGAACCGAACCUCGGGAAACAAAUCACCGUAUUCACUUGUGUUGAUCUUUAUCACUCGAUUUGUUUCUUCCCUCUCCUCUCUCUCUCUAAAAGUUCACUUGCUCACAUUGAUCUGAGUUUAAUUUGCUCCCAAACUUAUCUGUAUUGAUUGAGCAACUCAUAGCAAGGAGAACUAUCUUUCGCUCUCCGAAUUCAAUAUUAUUUAUCUCUAACCCUAACCCUGUGCGAAGUGCGUGUUCAAAGUAUAUAAUUUUCAGGUUUCGCCUAUUCACCCCCUCUAGGCGACUUUCAUGCUUCCUAUGGAAGAAUGUCAUUGUUGCCACAUAUUUUUAAGUCAUUAUAUUGGAGCAAAGUGGCGUAACCAUGUCAACCUCUAUUAUCCGUGGAAACGAUCCUUCAAGGAUUGUCGCAAGUUAAUUGGUAUAUCAAAUGUGCGAAUGUAGGAUUUAAACAUAGUGUAAUCUUCAAGACUCCACAUCUAUAUGAAUAGCUAGAAAGAUGACUUGUCUAGGCAAUUAUAGGGAAUUGAACCAUAAACAUUCGGGGUACUCCAAUUAUACAAAAAAUGUAAUUAUGAGAUUCGUGUUGGACAAACAACGUCAAAUUUAACCAAAUUUAUAUUCAGUAUUGUUAAUAUUUAUAUCAAAUAUAUUAUACUAGAACUUAUAAUACAUAGUGAAAUGAACUACGAGCUUUCCAAAGAACCCCAACGUACUUCUUUGCUAAAGAAGACUAUUUUGUACGUGCAUGCAUAGGCAACUAAUUCUUCUAACUAGUUGUUAUAACAUUUUAUUUUAUAUAUUAGUCAGUUGUCAGUAUGUUACUAUGGUUUUCAUAUUCACAAUAUUUAUAAUAUACAUUCUUUCUAGAACAUGAAUAAAAAUGUGUUCAGUGGUUAGACGCUAAGCAUAGGAGGAAUGGUUCUAACCCUAGGUUCUGCAUUUUUUGGAUUUUCUCAUGGGAGAACUUAAUGCAUAAAGGGCGACAUCUUAAUUAAUGUUGGAAAUUGUACAAGUAAUGCAUGCAAAUGGUGAAGACAGAAGUUUUAUCUCAUGAGUAGAAAGCUCAUGUUAUGUAGCACGAAUGAACACCUUAGCUUCGACCUUCAAAGAACGGCCAACACACAUUAAGGAUGGCCCUACAUCUAGAAUUAGCAUGUACUAUCAUAUAUUUCAAUUAGUCAUAAAAAUAUGUAUUCUAUUAAAAUGUAGCAAUGCAUGAUAAAGUUAGGAUUACGUAGGAGAUACAUGGACAACACAACAUUCAUGGAUCCUUUUAUAAAAAUGAAGGCCAAUCAAAUAUUUCAUUAGGCACUUAUUAUAUAACUUGUCAAUCCAUUUCUUAACUCUUCUCUUUUAAACAACAGCAAAGUCUCACUCUAGCUAUAUAUGGAGAUGGAGAAGAUGGAGAAGGAGGAUGACGCCAUUAUUAUUGGCGCCAGCAUCACUGUCGUAAUAGGGUAGUGGUAGCAAAUAGAUAUCACGGUCCAAUGCAUGCAUGUGUAAUGCAUUGCUUGGGAUCCAACCCAAUCUAGUAUAGCUAGCAUAGGCCGGCUUAAAGUAUUGUCAGCACUAAAGUUAAUUAUUUGACGAUGUAGGCGGUGUUGGCCUUCCAGUUGGCAGGGAUGACAUCGUCGUAGACGGUCUUGGUGCCUCCCUCGGUAGUGAGGCGGACGGUGAGGGGUCCCUUAAGCGGUUUGUCACUGUCCUUCCUCCAGAUGGCGCCCUAGGAGUGCUUCAGGGGCUCGUACGUGUCGGAGCCCUUCUCCUUGAUGUCCACCGCCACAAUGUCACCGUCGCCGUCGACGUACUUGACCAGCAGCGCCAGGUAGUUGGGGCCACACCCCUUUUCAAGGUGGAAGGUGACCUUGGAGCCGUACUUGCACUUGACCCUUCGGAACUGCAUGUCGAUGAUGCCCGCCUUGCGCAGCUUCUCCUCCUCACCCUUCUUGGCCAUGGCGCCGAACGUCGUGCCUGCCAAAUCGAAGUGGUACGCCGCGAUAGGCUCAUAGUUCAUAUCCGUGAUGUGCACCACCACGGGCUUGCCGGAGCACUCCACAAGCUUAUCGCACUUGAUCUCGAAGCAGGACCCACAACCCAGACCAUCCUUGAAGAUGGGGAUGUUCCCGCACGCGCCCAUGCUAUUGAAGGGGGGCUUGUUCACGUCCUUGUACCCGCAGCCUCCGCCGUUGUCGUCGGGACCGGCACCCGUCGGCUUGCCAUACCAUGUCGCUUUAGCGUCUAGCCAGUCCUUGCCAUAGGUGGCCGUGAUGUUCUUGCCAGGGGGACUUUGGGAGGACCGCACCAUGCACCGCUCACCAAGAACGCCAACGCCACAGCCAUCGCAACCUGUGCCUGCAUCAACGACCACAUGGUGCUCACAUUCACAACCAUGUUUUAUCUUGGAUCAGUGAAUUGUACUAUGCUACGAUGAAUGAGCGGGUAGACCUGAAUUUAUGGUUGUGCGUGCCAACGGUUGGACGAUCGAGCUUGCAACCGUGAAGCGCGCGCAUGCAUGCAACAACGAGGAGGUAGAGCUUGCAUGGUCGAGCGAGCUAUUCUCUUGGUCGCCAGUUUACUAAUUGGUUCCGUAAGUCGAAGGUGACCAUGCAUGGUAGCUCUGCAUGCAAAGAUGCUCGUAUGGUUGCGAUACUUAUGCCAUGGUGCUACUUUGGCUAAUGGUGAAGCGAGGACUCUCCUUCUUCUCGCUUUGAAAGGGAAAUAGCCUCAACAUUUCCUAUAAUUGAUUUUGGUGUUUGACGUCCAUCACAAAACCAUAUGGACUAAUUAGUUUGCCUAGUGGACAUUUUUCCCACGUGCAUAAAGUUCAUAUAAACAUACAAAGAAAAGGACUUGAGUGAAUUCUACAAAGUUUGGAGCAUAUAAGUUCUUGUGCUGCCAGUAGCGCACCGGACACUGUCCGGUACCCUGGCUGAGCACCUCGCGAACUGGUCGCUCUCGGGUUUUCUCAGCGUUAGUCCGCUAAAAUUCAUCGGACUAUCCGGUGCACCACCGUACUGUCCGGUGAGACAACAGAGCAACGGUCAACUUCGCGCAAUGGUCAACUUCGCUGACUACAGGGCAGUCUAUAGCGCAGAAGUCAGAAGUCUGUCUGCAAAGUCAGAAUACACCAGACUGUCCGGUGUGCCAUCGGACAGUCCGGUGCCACAAGAAGACAGAAGACUUCAACGGUCAACAGCUCCAAACCCCAACGGUCGGCUGACGUGGCACUCACCGGACAGUGAACAGUGCAGUGUCCGUUGCACCACCGGACUGUCCGGUGUGCCCAUCGACAGCAACGACUGGAAUAGUGGUUGGGGCUAUAAAUACCCCCGACCACCACCAUUCAAGCCAUCCAAGCAUUGCAACUUCCUCAUUCAAUAUUAGAGCAAAAGAAUACACUCCAAAGACACAAUCAAAGCAUCAAAUCCUCUUCAAGCUUCAAAAUCAAGUCAAGUGAUCAAAAGUGCUUAGUGACUUGAGAGAGGCUGAUUUGUGUUUGUUUUGUUGCUCUUGUUGCUUGGUUGCAUUCUUCUUCUCAUUCUAAACUUCUCAAGUGUUUUGUAAAGCAAGCGAGAGACACCUAAUUGUGUGGUGAUCCUUGCGGGGUCUUAGUGACCCGCGUGAUUAAGAAGAUGCACUUAACCGGUCUAAGUGACCGAUUGAGAGAGGGAAAGGGUUGGAAUAGACCCAGCCUUUGUGGCCUCCUCAAUGGGGAGUAGGUUCCAUGGAACCGAACCUCGGGAAACAAAUCACCGUGUUCACUUGUGUUGAUCUUUAUCACUCGAUUUGUUUCUUCCCUCUCCUCUCUCUCUAAAAGUUCCCUUGCUCACAUUGAUUUGAGUUUGCUCCCAAACUUAUCCGCAUUGAUUGAGCAACUCAUAGCAAGGAGAACUAUCUUCCGCUCUCCGAAUUCAAUAUUAAUUAUCUCUAACCCUAACCCUGUGCGAAGUGCGUGUUCAAAGUAUAUAAUUUUUAGGUUUCGCCUAUUCAUCGCCUCUAGGCGAGUUUCAUGCUUCCUAUGGAAGAAUGUCAUUGUUGCCACAUAUCUUUAAGUCAUUAUAUUGGAGCAAAGUGGUGUAACCAUGUCAACCUCUAUUAUUCGUGGAAACGAUCCUUCAGGGAUUGUCGCAAGUUAAUUGGUAUAUCAAAUGUGCGAAUGUAGGAUUUAAACAUAGUGUAAUCUUCAAGACUCCACAUCUACAUGAAUAGCUAGAAAGAUGACUUGUCUACUCAAUUAUAGGGAAUUGAACCAUAAACAUUCGGGGUACUCCAAUUAUACAAAAAAUGUAAUUUUGAGAUUCGUAUUGGACAAAUGAGGUCAAAUUUAACCAAAUUUAUAUUCAGUAAUGUUAAUAUUUAUAUCAAAUAUAUUAUACUAGAACUUUUAAUACACAGUGAAAUGAACUACGAGCUUUCCAAAGAACCCCAACGUUCUUCUUUGUUAAAAAUACAAUUUUGUACGCGCAUGCAUAGGCAACUAAUUCUUCUAACUAGUUGUUAUAACAUUUUAUUUUAUAUAUAGUAGUCAGUUGUCAGUAUGUUACUAUGGUUUUCAUAUUCACAAUAUUUAUAAUAUACAUUCUUCUAGAACAUGAAUAAAUAUGUGUUUCGGUGGUUAGACGCUAAGCAUAGGAGGAAUGGUUCUAACCCUAGGUUCUGCAUUUUUUGGAUUUUGUCAUGGGAGAACUUAAUGCAUAAAGGGCGAUAUCUUAAUUAAUGUUGGAAAUUGUACAAGUAAUGCAUGCAAAUGGUGAAGACAGAAGUUUUAUCUCAUGAGUAGAAAGCUCAUGUUAUGUAGCACGAAUGAACACCUUAGCUUCGACCUUCAAAGAAUGACCAACGCACGUUAAUGAUGGCCCUACAUCUAGAAUCAACAUGUACUGUCAUAUAUUUCAAUUAGUCAUAAAAAAUAUGUAUUCUAUUAAAAUGUAGCCAUGCAUGAUAAAGUUAGGAUUACGUAGGAGAUACAUGGACAACACAACAUUCAUGGAUCCUUUUAUAACAAAUGAAGGCCUAUCAAAUAUUUCAUUAGGCACUUAUUAUAUAACUUGUCAAUCCAUUUCUUAACUCUUCUCUUUUAAACAACAGCGAAGUCUCACUCUAGCUAUAUAUGGAGAUGGAGAAGAUGGAGAAGGAGGAUGACGCCAUUAUUGUUGGCGCCAGCAUCACUGUCGUAAUAGGGUAGUGGUAGCAAAUAGAUAUCACGGUCCAAUGCAUGCAUGUGUAAUGCAUUGCUUGGGAUCCAACCCAAUCUAGUAUAGCUAGCAUAGUCCGGCUUAAAGUAUUGUUAGCACUAAAGUUAAUUAUUUGGCGGUGUAGGCGGUGUUGGCCUUCCAGUUGGCAGGGAUGACAUCGUCGUAGACGGUCUUGGUGCCUCCCUCGGUAGUGAGGCGGACGGUGAGGGGUCCCUUAAGCGGUUUGUCGCUGUCCUUCCUCCAGAUGGCACCCCAAGAGUGCUUCAGGGGCUCGUACGUGUCGGAGCCCUUCUCCUUGAUGUCCACCGCCACAAUGUCACCGUCGCCGUCGACGUACUUGACCAGCAGCGCCAGGUAGUUGGGGCCGCACCCCUUUUCAAGAUGGAAGGUGACCUUGGAGCCGUACUUGCACUUGACCCUUCGGAACUGCAUGUCGAUGAUGCCCGCCUUGCGCAGCUUCUCCUCCUCACCCUUCUUGGCCAUGGCGC